CACAAACAUAGGAACACUAUUCAACAGAAUUCGAAGGAGUUCAAGUAGUAAGAUAUCUAGCUAAGCAUUUUACGAGACCUGAAGUGCUUUGACUACACCAUCUAUAAUCUCAGGCUCAAUGAGUGGUUCAUCUCCUUGAAUGUUAACAACCACAUCAUACUUCUUGUCCAGCUUCUCUAGCGCUUCGUUGCACCGCUCAGUGCCUAAACAUCACCCAAAUGAUAUAGAGCUUAAGCCAGGGAAUCCAUAUUCCACAAAAUAAAAAAUCAAAACAUUGAAGAAAACAGUUAUAUAGACCAUUUCUGCAAGACUCUGAAGUCAUGAUGACAUCGGCACCAAAACCACGACAGCACUCCGCAAUCCUUUCAUCAUCCGUAGCUACAACUGAUAAAUCAAAAAACACAACAAAAAAAUCAGACAUCUUGUAAUCUUAACAAUCACAAGUUUACAAAAGAACUCAAAACCAAGGAAACUUCAUAGCAGAGAUCUUAUAGAUGUGUAAAGUAGAGAUUUUUCAUAUUUAAAGAUUCUGAGACAACAUUACCAAUAUGAUCAAGCGUAGUAGCUAAUUUCGACCUCUCCCAAGUUCUCUGUUCAAUAACGAAUCAACAAAAAUGAGAAAGACAAAAACUGAAACAAGAUACAUACAUAGUUACAAAUAUAUACAAGAUACCAGAAGGCACGAAAAAUUCAAACUUUAUCUAAAACCAGAUUGAGAGAUAAUGAAAGUCGAAAACUUUCUAACGAAAAUAAACUUGAAUUUGUGAUCUGAUUACUUAAAGGCAUGAAAUUUCCAGUGAAUUUGCCUAACUAAGCCAGAUCCAACACAACGAUACUAAGAUUCAUACAGAGAAUAAACAGAGAUAUUGAAAAACCUAUGGAGAAACCUGGAUCAUGGGUUUGCCGAGGAUUUGCACGAGAGGCUUACCCUCGAAUCGAGAGGAAGCGUAACGUGCGGGGAUGAUUCCGACGACCCGGCUCCGGAAUUUUCUGGAUCGACCCAGAUACGCACUUGCGCCAAUUGCCGCAGCAAUCGCUGCUCCGGCCAAGAUCCCGUGUACAAUCCAUGUUUUCUGAGAAGAAGAAGAAGACGAUGAUGAAGAACACACCGACAUCACUUUGCUCCGGUGAGUGAGAGAGUGAGUGAGACAGAGAGAAAGAGAGAGAAAUAUUGUUCUGUUGAAAAAGCGGUGGCCGAGCCAGCGAGGAAAAGACCGUUCUCUGAUCCGGUUUAGUUAGACUUCAUGACCAAAUUCAAUUUAUUACAAAGGUCAAUUUGCUAAAUAACCUAAUUAUGGAAUCUAAUUGGAUAAAUAACUUUUGGGUAAAUAAUAAUUUGUUAAAAGAAAAAAGUGAAAAUAUUUCAGAUACAUUAUAGUGAAUAUAUACAAAGUAACCAUGAAUUCAAAAAAAAUAUACAAACUAACCAUGAGCUACAAUCAGAGCCGGCGCUGACAUUUGAUAGGCCACAAGCUGGUAAAAAAAAUUUUGGCCGGUUUUGUGAAAAAAACAAGGAAAAAAAAUUAAUAAUGCAUUAUUGCCCUGGUAAAAACAAGAAAAAACAAGGAAAGUUAGGAGAAGAGCCCUAUACGUAGACCACAAGACUAAAGCCGAUUUUGGAAAUUUGGGGACGAAAUCUUUAUAUAAAAUAAGCGGCCGCAAGCAUGGGCUUCAUUAGCCUGUCCCAAGAGCCGGCUCUGGCUACAGGAACUUGUAUGUAACAUGUCGGAAUGCAUGUGUAAUUACGUAAGUGUCAUUUGUAACACGUUUUUUUUUCUCGAAUUGCAUGUGAUAACAUAAUAUAUCUAUUUUAUCAUGUUGUUUUCUCGUUGCACGUUAUUUAUAAAGAGCACAUGAUAUUUCUUGAAAAAAACAUUCUAGUUAGUUUAAUAUAUUUCUUUAUCAUGUUAUUUUGUAGUAAUACAUGUUGUUUUUAUGAUCACAUGUGAUUUCUUUUAAAAAAAAAUUAUUAUUUUGUAAUAAUACACGUUUUUAUUAAAGAUCACAUGUAAUUUUUUAAAAAAAAGAUUCUAUUCAAGUUCAAUUUUUCCAUGCCAAUGUUUUUUCUUAAAAAAUCACUAUAUUUUUUCAAAUAUCAUGUUUUUCAGUACAAUAUAACAUGUGAAUUUUUAUGUUACAUGCUAUUUUGCAAAAUCUUACGAAAUUGUUUUGCAUACUGUUGAACUUGCAACAAACGAAUGAUGGUUUGGUUAUUUCACUUCUUUUGACAACGUGAGACCAUGCUAUUUUGCAACAAAAAGUUUUCUCUCUGCUAUUUACUUAAUUUGUGUGUCUAAUUUGGCUAUUCAGUAAUAUUACCCUACAUUAUAAUAUAUAUAAAAAACAUAUGUAUCAUCGUUUUAUUUUUAUUUUUUUUGGUCACCAUAUGUAUCAUCAUUAUUAAAAAAAUGACAAAAUUUUCAAAUCACCAAAGAAAGUUUGAGCAAAUUCACAUAAGAUAAUUUAUAUUUAAAAAAAAAAAACAUUUAGUUUUUGCAAAUGACAGAUCAAAUGGAGUGGAACUCAUUUGGUGCUAUUAUCUUUCUAACUAUUUAGGAUAAUUUUGAGAAAAAAAAAUCAGAAAACUUUAGAUAUGAAUUUGAAACCAAACCCUAAACUUAGAAUACACAAAAAUCCUUCCUCACUGCCUUAUCCUAAACAACAAGUUUUCAUGACUAAAAAUAUAAAGCUGUUUGGGUUGUCACCUGAUAGUCAACAUUUUGAACAAAACCUCAGAACCUGUUUCUUGUAAGAAUCAACAUGAGCUCAGAAGAAGAUGUGUUUAGUCUCAUCAGCGUUCUUGGUCUCGCCGUUUUCAUCGGUCUCUGCAUCUUGCUCGUUGUUCUUAUUGCAACCUCAGCUCUCAUUCUUGUAAUCUACGCCAUCGUCGACUGCAUUCUCCGACCAUUCUUAGGAACAUGUCUCGACCUAGAUCUCGAAAUCGGAGUACAAAGAGGCCAACAACGUGCUAGAAUCGUGACUUACCAUGCAAUCAUCCCGACCGGUCUACGAUUACCAGAUUUCGAGAGAGAAGGAAAAAAGCGUGGGCUGAAACAAAGCGCGAUCGAAACCCUACUCCCGAAGUUGCUUGUUGGACAAGGCAACCAUGAGGACGACAAAGAGAGGUCACUAGAAUCAAGAGAAUGCGCGAUUUGUCUCAGUGGUUAUGUCAUAAAUGAAGAAUGCAGAGUAUUUCCGGUUUGCAGACAUAUCUAUCAUGCGCUUUGUAUUGACACUUGGCUAAAGAAUCAUCUCACAUGUCCUACUUGUCGUAAAGACUUACCAGAUUCAUGACAAAUCCCUAGCUUCGUUGCGUAAGCUGUACAUAGAUACACUGUCUCUUCUUCAAGAGAUAUAAGGAACGAGUGUCAGGACUUUUUUAUCACCAUACGGACAAAUCAUGGGUGUUCUUUACAACCAAGAAAGAUGCUAUAUAUAUCAUGGUGCUUGAGUUAGAGAUGUUUGUAUGAUUUGCGAUGUAACAGAUACACAACCAAUGAUUUUCGAAUAAUUUAUUAGAAUUUUUAUUAUCAAAAAGAUGAUAGCCAAACAAGAAAAUCUAUUUCGAUUGAAGACGAAAACUGUCAAGGAAAAUAACAGUUAAUUUGAUAAUCUAUUACCAUGUAAGUAGGCCUGGGCAGCUGAAAAACGCAGCGUCCAAUAUUUGCUAGAAUUUCUUUGAUGCUAUACCAAAUGUCAAAAAAGCAACAAUUGUGAUAUAGAAAGCGAUCCCACAAAGAAAACCUGAGAAAAAAAACAAAAACAAAAUAAUUUGACUUAAAAUUGAAUAAUAAUCAAUCACACUAUUCAGAGAAUUAAACACUACAAAUAAUUUCUUUCCUUCCAAUUCAAGAUAAUAAAAAACAGGAAACAAUGUUGGGUUUGGCCGUUUGGCUCACCUCUAUGAUUUGCUUCUCUUAUUGCUCCUAAGUCGACGAAUUCAUCAACCACUGUCUUCAUAAAGCUAGCUACAUUGGUCCUAAACGUCUUGGAGCCGCUCUGUCUAGUUUUUGCAGGGUCUUUGACUCCAUCUUUAACCAUUGAUCCAACAGAAGCUCCAUUUUUAUAAGCAUUGCACGCUUUCACUAUGUCGUGAGACCGGACAAAGAAAUGGCUACGAACAAACUCUUCAAAAUGCUGCACACAUUCAUCACAACAACAGUUCUAACUUCUAACUCCAAAUUUCAUGAAAAAAGCAAUCCAUCUUGGGCAAAAAGGUUUCAUCUUUUUUUCUCGAAACGAAUGAAAUUUUUGACUAAUUACUUAUUUACCUCGGGUGGUUUUCUCAUGCUGUAAACCAUAGUCUUUAACGACAAUAGAAAUACGUUCUCACUGUAAGCUUUGGAAAAAGACUCGCCUGAUGGAGUCCCUAUGGAUUGCUCGUAGCCAGGUUCGUUAAAAUAUGGUUUUUCAUUCAAGAUUAGUGCUUGGAUUGAGACAAGAAGCUGCAACAUUGUGGACUCCUUGGGGAGCCAUUUCUCCCUCGUUUUACCGGUCCAGGUACGGAUAAGACUCAAGCAUACUUUACCACAUUUGUAUAAAUUCGGGUUGAUUCUAAGCCCGCCCGAAUGGUAAUGAACUUUCUGUCAACAACUAAAUGAACUUCCAGAUUGAUUAAGGGUUCCAAGUAAAAGAAAAAAAAAAACAGAACACAUAUUGUUUCCGAGGACAUACUGGUGGCACUGAAGGAUAGGUAUCUGGGAACUGAAUUUCGAAAAAGAAGAGACCGUCAUGGUCAGUGCCGGUCCGAGCAUUUGUGAGGCCCUACACGAAAAAUAAAAUGAGGCCCAAUAUAUUUAUAAGUUUUAGGGCUAAAAUUUUUUUUUUGACCUAUUUUUAGUAAAUUAUACAAAAUAAUGAUAUUUUGAAUAUUAUUACAUUCAAAUUUAAUUGUUUGGGCCCUAUUUUAUUUAUUUUUUUCGAAAAAGACUUUAGUUUCUACCAAAUAUUUUCAUUUUAUAGGCCUUUUUACCAAAAAAAAAAAAAAAAAACCUUAAAAAAAAAAAAAUUGUGGUUCCCCAAGCCACCGCUUGGGUGGCCUGUCCUGCGGGCUGGCCCUGGUCAUGGUAAGGAGUUCCCUCGGCUCCAAUAAUUACAGCUCUCAAAAGAUCCAUUCUUGAUUCACAAGCUCUGACAAAUAUUGUCUCUGUUUGCCAAAAAAAAUCAAAAGGGGAUAUACAUAUUUCUAUAUCUUAGAUAUGUAUAAUUUCCAUAUCUCUUCGUUUCUUUUCAGCAUCAAACACCAUUAACGGUUGAUGGUGUAACCUAGGGGUAUCAAAAUGGGUCAAACCAUUUGUUAUUUUUAAAACCGUCAAUUAUAAACUACUUUACUCAACCGGGGAAAAAAUUGUAAUUCUACUCCAUGUUAUAUCAAAAGUAGUUUAAGAAAAAAUAAAGGCUAAAAUUUUGUCUUCUACGGCUUUAUAUAUUCUUUUUUUUUUUUUCUCUUUUGAUAAUUCCUUUAUAUAUUCUUUCAAUAUGAUUCAUACACUUCACAUUAGUAUCAAAACUCCAUGCAUCGAUGAAAAACCUAAUUUUGUUUUUUUAUCUUUUCCUCGCUGACGAGGAUCAAACACCAUCAACUUUUCUUGCUUCAUGGACACUACAAGAUCGCAUUUUGUGUAAUUUUAGCAAAAGAAAUCAGUUUGGUUGUUCUUUUGCAGGUGACAGACGUGAGACGUGUUGAUAUCACAAGCACAUAGAGGUUCUUGGUGAUUGUACGACAUUAGUUAUAGAAACUUCGGUUAGGAAUGUCCUUGGUAAAAACCGGUUUACCGCAUUAGGCUCGACAGAAUUGGAUGAGGAUUCACAUGAUUUAGACAGCGACUCGUGGACUGAUGGAUCUAGCCAGAGAUUAUUGCAUGAAAGAUCGGUUAAACCAUCCAUUAAGGCUAUGGAGAUGCGCAUCCUCCAAAGCUCACGGACGUGGAAACCGAGGUGGAUGGACAUUGCUAACUUUGUAAAUCAGAACAGAAAAAUGUGAACCCCCAAUUAUAAAAACCAUUUGUCCUUUUAAAACCGAAUCUCAAUUAUAAAACCACUUUUCUAAACCAGAAAAAAAAAAAAUUGCAAUUCAUAUAUCAAAAAUAGUAAAAAGAAAAAGGCAAAAAAAUUUGUCUUCUACUCCAUGUUAGAUCCCUAGUCCACCGACAAGUCUUCUUUCUCGAGUCUUCAACUUGAUACUACUGAAAAACGCAGCGUCCAAUAUUUGCUAGAAAUUCUUUGAUGCUAUAACAAAUAGCCAAAAAACAGCAAUUGUCACAAAAAUGAUAAAAUCCUAAGUUAAAACUCAGAAAAAAUAAUCCUAAUUAAACACUACAAAUUUAAAUAAGAAAAAUACAUACGAGACUGAGAAAGUCAUAAAAAUUUUAUGAAGUAAAACUGUACAUACGAGAAUUACUUGUCUCCCUCUCUAAUUCAGGAUAUGAAAAGCAUGAAACAUUUGGUGGAUUUGGCUCACCUCGAUGAUCUGCUUCUCUUACGGUUUGUUUUAUUGCUCUGAUUCUCUGUGUUAGCACUGCUCUCAGGUGGUUUUGGUUUUUCUGCAAGCUCCUUGACUCCUAGUUUGACAAAUUCAUCAACAACUGUCUGCAUAAAGCUAGCUACAUCGGUCUUAAACUUCUUGGAGCCGCUCUGGCUAGCUUGUUCAAGGUCUUGGACUCCGCCUUUAACCAUCGAUCCAAGCGGAGCUCCAGCUUUAUAAGCAUUGCACGCUUUCACAAUGUCGUGAGACCGGACGAAGAAAUGGUUUUGAACAUACUCCUCAAAAUGCUGCACAUUCAUCACAACAAUGGUUUUAACCCAAUUCAGCUUUUUUCUCAAAACAAAUGCAGAUACAGCGAUUGACAGUCUUUAAAGAGCUGCAUUCAUCACUAUUUUAACCUAAAGUAUCAAAAAAUAAAACCGGAAGAGUUGGAAACCACGUUUCAGCCUAUUCAGGAAACGUAUGAGAAUUUGACAAAUUAUUUACCUGGGGUGGUUUUCUCAUGCUGUAAACCAUAGUCUUUAACGACAAUAGGAAUACGUUCUCACUGUAAACUUUAGAAUGGGACUCGCCUGAUGCAGUCCCCACGCUCUGUACGUAGCCAGGUUCGUUAAAGUAUGGUUUUUCAUUCAAGAUGAGUGCUUGAAUUGAGACAAGAAGCUGUAACAUUGUCGACUCCUUUGGGAGCCAUUUCUCCCUCGCGCUACCGGCCCAGGUACCGAGAAGACUCAAGCAUACUUUACCACAAUUGUAUAGAUUCGGGUUGAUUCUAAGCCCACCGGAAUGGUAAUGAACUUUCUGUCAACAACAAAUUGAACUUCCGGAGUCAUUAAGGUUUCGAAGAAAAAAAACAGAACAGAUACGAAGUUGUUCCUGAGGACAUACUGGUGGUACUGAAGGAUAGGUAUCUGGGAACUGAAUAUCGAAGAAGAAAAGACCAUCAUGGUAAGGAGUUCCCUCGGCUCCAAUAAUUACAGCUCUCAAAAGAUCCAUUCUUGAUUCACAGGCUCUGACAGAUAUUGCCUCUGUUUGCAAAAAUAGUUAAAUUUACAAGAACAAAUAGGCAAAAAAAUGAUGCAAGCUUCAAUCUGCAUAGUGUAUACACCAACCUGGCAAAUCAUUCUCAAGAAUCUUCCAAUCUGCUUGCACCUUUUUCACCCAAUUCUUGGAGUGCUGAUAAGAUAAAAGAGAAGCGGCGGGUAACAUUACAGUUGUUGACAUGAAAGAAAGAUUAAGGGAACAACCACAGAGAUAAUAAAUGUAUCAUCACCUGCUUUGAAGAUUUACCCUUAGAUGCAUAGUGAUGAUCUGAGAAAUCCUCAACAGUGUCAAAUCUUUUAAAAUCCCUCAGAAACUCUUCCUUAAUUUUCCUGACAUUGGAAGAAUCCUGAACUGAAGAAAUAGGCCCAGCCGCUAUAGGGCGAGAAGAACUAGCAGAAGCAUCAAAUCUAAAAGGGUUUGGAGUAGGAUUCGGGACCAUCAAUACAUCAGGAGUCUGAGGUUGAACCACAGAAAACGAUACAGAAGAAUAGAUAGGCUGAUUCUGUUGAGGCAAAGAAUAAUCCCAUAAUUGAGGAACAUGAGUAGUUGCCAGAGAUGAGGUUCCAUACUCUUUCAUCGAUUGACUUCUCAAACUGCUUCUACUUGAUUUCGCUGUUCCCUUACUGCUCGAAUUUAAACCCCAAGGUACUGUCGUCACCUCUGCACCGGCUGGGACAUUCUUAGGAUCUAGAACGUCUUGAAACAUUGUGUAGUCAUCAACAUCAAUUGGUUGAUUAGAAAAUUGACUAAAAGGGUUAUUCUUAUGACCAUAAUAGUCUUGGACCGUCUCUAAGUUAAUCGGCGAAGAUCCAGGAUGAUGAGAUUGAACGUUGUUGUAAGAAAAGGAGUCAACUUGUAUUGCCUUCCCUUUGUUCUUCUUAUCAACAACAUUGUUACCACCAUUAAGACCACCAACAUUCCGGAAUUCAUAAUUUUCCACAUCAAUCACUUCAGGAACAGCCUACAAAGCAACAAACUUUACCAUAAACAAACACAAAAUUUACAUGUAACCAGACAAAGCAACAAAAUUUACGAUUGAUAACAAACUAAAAACAGAGAAAACAAGUGAAAUUUCACAAACAUUGACAAGAGACGAACCAAACACAAAAUCUAAAUGCAAGCUUUUGAAUUUCACAUAACCUAAAGCUGAUCACUUUCAAACUUAUGAAACUGUAAGAAGAACACAAUCAAUACGAUUAGUCAAGAAGAACAAAACCCAUCAAUCAAACGGCAAACAGAAACAGAUGAAGCAUAGUACACGAGAAGAAACAAAGAAACAAGAUAAACCAAAACCCACAUAAACCCUAAAUCAAAAACCAAACCCUAAACACCCAAAUGAUCAUCACGCAUCAACUAGCGAACAAAAUUCCAGCUUUUUCCAGGUGAAUCAGUAAAAUUCUGCACAGAAAUAUAAAAAUCAAACCUUUCUGGGUUUACGAGUUCUAGAGCCCGAAGCGAUCAGAGGAGGAGGAGGGAUCUCCACCACGUCAGGCUCCAUUGACGAAAUUCCCAAAGUUUGAUUCUUUAUUUUGUGAAAACAAAUAAAAACCAAAACAGUGAGUGAUUAAAGAAAAAGAGAAAGAUUUUGGCCUCGGGAUUAUAGCAAGAUUUUGUCUCUUCACAAUUCGCGCCGGAGUUAUAUAUAACACACCCAAACAGUGAAGAUUUUACUCUAUCAUCGACUCUUUUUAAACAAGCCACUCCAUAAUUCUCAUUCUCAAUAAUCUCUUUAUUUUAUUAAUUUUUAAUCAUAUUUUUUUUCCAAAUUUUGGGUCAAUCAAAAGGUCUCCGCCGAUUAUCCUUAAUUUCAUGACGUGUCAGAAUCGACGGUUCUGAUGGGUGAUUAGGAAGGUGAAGCUAGGAAUUUAUAGCCGUUGGAUAUGAGGAUAGGUUUUUAUAAUCAAUCCAACGGCUAAUAACAGAAGAAUUAUCAUAGAAAAUCAAAAUGGAAGAUUAGAAGAUAACACCAACAAAAAAUAUAUAUUUUUUUUAGUUUUUCGGUGAUAUAGUUGGAAGUAAAUAAGGAAGUUAUCAAAAAUCAGAAAUAAAUAUAUUGGAGUAUCUAGAGUUUUGACCAAUUUCUAACAUUUUUGUUGUUCUAUUUAUUACUAUCAAUAUUCUAAAAUAGCCUAGAUAUGCAGGGUCUGCCACAGAUAUCCAAGACACAUGGGUAUUGGGUUUCCAAAAAUUUAAAGAUUUUUUUGUACAAUAUUAGGCUUCAAAAUAAUUUGAUAUUGCAUAAAUAGGCCUCAGUUUUCCGAAAUGUUUAGAUUUUGUGUCAAAUUUUAAAUUCUAUUUAUUUUUAUUGCAAAAACAGGCCUCAUUUUUCUGAUGUCUUAAGAUUUGGUCUCAAGUUUUAACAUUUAUCGGUGAAAUCCAUAAAAAAAAUUUGCUUUUGUAUUGGACAUCUGUUUCAACUGGGCCGGCACUGGCUAUACGGCAUAUUACUAUACUGUUUUUAAGUUAUGUGUUUAACAAAUACGGUAGGACUCAAUACGGCCGCUUAUACGGCGCUAUACGGCCACUAUACGGCUCAAUACGACUCAAUACAGCGCUAUACGACUCAAUACAGCCACUUAUACGGUGCCGCUUAUAUAAAUACGGUUCUCAUUAUGUUUUCAUAUUUUUGAGGGUUGAAAUUUUAACGUGAAACUCCUUUUAUUUUUUUUGACAAUUGGUUUUUUUAUAGAGCAUUUUCACUCGGACAUUUUAAUAUUUAUGAUAUUAUAUAUAUUUGCAAUAUAUAUUAUGUAUUUUAGGACAGGCUGUUGUGUAAAAUUCCCAAAAAAAGAAUAAGAUGUAUUAUGUUUAGUUUUUUUUUUUAUCCAUGAAAUUUUGUUUUUAAAUACAUACUCUCAAACUUUGAAACCCUCGGAUCGAAGACACGAAAGAUGAGCUUCGAUCCAUUUCGUGCAAGCGGAUUCACCGUGUUCUACAAUGCACUCAUCUCUUAGCUUUUUUGUAUCAGGACAAGCACAGCAUAUCCUCUUCUUUGGUUUCGUCUCUGUGGCAGCCACAUUUUUGCUUGGCUGGUCCAAGGAACACGCACUGUCUUGAGCUUGUGAACCACUCAUCCUAUCAUAUCAUAUUCUCAGAAUGUUACGCUAAGAAAACUCAAAACCACAUUCAACAAUAACCAAAGAGCAAUGAAACAUUAGAAAAAGGUAAACACUGGUUAACAUUUGAUGCUUUAAAGGGUUGGGUAGAUCAGUGCACGAAUAUAAACAUGAAAAAAUUGAUCAUUUGAAUGCUCUCAAAGAUAAAUUGAUAUAAACAGUAGCCAAUGAUCAAUUAGAAGAAACAAGAACAUUGGUAUACAUACACAAAUAUAAACAUGAAACACAAAUCAUAUGAAUGCUCUUCUAAGAUUAAUCGAUACACAGGUAUUUCGGUAGUUAAGCGAAAGAGUGAUAAUCCUUCCUUAAAAAGGUAGCUUCUUUUUGUUACCUCACAUAAUCCUUACCAGACACAGAUAAACAAUCAAAUCUGAAUGCUCUUCUAAGUGAAAUUUACAAACUGUUAUUUCAUCCACAAUGCGAAAGAGGAGAAUGAAUCCUUGUCUACUAAAGAUAUAUCUUUCGAAAUUACCAACACAACGAACGGCUUCUAGUUGAUUUGUUGUCACCAGCCACCACAAUAUCGAUAAUCAAAUAAGGUAAAACCCUGAACCCCAAAUUACAAAAUCUCAUUCCCUAGUGAAAUUAACACCAUUGCAUCAAAUCAAUACCAAACUAGAAGCUGAUUUUGUAACAUUCCAAUCCUAUUAAACCUCAAAUCAGACAAACAGAUAGUCAAAGAAAGAAUCAACACAACAAAAUUCAGGAAACAAAAAAAACUGAUAAAUUCACUCGCACAAUCAUAUGAUCCUCCGAUUAGGGAAAAAAUUAAAAUUAAAAAAGCAAGAGACGAAAGAACUGACCUUUGAUCGGCUUGAAACGGAGAGUCUUGAGAGAAACCAAAAAAAAAAAAAAAAAAAAAACGCUAAGAAGGAAGAAAUGAGAAAUGUAAAAGCUAACAACGUAAGAACACAUUAAAUUUAGGACAAAUUUAAGUUAUUGGGCCACUGAUGGGCUUUUCACAAUUGAUUUAACCAAAAUGAUAAGAAUCUGUGAUUCUUCUUUUACAAUAAGUUGAUAGGAUUUACCAAAUAUAGGAUCUACUAGGCCUGGGCAUUCGGAUUUCGGUUCGGAUUUAUUCGGCUUCGGAUAAUUCGGAUAUGAGAUUUUAUUAUCCGUUCGGAUUUUAUGACUAUUCGGAUCGGGUUCGGUUCGGAUAGUAUCGGAUUCGGAUCGGUUUUGGAUCGGUUUUCGAGAAAAAAAAACUAAAAAAUGUUCAAUUUAGAUAUAACUAAUAUUUUUGGAUAUAUAAUUUUAUUUUUGGUUUUCGGAUAUCCUUUCGGUUUUCGGUUCGGAUCGGGUUCGGUUCGGAUAAUUUGGAUAGGAGAAUUCAUUAUCCGUUCGAGUUUUGUGACUAUUCGGUUUGGAUUCGGAGCCGGAUUUUUCGGAUCGGUUUCGGAUCGGUUUUCGGAUUUCGGAUUUUAUGCCCAGGCCUAGGAUCUACAUUACAUAGGAAAAAUGAAUGAACAAAGACAUCCAAAAAGUUGUCAUUAAUUGAGUCCGAGGCUGGUUUGCCACUAAUUGGAGAAAAUGAAUCCGGCAUGCCAUUUUGUGAUCUGAAUGCCAUUGUAAAUGUGAUAUUCCCAAAUUACCCUUAAUGAAAUAAGAGACGAUUGGUACAACUAAGAGAUAAUAGUACAACUGGUACAAUUAAAAGAUAAUAUGAAAACUGAUACAAAUAGUAUAACUGUGAGAUAAUUGGACAACUGGUACAAAUGGUAUUACUAAAAGAUAAUAGUACAAUUGAUACAAUUGGUAUAACUGACAUAUAAAUAGGUACAACUGGUACAAAUAGUUAGGUACAAUGGUACAAAUAGUUAGGUACAACCAGUGUUCAAGAAAGCGCUAGGCGCUAAGCGGGCGGUGAUUCAGUGCCUAGCGCCUAGAACGCCUAAUCGGGGCCUAGGCGAUUUUUUAGGCGGUUUAGACGUUUAUAACAUAAUACAUUAUAAAUAUGAUAUUAUAUAUAAAAGUUAUAUAAAAUAUUAAUAUAAAACUAAAAAUUAUGAAAUUAUAAACAAAAACUAGAUAAAAUAUUUAUUUAUAUUUAUAUUAAACAAUAUAUGAAUAUUUAUAACUAUAUAUAUAUAUAUAUAUAAAUAAAACUCUAAUUGAAAUUGAAAAAAUACAUUAAACAAGAUCUAUGUAAUUUUAGGCGGUCAAAGCGGUUAUCUAGGCGUCGAAUGAGAGCCUAGCGCCUAGUCGGGGCCUAGGCGACCGCCUAGACCGCUUUUUAGAACAGAGGGUACAACUGGUACAAAUAAGUAGGUACAACUGAAACGAAGCAAUUGUAAUUCUAAACCCUAGCGCCGUCACACUUACUAAUUCGCCUCUUCUUGCUUUCUUCAUCGUCGUCGUCGCCGAUUAUCCGCCGUCAACCUUCUUUGUCGAAGUUUGUGAACCGUUUUUCUCACCAAUCGAUUGCGCACUUCAAAGGACGAAAGCACAGGGAGAUAUCCAUGGAGAAGAAACAUGAAGAGAGAUCCAUGAUUAGUGAAUCUAAGAAAUCCAUGGAGAAGAAACAUGAAGAAAGAUUCAAUCUAUGAAGAAACGCAAAGAGAGAUCUAUGGAGAAGAUAGAUCUAAAGUUUCAUUGAUGAUGAUGAUGAUAGAGAAGAAGAGAUAUAAAGUGAAAGAUCCAAAAAAAAAAUCUAGAAAAAAUGAAAGAAGAAGAAGAAGAAGAAGAAGCGUGAAAGAAGAAGAGGAGUGAAAAAAGAAGAAGCGUGAAAGAAGAAGAGGAGUGAGUGGCAGGGAUACGUAAUUAUCAAAUUAGGGUAAGGGUUUUUGGUCCUUUUGUAUUUAUUUGAUUUAAAUUCUUUUAUUUUUAUUAUUCUAAAAAAUUGGGUGGCUUUCUAGCCUUUUUGUUCCCACAUAGUGGCAUUCUAGGCAUUGUUUCUCAUUAAUUUCAGACUUAUAUGAUUUGUUUGAUCUGUUCAUGUCUGAAUCUAAAGCUUUUCACUUUUCCUCUUUUAUCAAACUUGAAAAUCAAAGACUAUAUAAUAUAUCAAAUAUGGUUUUUCCUUAGCCCACAAGUUUGUUAAACAAGAAAAAAAAAGAUCAAAAACAUCAUCAAUCAUACUUCUCUCUCCAAGAAUAAACAAGAAAGAAAACCCAAGAAAUAGCCAAAGCAAUGUCUCCAAGAGCUUGUUUAGGCCAUUCAUAAGCAAGAUCUUCAAUUUUCCACUCGAACAGAACCCUCCACAUAGCCAUUAACACAUAUAGAAUCACAGAACCACCAGCGAAGAAGCUAUGAAACUCUCUGUCUUUCACAAAGGACACCAUGAACAGUACCAAACCAAUUGCAAAGAGAAGCAAACCAGAGAAUGACUGAGAAAUCUGUAUGAGUAGUUCAUCGUGUGGCGUUGAUCCUUUUAGUUUGCUAGCAAUCUCACUUCCUGGUCCAAAGAUUGAAGCUUUCUCUGUGUAGAACAUCAUUAGGGUUCCACUAGUAAGCGCGAUUAUCGAAUGGAGUAUACAGAUUACUCGAAACGAAGAUGGAUUCAUCGAAAAUGAUGUAGUCAUGAAUGAAAAUAAAGGAAGAGACUUUGUUAUUUAUCUGAGCUUUUCUCACAAACCCAUUUGCAUAUAUAAAGAUCGAAAAAAGAGCAGAUUUUGUAACCAAACUUUAAAGAGAAGAUUAAAAAGGGAAGUUUUGGAUCACGGGUUUAUUGUGGAAAUAGAAAGAUUGGAGAUUUUACUAGUUUGGGAACGCAAUGAAGAAGCCAUGGAGGAAAGGUAUGGACUUGGCUUUUGGGAAGAGAGAAUUGAUCUGUUUUAGGGAUUUGGACUUUGAUAGAUUCCAUGGUUUUUGAUUUCUUUAAUACUACAUAUGAAAAUUUGUAAGGUUUUUGGUUUAAUGUGGGUCACUUCUUUCUUUGGACAAAUUUCAUUAUUUUCUUCUAGAAAAGCUAGACAAUUUCAAUCCCCACGUCCCAACUAAUUUAUAUUAAUUAUGACUAAUAAGAAAUUAAUUUUCUUAACAUAUUAUUCUUUUUUUUUUAUGAAAUUUGAGGUGGAGAAAUAAUUGAAAGAUUCUAGGCAAAAAUACAAAAGUGUUAUAAAUCACAUAUUGGAUGGACUCCAUAACCGUGGGCCUAAUCCAUAUCCUAGAAGGCCCAUGUCCAUGUUCUUGAAGAUUCUCCUUAUGACGGCCUAUAUUGUACUUAGUGGGCUUUUGGGCUUUAGGGUUUACUAGCCCAAUGGGGAUUUGUCUCCCCUCAUCAUGUAUAUAUAUGUAUCGACACCUCAUUCAUUAAUAGAUAGAACAACAAGUUUUAUAACACGUUAUCAGCACGAGUUUGCUCUUAACAACCCUAAUCCUAAAAAUCGCGGUACUGUUCACGCCGACACUGUUCAUCGCGGUACUGUUCAUCGCCGUACUGUUCAUCGUGACACUGUUCAUCGUGGUACUGUUUGCGGUUCGUUGCAGCAGCGUGAGUUACCGAGGUCUUUAGCUCCCGGUUCUAGUCCAUACAACCCCACAAGGUGAAAGGUAACAUCAAAACCCUAAAGCUAAAGAACCAACAAUUGAACUUGAAAGUUAAGCAAAGAGAAACCCUAAAACGAAUGAUGAUUGAUUAAGUGAUUGUUUUGCUUGUAUGAUUCGAUUGCUUGCUUGAUCCGAUUGCUUGUUUGCUCGAUUGUUUGACUCGUUUAGGUUGCUAGAAAAAGUUGAUUAUCGCUUAAGCUAAACUCGCCUAAGUUGCUAGAGAAGUUUUAAUUAUCUAAACCUAAAAAUCGCAAAUCGAAAAUACCUAAACUAAGACCGAAACUUUAAAAGCCUAAAACCCUAAAACUAAACAGAACUAAUCCGAAAAUUCCAUAAGUAUAAAUCGGCUUGCUUGAGGUUGUUUAGGUUGUUAGAUUGAUUGUUUCUUGAUUACAUGCAUAAGUUGUUAGAAACCCUAAAAACUAAAAAUCGCAUGAACCCUAGAAAAACUUAGAAAAGAUAAUCCUAAAAGAAAAUAUUAAAAUCCUAAAAUCUUUGGGAUAAUAGGAAAUCUUAAAACCCUAAAACCUAAAACCCUAAAAUCUUAAAAUAAAAUAGAAAAUCUUAAAACCCUAAAUCUUAGGGAUAAUAGGAAAUCUUAACAACCCUAAAUCCUAAGUAAAAAUAGGAAAUCUUAAAACCCUAAAUCUUAGGGAUAAUAGGAAAUCUUAACAACCCUAAAUCCUAAAUAAAAUAGGGAAUCUUAAAAUCCUAAAUAAAAUAGGAAACUUUAAAAUCCUAAUAGAAAGCAUGAAAACCUAAAUAAAAUCCUAAAUCCUAUUGUACUCUAAAUCCUAAUUAAAUUAGGAAAUUCAUAAAUCCUAUUCAAGAUAGGAAAACUUUAAGAAAUAAAAAAUUUCCAAAUCCUAAUUAAAAUAGGAAAUCUUAAAAUCUAAAAUCAUAAGUGAAAUAGGAAAAUUAAUCCUAAAGUAAAGAGGAAAGUAAAUCCUAAAAGGAAAAGGAAAAGUUAAUCCUAAUCAAAAGAGGAAAUCUAAUCCUAAGCAAAAGAGGAAAGUCAAAUCCCUAAGUAAAUCGAUUCAUGGUUCGGUCUCAAAUACCGCAUGACACUAACGAUUACAUGAUUUUGACUCAAAACUUUUCCUUGUAGAUGUUGAAUUACAACUUGUACUUUACUGCCCUAAAUCUCUUAGGAGAUAAUUAUUUUAAAAUGGGCAAUGGAUACUAAGAUUAUCCUAAAGUCAAAAGGACUUGGUGAAUGUAUCUAAUAAGGCAAGAAUGCCAAGAGAGAAAAAUAGAUACAAGGCAAUAUUAGCCACCAUCUUAUUGAGAGUCUCAUAAUCCAGGACUAUAAGUCCGUGGAUGAGUCUAUUGCUAGAUGAGCAAAAUAAUGACUUACAGAUAAAAACAGUGAAUUACGACCUCAUAGAUUAACCCCAUUACCUAAUGCCAAUAAGGCCGCAUAGGAUAAGAAAGAAUCCAAAGAAUCUAACCACGUCUAAAGUGAUAGACCACACGGCCGUGACCGUGGUGGAUGGAAAGGACGUGGUUGUGGCCACUAUAACUCAUCCGGCCGUGGGAACCACUAUAACCGUGGAUGUAGACCCAAUUCCGGCCGUGGUCGAGGGCGAGGACGAUGUGGUAUUUCCAAACCACAACACUCGACCAAAUGAGUAUGCCAUAGAUGUGGUAUUGAAAGGACGUGGUUGUGGCCACUAUAACUCAUCCGGCCGUGGGAACCACUUUAACCGUGGAUGUAGACCCAAUUCCGGCCAUGGUCGAGGGCGAGGACGAUGUGGUAUUUCCAAACCACAACACUCGACCAAAUGAGUAUGCCAUAGAUAUGGAAUGGGAAACCAUUGGGCUAAGAUAUGUAGGACUUCCAAACAUCGUUGUGACCUCUAUCAAGAGAGUGUAAAAGGGAAGAAUCCUAAAGCCCAUUUGGUAUAUAAAGAUGGUGAACAUGAUCAAGAUGAUCUAAUAGAGUAUGAAACUUCUGAUUGCAUAAAAGAAUCAAGUUGAUAAAUCUUACUUCGACAUCAAAACCUCUAUGUUUUUCUUUGCAUUUUAUGUGUUCAUUGAUUGUUAUUUGCUUGAAUUUAUUUUAUAUUAUUUUAUGUUUAGAACAUGAUUCUUGUCCAUAUAAGAAAUGGCCGAGGACAAGAACAUAAUUGUGGUGGAUAGUGGAUCGAGCCACACAAUUUUAAAAAGACAAAAGAUACUUUAUAAAUCUAACAUUGAAAAUGCCAAUAUUAGCACCAUAGCGGGUAUAGCUAGUCUUAUUGAGGGCCACGGUCAAGCCAAUAUACUUUUAUCAAAGGGCAUGCAUCUUGAAAUAAGCGAUGCCCUAUAUUCACCCAGCUCGAAGAAGAGCUUGUCAAGUUUCAAAAAUAUAAGAUUGAAUGGUUUCCAUAUUGAAACAAAGGGUGAAGGGAACAAAGAAUUCCUAAAUAUAAUUGAGAUCACCCAAGGACAUAAGAAUGUCCUAGAGACUAUACCCGCAUUAUCUACUGGUCUCUACUAUGCUAAAAUCGAUAUGAUCGAAGCUAAUAUGGCAAUGAACAAAGAGUUCGUCGAGAAAUUCACUUUAUGGCAUGACCGGCUUGGCCAUCCGGGUCAAAAUAUGAUGCGUAAAUUAAUGACUAAUUCAAAGGGGCACACCCUAAAAGAAAAAGAGUUAUCCCUAAGAAUCUCACGUGUGAAGCAUGUUCACAAGGGAAACUUAUUAUAAGGCCAUCACCGGCUAAGGUAAAUAAAGAGACUUUAAAUUUUCUGGAAAGGAUACAAGGGGAUAUAUGUGGACCAAUACACCCAUCAUGUGGGACGUUUAGAUACUUUAUGGUUCUCAUUGACGCGUCGACAAGAUGGUCGCAUGUUUGUCUCCUAUCUACUAGAAACCAAGCGUUUGCUAGGUUAUUGGCCCAGAUAAUAAGACUGCGAGCCCAUUUUCCAGAUUUUCCGCUUAAGACUAUACGUCUAGACAAUGCCGGUGAAUUCACGUCCCAAGCAUUUAAUGACUACUGUAUGUCCAUGGGGGUAAGUGUGGAACAUCCCGUAGCACAUGUACAUACACAGAAUGGAUUAGCGGAAUCCUUCAUUAAACGAAUUCAAUUGAUAGCUCGACCAUUACUCAUGAGGUCAAAGCUUCCAGUAGCCGCUUGGGGACACGCUGUUUUACAUGCAUCAGAACUUAUACGCAUAAGGCCAUCUAGUGAACAUAGAUAUUCACCAUCCCAAUUACUCAUGGGUCAUGAGCCAGACAUAUCCCAUCUAAAGACUUUCGGGUGUGCCGUAUAUGUACCGAUUGCUCCACCACAUAGGACAAAGAUGGGACCUCAAAGGAGGAUGGGAAUAUAUGUUGGAUUUUAUUCUCCCACCAUUAUUAAGUAUCUAGAGCCAACUACGGGUGAUCUAUUUAAGGCUAGAUACGCGGAUUGUCAUUUUAAUGAAUCCGAAUUUCCUACUAUAGGUGGAGAGACGAACAAGCUGGGUAAAGCAAUAAAAGAAAUAUAAUGGAAUCAAACAUCCUUAAAUUGGCAAGAUCCUCGGACUCUGGCAUGAGAAUCAGAGGUCCAUAAGAUUAUACAUUUGAAAAGCUAGCUAAUCAAUUGCCAGAUUCCUUUGCUGACCCAAAGAAAGUUACAAAAACGUACAUACCAGCUUGUAAUGCACCAGUACGUAUUGAUAUCCAAAAGGGAAUCAAUGAAAUUGCUACAGAGUCUAACACACGUAAGAAACGUGGUAGACCAAUAGGUUCCAAAGAUAAAAAUCCUCAAAAAUCAAAGAAAGGUGUAGUAGGAAACGAGGUUAAGGAAACCAUAGACAUGGCCGCGGCAGACCCUAAGGAACCGAAUAGAGAGAUUUGGGACGCCAAUCCUCAUGGUCCUGAAGGGAUAGAUGAUAAUGAGAAAUCAAUAAAUUAUAUCAUGUCUGGAAUAAAAUGGAACCGCAAAGAUGUCGACAUCGAUGAAAUAUUUGCAUAUAAGGUAGCAAUUGAAAUAAAUGAGGAUCAUGAACCCACGUCUAUAUUAGAGUGCACUCAAAGAUCAGAUUGGCUAAAAUGGAAAGAAGCCAUAAACGUGGAAUUAAGUUCAUUAAAGAGAAGAGAUGUGUUUGGUCCGACAUUAAGGACACCAUCUGAGAUAAAACCAGUAGGACACAAAUGGGUCUUUGUAAGGAAGAGAAAUGAGAAUAAUGAAAUCGUGAGACAUAAGGCACGGCUUGUAGCACAAGGAUUCUCACAAAGACCGGGGAUAGAUUAUGAAGAAACAUACUCCCCUGUGGUGGAUCCUAAGACAUUUAAAUUUUGCUAAGUCUGGCUAUAUAAAGAAAAAGACUUGAUUUGCGGCUAAUGGAUAUAAUGCCUGCAUAUUUAUAUAAGUCCACUGGAUGAUAUAUAUGAGAUUACCAGAGGGUAUUAAGCUCAAAGAUAAAGAUAAGAAAGGGUCUCGAGACCAAUACUGCAUAAGGCUGAACAAAUCGCUUUAUGGACUGAAACAAAGUGGACGCAUGUGGUACAAAUAGAUUAAGCGAGUACCUAGUCAGAGAAGGUUAUAAGAAUGAUCCCAUCAGUCCAUGUAUCUUCAUAAAGAAAUUUGCAAACAAAGGGUUUGUGAUAAUAGCAGUAUAUGUGGAUGAUUUAAACAUCCUUGAAACCUCUGGGGAAAUCGCCCAAACAGUCAAAUAUCUAAAGAAAGAAUUCGAGAUGAAAGACCUAGGCAAGACAAAAUUCUGUUUGGGAUUGCAACUUGAGUACGUGAAUAAUGGAAUCCUUGUGCAUCAAAAGGCAUAUACUGAAAAAGUACUUAAGAGAUUCAAUAUUGUUGGUGUCGGAUCCCCCACCAGAAGUCCGAGACCAACCAAAGAUUGCCACGUAGUCAAGAUAAUGGCCCAUAAAGGAUGAAGCCCAUUGGACCCAUGAGCCGAAGGAACGGUCGAAGUGGUUGUCACCACUUCGAGAAUCCGAAGUGACUGCACUGUGACAUGAGUUCGGUGUAGAAGACACGGGUAAGUCGGUUCAAGGACACUUGGGCCGAAAAGGCGAGGCCCACGAAGAUCAGAGUCAACUCAAAUUCAAACGUUGAGCAUUAAAGUCAAAGAAUCAAAACGGACGCAUUUAAGAAGGAAUAAUUGUACUUAAUUACUCAUUUUAAUGCCGUUUCUCUAUGUAUAAAUAUAAAGGCCAAUGGCCAUGUAAAAGGGAGCGAUCUCUAAAGCAAGAAAUACGAUAGCAAUUUUUGUAGCAAUUCAUAAGCCUUUUACUUUCUUAUUUUUGUCCCUCGAGAAUAAUCUUUCCUACUAAUAAAAAUACUUGAGUGUGUGAAUCCGACAUCCACAUUUUGGCGCCGUCUGUGGGGACAGAAGGUUCUUGAGUGGUCAGAUUUUUUCUUUAUUACACUUCCGAGAUAAGCAACAAUGUCCGGAGGAGACGCCGUUGAGACAUCAUUGGCCGAAACCCUCAAAGCUAUGCAGCAAACCAUGUCGGACAUAUCAAAAAAGUUCUCGGAUGUGGAAAAGGCCGUCGAUACGUUGCAAACAUCCCAGGUAUCUCUUAGUCAAAACGUCAAUACUAUACAAACUCGUGUUCGCUCUUUAAGUGCAGGAAACCUUGUGGGAAUCCAAAGAGGGAUAUUCAACUCGCCAAGUUCCGCUGCACGAAAUGAAACCAGCGGACAAACAACUCCCGGUGCUACUAAUAAUGUAGCUCAGACGUUGGAAGAAGAGACACAGCUCGGAGAUGAAGAACAACUUGCAGCUCAAUACGAGCAGGAGAACCUCGACCAGUUCGAGACCAUGAGGAAGGUUAGCCAGGAAUUAAAAAAAAUGAAAUCAAAAUUUCAUCAAGCUACAAGUUCGGAGCCAGACAUCAAUCGAGUCAUUGAAGAAGCUAGGCGAACACCUUUCAUCUCGCGAAUUGCAAGUUUGAGGAUCAAAGAUUCCCGGAAACUCAAGUUGGACCCUUACAGCGGAUUGGAGGACCCAAAAAGCUAUCUCGCAGCUUUUCUGAUCGCUGCUGGAAGAGUCGAAUUGGAUGAAGCUGAUGAAGACGCAGGUUACUGCAAGCUCUUUUCGGAAAAUCUAUGUGGCCAAGCUCUAAUGUGGUUCACCCAAUUAGAGCCGGGUUCGAUCAGCAAUUUCGACGAACUAUCAGCCGUAUUCUUAAAGCAAUAUUCCAUCCUUAUGGAUAAAAGCGUUUCGGAUGCCGAUCUUUGGAACUUAUCGCAAGGGUCAAGUGAGUCACUUCGAGUUUUCAUCACCAAGUUCAAAGGAGUGCUGUCAAAGCUCCCAAGAAUCUCACAGCAAUCAGCUUUAUCUGCCCUACGAAAAGGAUUGCGACAUGAUUCAAGGUUUAAAGAAGACUUAAUACUUCAUAAGCCAGACACAAUUCAAGAUGCACUCUUCCGUGCAAACAAUUGGAUGGAAGUAGAGGACGAGAAAGAAAAAUUUGCCAAAAGAAAUAAGCAAGAAAAGCCGGCAAUCACCGUCCCUACCAAGAAGUUCGAGCCUAGGGAGAGCAAAGGACCAAGAAAAUUCGGGUCGCAACCCUUCAACAGUACUGUCGGAAAGCAAUUCCAAGGAAAAGGAAGGUCAAACACUUGGGUCCGCGAUGAAAGUUUAUAUUGCGAUAUUCAUAAAGUAACCGGACAUUUAACCAAGGAUUGUAGUGUCCUUAAAAGGCACCUUGCGGAGCUUUGGGCCAGUGGAGAUCUUUCCAAAUUCGAUAUAAAAGAUUUUGUGAAGGAAUACCACGAAGCAAAGGAAAACUCCAAAGAUCAAGAUUCCAAAAGACCAAGGUUAUCCAACGAGGAAGAACCAAGGAGUUCGAAGGGUAAGAUCAAUGUGAUUCUAGGAGGCUCCAAAUUUUGUCAAGAUUCGAUAAGUUCCAUCAAAAAACAUAGACGAAAUGUCUUACUCAAAGCAAGCUUGAGCGAAGAAGUUGAUUUUCAAGGUGCCUCAAUAUCAUUUAACGAAGAAGAAACGCGGCAUCUCGAAAGACCGCAUGAUGAUGCUCUAGUCAUUACCCUUGAUGUUGCUAACUUCGAAGUAUCAAGGAUCCUUAUCGAUACAGGCAGUUCGGUCGACUUGAUCUUUUUAAGUACUCUAGAAAGAAUGGGAAUCAGCCGGGGAGAUAUAGUAGGACCCCCAUCUCCAUUAGUUGCGUUCACAGGCGAGUCAGCCAUGUCUCUCGGAACAAUCAAGCUACCGGUCCUUGCCAAGAAGGUAUCGAAGAUCGUGGACUUCGUUGCCUUCGAUAAGCCCGCAGCUUACAACAUCAUCCUCGGGACUCCCUGGAUUUAUCGAAUGAAAGCAGUCCCCUCUACAUACCAUCAAUGUAUCAAAUUUCCAACAUCAAAUGGGGUGGAAAUAAUUCGGGGAGAUCAAGAAGCUUCACGGACGUGUUACUUAGCUAGCCACCGUUUGAAGAUCCAAUAGCAAUUAACAAAGCCCGCAAAAGAAGGACUAAGGCAAAAAUUUCCUAGUGGGCAGGAAAAAGAGGAUGUAGUAGUCGAAGUGGUAUUGGAAGAAGACAAACCAGAUCGGAAAGUCCGAAUUGGAGCAACUUUGACUGGCCAAAUAAAAGAAGCUUUGGUCAAACUUUUAAGGAGAAACAAAACAUCGUUUGCAUGGUCAGCAACAGACAUGCCUGGUAUAGAUCCAAAUAUAAUUUGUCACGAGCUAAACGUGGAUCCGAGCUUCAAGCCGGUGAAACAGAAAAGAAGAAAGCUCGGAGUGGAGCGAGCCAAAAUAGUAAAUGACGAAGUGGAUAAACUUUUGAAGAUAGGGUCCAUAAGAGAAGUGCAAUACCCGGAAUGGGUAGCAAACACUGUCGUUGUCAAAAAGAAGAAUGGGAAAGAUAGGGUUUGCAUCGAUUUCACAGACCUAAAUAAAGCAUGUCCCAAAGAUAGUUUCCCGCUCCCACAUAUAGAUCGACUUGUAGAGUCCACCGCUGGGAACGAGCUGUUAACAUUCAUGGACGCCUUCUCGGGUUAUAAUCAAAUAAUGAUGAACCCCGAAGAUCAAGAAAAGACGUCAUUUAUCACAGAUAGAGGUAUCUAUUGUUAUAAGGUAAUGCCUUUUGGUUUGAAAAAUGCAGGAGCAACUUAUCAACGGUUGGUUAACAAGAUGUUCCAUAAUCAUCUCGGGAAAACAAUGGAAGUCUACAUAGAUGAUAUGUUGGUUAAAUCGUUAAAGAAAGAGGAUCACGUUAAGCAUUUAGAGGAAUGUUUUGAUAUUCUCAAUAAAUAUCAAAUGAAGCUGAACCCGGCGAAGUGCACAUUUGGAGUCCCAUCCGGAGAAUUUCUUGGUUAUAUCGUGACAGAAAGAGGGAUUGAAGCCAAUCCAAAUCAAAUUAACGCCUUUCUAAACAUGCCCUCUCCAAGAAACUUCAAAGAAGUACAACGGUUGACUGGGAGGAUUGCGGCUCUGAAUCGUUUUAUCUCGAGAUCAACAGAUAAGUCGUUGCCUUUCUACCAAAUUCUAAAAGGGAACAAAGGAUUCCUUUGGGAUGAGAAGUGUGAAGAAGCUUUUGGGCAGCUUAUGGCAUACUUAACCACUCCACCUAUAUUGUCCAAACCGGAAGUGGAUGAAAAACUUUAUUUGUACGUAUCGGUUUCAAACCACGCGGUUAGUGGAGUCUUGGUUCGGGAAGACCGUGGGGAGCAGAAACCAAUUUACUACGUGAGCAAGUCAAUGACGGAUCCGGAAACCAGAUACACGAUGAUGGAAAAACUUGCACUCGCGGUGGUAACUUCGGCUCGGAAGCUGCGCCCAUAUUUUCAAUCCCAUCCGGUUGAAGUAUUAACCAACCAACCACUCCGAACAAUACUUCAUAGUCCAAGUCAGUCCGGACGUUUGGCGAAAUGGGCGGUGGAGUUAAGCGAGUACGAUAUAGAAUUCAAAAGCCGGAUCAGUAUGAAAGCUCAGGUUCUAGCAGAUUUCUUAACCGAGCUACCAAUACCUGGAACGAUAGAGCAUUCGGAGAACCAAACUUGGAAAUUACACGUAGAUGGGUCUUCAACAAAGCAAGGAUCCGGAGUGGGAAUCAAGUUGGAAUCUCCAACAUCAUAAAUUCUAGAACAAUCAUUCCGGUUGUUAUUCAAUGCCUCCAACAACGAGGCAGAGUACGAAGCCCUGAUUGCCGGACUUCGAUUAGCACAAGGAGUUGGAGCUAAGGAAAUAUUGGCUUAUUGCGAUUCGCAAUUAGUAGUUAACCAGUUUAAUGGAGACUAUGAAGCCAAAGACUCAAGAAUGGAAGCGUACCUCGAAGUGGUGAAGGAUUUAUCUAAAAAUUUCUCGAAAUUCGAAUUAAUCCGCAUACCUCGGGGAGAGAAUACAAUUGCGGAUGCACUUGCCGCAUUGGCGUCAACAUCAGAUCCUGAGUUAAAGAGAGUUAUUCCAGUGGAAUGUAUUUCGGAGCGAAGCAUUCAAGAUAGCAAAGAAACCCUCGUCGUUACAAGGUCUCGAGCAGCGGCACGCGACCGUGGCGAACCAGAUAUCAAACCGCCACCCAACAAACGAAGGAAGUCAAAGGAAUCGAAUACAUCUAACAAGGAACCCGUUGUCUUAGCUGAAGAGGUGAUUCCAGAAACAAUGUUAGAAACCGAGCCGUUAAUCGAGGAGGAUGUUCUUGAACCAAACGAACAUCCCGAGCCAGAGCCACGAGUAUUUCACAAGUUUGACCAAAUUCCGGCUAAAGACUGGGGGGCUGACUGGAGGGAGCCAAUAAAGCACUACAUUAUGACAGGCGAGCUCCCAAAGAAUAAGUGGCAAGCCAGAAAAAUGAGAAUCGUUAGCGCGAAAUUUUAUCUGUCAAAAGACACAUUGUAUAGACGAGGUGUCAGUGACCCUUACCUAUUAUGCAUUUUUGGGCCCGCAGUCGAAAUCGUUAUGAGCGAAGUGCAUGAAGGAUUAUGUGGGAGUCAUUCAUCAGGAAGGGCUAUGGCUUUUAAAGUUAAAAGAAUGGGAUAUUAUUGGCCCACUAUGAUUACAGAUUGUGUUAAGUUCGCCCAAAGAUGCAAGCGCUGCCAACUCCAUGCACCAUUGAUCCAUCAACCGUCGGAAUUAUUCUCCUCCAUUUCCGCCCCAUACCCGUUUAUGAGGUGGUCAAUGGACAUCAUUGGACCAUUGCACAAAUCAACUCGAGGUGUACAAUACCUUUUAGUCCUUACGGACUACUUUUCGAAAUGGAUUGAAGCUGAGGCGUAUGUUGGUAUCAAGGAUUCGGCGGUGAAGACCUUUAUUUGGAAAAACAUUAUAUGUCGACAUGGAGUCCCAUACGAAAUAGUCACUGAUAAUGGACCACAAUUCAUUUCACACGAGUUUGAUGCCUUUUGUGCGGACUGGGGAAUCAAAGUUAGUUAUUCUACUCCACGAUAUCCGCAAGGAAACGGUCAAGCUGAAGCCACGAACAAGACAAUAUUAAGCAAUCUCAAGAAACGCUUAAGUCAUCUAAAGGGAGGAUGGUAUGAAGAACUCCAACCCGUCCUGUGGGCCUAUCGUACAACCCCUAGGCGACCUACAGGAGAAACUCCAUUCUCUUUGGUUUAUGGCAUGGAGGCGGUAGUACCAGCUGAACUCAAUGUGCCCGGACUUCGCCGAACAGAAGCACCGUUAAAUGAGGAAGAAAAUUCAGCAAUGCUUAAUGAUUCACUAGAUACCAUAAAUGAAAGGCGUGAUCAAGCUCUAAUUCGGAUCCAGAAUUACCAGCAGGCAGCAGCCCGGUAUUACAAUUCUAAGGUUAAAAGUAGGCCGUUCUUCAAAGGAGAUUAUGUAUUAAGGCGCGUCUUUGACAAUAAAAAAGAAGAAGGUGCCGGUAAACUCGGUAUUAAUUGGGAAGGACCUUACAUUAUUACCGAAGUGGUUCGGAACGGUGUUUAUAGGUUGAAAGACUUAGAAGACAAUCCGGUCAAGCGACCUUGGAAUGUGAUCAACCUAAAGAAGUUUUAUGUUUAAAGCUACAUGCAUUGUUUAUGUACAUGAACUACGGUGUGGCUUCAUCCCGAAAUGGGUACGUAGGCAGCUCGGAAACGAGUUCAGCUAUUAAUAAAAAAUCUUGUUUUAUUUCUGUAUUAAAGGAAAAGGUUCGACUGUGCGAACAAGCGAAGUAAAUAAAGUUCGGCUACGCGAACAUACAAGAAAUUGGAAAAAGAGCGUUUAUUCAAGCAAAUAAGGCAAAAUAUCCCUCAUCGUACACUUCGGAUUAUGGAGAUCUUGUUGACGAACAGAACACUUCGACUCCUUGGCCAGCAAGGUCAAGGAUUGACAACAUGCAAUCCGGAAUUCGAGCGAAGUCAGAGAUUCCGAGUUCUAUCCAUUCUCCGGGGUGAGAUUCAAGGAUGUGGAGAUCUCUUGAUACUGUAGUAAGCCUGUGUUGCAUCCGGUUAAUUCUCUUCCGGAGUCUCCUCAUUUCCAGUGUAAGCUUCCGAUGCUGAAGCGUGAGUGCCUCUAUGAAUGCCAUCGCUGUUCCUUGGUCUCUGAUUGGGAGAUCCCUAAUCAAAGUACAUGGGGCUCGGAUCUGAGAUCUUAAGAAGCCGUGAAGUGGUGGAGGCUGCCUGCUUGGCUCAUUUGGAACAUCUUCGUUUAUCAUUCCGAUUCUGGAGAAGUCGGGCAUAGAUUCUGAACAGCGAAGAUUGAACUCCAUACCUACUAAAAUAAAAAGAAUGGUGAGGAGUAAAGGGAAAUUGAAACUAUAAUUUAUAGGAACCCCAUAUCCCUAGCAAGCUGCGGAUUCUAUCCAAGGAAUGGAGUGAUUCGCGGAGAGAUUUAUGCCCUCGAACAGAUCCUGCAUUAAAAAGACGCAUCUCCGAGAAUAUUUGAAAAGAAAGAAAAGUUGCAAAUGUUUCCAUAAAUAAAAAGGGGCCGAAGCCCAUUACGAGUUUAAAAUAAGUGAAGAAGUUAGAGAACAUUUAUGGAAGAGGCUCAGGAACAGGCUCCUUCAUCGCCGGUUUAGUCUUCGAAGUGGACGCCUUGUUCUUGGCGUCCACUUCGGGAUGAUCCCGAACGCGUUUCCGACAGGUGCUGGCCUCCUCUUCGUCUUCUUCUUCGCUGUCAGAUGGAACGGCGCAGACGGGGGCGUUCACGGGACCCGGGACUCCGUUAGCGCGGAGAUACAUCUGAAGCAUCUUCGGGAUCUCAGCAACAGAGUCAAAGUUCCGCCAUUCCCAUUGAAAGGGAUCACUUUCCAAGGCCCGUAUCUUCCUCUCCACCCGAGCAAUGCGAGCCUCGAGUGUUUGCCUUUUAAGGCCCAGCCGUUGCCUCUCUUCACACAAGCGACGGUGCUUGUCGGCAACCUAGCAUAAAGAUGAAUGAAUAAGAUGAAACAAAAAGUUUUUAAAUCAAAAACUUUAAAUAUUUACCUUGUCAAUAAAAUCGCAAGCCUCUUUCUUCUCCUUUGAAGGAAAGUGAAAGACGGCGUGGGGGAAAAGAACGCCGGCCGGUUCAAAGCCAUCGCCGGACAAAAAAAGUGGGCUGCCGGGAUCAACGGGGGCUACUUUUUCGUUUUCCAUUCUUGAAAUAUUUCUCAAGUAAGAUUCUAAAAUCGUGUUUAAAUAAAGCUUAGAAGUAGGUAAGCCUUUAUUUAUAAUGAUUUAGGGUUUGUCUUGGAACCAUAAAUCCAAUAAUGGUAGUGUGUCCGAGUGGUUUAAACCAUUUUUGGAAAAUCGAGAAAAGGCAGUUAUUGCAUUAAAGACGAGCCGUUUUCCUUACUUAUAAGAAGGGAAAGAGCAACCGUCGCAUUAACUACAAAAGUUUCUAAGGCCCAAGCCCAAUAAAUUUAUCGAGUUGACUAAACCCGAAGUGGGGAACUCGCUUUAAGCCGAGCUCAGUUCUCGCAUUCUUAAGGGAAAGGUCUGAUCAGCCUAAAAAUCCCAAAAGCAUAACCACAAGGCCACAAAAGGUUAAAAGCGGACUUUGCAAACCCGCAUAUAAUUUUAACCAAACCCCCUUGGGUCAUAACCUAGAAAGGUUUAAAAGCCUCCUCAGGCAAAUAUCUUGUUCAAAAGAAAUAAUAAAGCCUCCUUAGGCCAAAAAUAAGUUCGAAAUUAAGUUUAAACUAAAUGGGACAAUCCCCAAUUUAAAGUAGACGCAGCCACUACGGAGUGAUAUCCACCUCGGACUCCGGCUCAGCAACCGAAGUUUCAUUCACCUCCUUGACUGGUGCUUGGUCGGAUGGAGCUCUUGGUCCGCCCUCUACAUUACAACCAUCCUCUGGAGUGACCGCCGGUGCCGCAGGUACCUCGGGUGGGACGACAUCCUCCGCCUCACUUGAACCUGGGAAGGACAGUUCCAGUCAACUUUUUAAAAAAAAAAACGUAAGGUGAGGAAAAGGUAGUAAGUGUCAGGAGCCAAACAUUACCUGCCCAGUCUAGACCCGAUUCACUUAUAGGAGGCGAUUCAGUGAAGAAUUCCUCGAAAUCCUGCGGGUUGAAGGUCGAAGUGGGAAGAGCUACCAAGCGACUCCGCUUUUCAGAAAGAUUGGCCGACAGUUCGGUGCUUUCUUGCUCCUCGGAGAAAUCCGUAUCAUGGAUUUGAUCCAACAGAAUCAGGUUGCUCUCGUGCUCCUUGAUGUCUGAUUCCAAAUCUGACCUAGCCUUCUCGGUCUGCAUGAAGCGGAUGGCCCCUUGGAUCAACUCCAUCCCGCGUCCUUUAACUUCCUUUCUUGCUUUCGAUGCCGACCUUGCCAACUCGGAAUCACGCAAUUUGGCAAUCGCCUUGUACUUCGCGUUAAGCUCAAUGAGUUGGUUAUUCAGGGUAUCGGCGGUUGAUUCGGAUUCGUGAAGCCUACCCUGAACACCAGAAAGCUCAUCCUGGAGUUUGAAAUUUUGGUCGUACUGAUCCUGCAGCUCCCCCUUAAUCUUCGCCAGCUCGGAUGUUAGACUGUCGACUUUGUCCUCCAGGUCGUGCUUGGAGCCGGUAGAAAAGCUUAGUUCAGCCUCAAGAGCAGAAAGUUUUUUCUUCCACGCGUCAAUCUCCUUUUCCUGACCAAGGACCAGCCCCUCAUAAUGUUCAACCAUGUCAUUAAGCUCACCGUUAGCCUGCCAUUAUGCAUGAAAUCGAGAUGGUGAGGCAUUUCGAUGAACGGCAGCACAAUCGGAAAAUUAAAGCGAAACUAACCCGAGAUGAAUGAUAAGCAUGGAGCAAAUAGCAUUCACGAAUCGCAGGGCGCCACUUGUCGAAGUCUGGAAAGGUCGAACCCGAUCGGGUCUUGAAGCAUCGGAAAACGCUGCCUUCCUUCUCCAUAGCUGUAAAGGAGGAAGAGUUGUAAAAAUUGGAAUCUGAAUAGAGACAAAAACUUUUGAGACUGUGUAAAUCAUCAAACCUGAAAGCGAUUUGACUUGAGGGACAAGAGCAGGCUUUAACCUCGAGGAAGUAUCUCGGGAUUCAGAAUCUCCUUUUUUUGGAGAUGCGCUCCGUGCAGUCUUUUUACUGUCAGGCUGGGAAGAGGAAGACAUUUCAACCGGUCGUGGAGGACCCAUUGGUUCAAUAGGAGGGGAUGAUCGAGGUGAACGGUCAGUCCGGGGCCUUGACUUCUCCCUUCGCGGGGAAGAAUCACUACGAGAGGACUUGUCUCUCUUCCUGCGAACCAAGUUCUUAAGUGGUUCGUUGCUAAAGACAUCUCGGGGGGGACGAGGUGAAUCACGGCGAGGAGAUCGGUCCCUCCGAGGAGAACGUGAGUCACGAUGAUCACGACGGGGAGUUAAUCUGAAAGAAGCAACAGAUCUGGCUCCUUCGGUGCUGCCAUCAUCAACCAGCAGGGUCCUACUGUAGUCCUUCUUAUCUAUAGAAGUCGCGAGAAACUUUUUCUUCUCCUCACAAGCCUCAGCUAUCGGCUUGGAAAGCACCUUACGCUUGGUCGCAAGAGCCCGAGAUGACAUCCCCUGAGUUGAGGGAGGAGGCGGAAGUUGGUGAAGUUGACCCGGUGGACUCAUCCUGAGCUUGUGGUUAGCUUCUAGGAAUCGUUCAAGAGUGAAAGAAUUCCAAAGGGUUUCCCCUUCGAGGAUUAUCUUGAAGAAUUCGAUGAACCCUUCGGAUGGGAGAAUGGAAGCGAUGAAAGCUGCGAAAUGAAACAACAGUUUUAGUCAAUAAAGAUAAUAAAACAACCGGAAAAGAUAUAUGCGACCUAAUCUCUACCAGGCUUCGCAGACCACUUCGAUGGGAGUAAAUCUGCAAGAUUUCCAAUCGAAGCGGGAGUUUUCUUAAUCAGAAACCAAGGAUGGUGCCAAUUUUCAUCCUUGUUUGGAAGGUGCGAGAUGAUGUUUCUAUUAGCGUUCGGAUACGCUGAGAAGUACCCCGUCUUCUUCGAUGAACUUCUUACGCUUAGAAGCUCAUUUAGUUCAGUGACUCCGAUAACAUAUCCGGCCUCCGCCGCGAUUGUUAUAAUUCCGAGGAUAGUACGAAGAAGAUUAGGGGUUAAUUGAGGAAGAGCAAUUUCAAGAGCCGCUAGGUAUCGAACUAGGGCUUCGGGAAGAGGAAAGGUCAACCCGCAACCUUUAAAAUAGAUCUCGUAUACACAGAAGUAGCCGUCGCGGUGGCUUUCUGGGGACUCCGUAGGAUCAGUUAUCUGCGCCUCUGCCAUAAUUCCCGGUGGGAUUUGGCAGAGCCCCUUCAAUCGCUCAAGGGAUUGAAGGGUGCAGGUGGAUCUAUAGUGCGGACCGGCAAUGUCAUUAGGGCGGGUGCACUCAUCAUUGCUAGAACGCCUCUCAUCGAAGGACGGAGACUCGGGUCUAUCGGAAUCGGAAGUCAUUGGGAAUUUCAAGUUUCGGGAAAAAGAAAAUUUGGAGAGAGAAGUAGAAGGAGUUUUAACCACAAUGAUCAAGAGUAAAAGAAAGAAUGAAAAAGAAGGUUACCUCAAGCUAGGUGAUAAUGAUGAAACCGUCUUGGGAAUCGUGGAAGAAGUGGGAAGGUUUUUUCCCGCUUUAAUAGUAAAUAAUCGAUAUACGGUCAUAAUGGCGACAGAUGUCACGCGACUAAAUAUGGGUAGCGCCGAAAUUAAAGGUCUGAUGGGAUUUUGGCGGGAAAAAUCAGAAGAUUCCUCGGAACGCAAUCUUUGGUCAUUAAAGCAUUUAAAAGUCCUCCGAAUUGGAAUAGUACUUCGAAGAACUUGGGGGGCUAACUGUUGGUGUCGGAUCCCGCACCAGAAGUCCGAGACCAACCAAAGAUUGCCACGUAGUCAAGAUAAUGGCCCAUAAAGGAUAAAGCCCAUUGGACCCAUGAGCCGAAGGAACGGUCGAAGUGGUUGUCACCACUUCGAGAAUCCGAAGUGACUGCACUGUGACAUGAGUUCGGUGUAGAAGACACGGGUAAGUCGGUUCAAGGACACUUGGGCCGAAAAGGCGAGGCCCACAAAGAUCAGAGUCAACUCAAAUUCAAACGUUGAGCAUUAAAGUCAAAGAAUCAAAACGGACGCAUUUAAGAAGGAAUAAUUGUACUUAAUUACUCAUUUUAAUGCCGUUUCUCUAUGUAUAAAUAUAAAGGCCAAUGGCCAUGUAAAAGGGAGCGAUCUCUAAAGCAAGAAAUACGAUAGCAAUUUUUGUAGCAAUUCAUAAGCCUUUUACUUUCUUAUUUUUGUCCCUCGAGAAUAAUCUUUCCUACUAAUAAAAAUACUUGAGUGUGUGAAUCCGACAUCCACAAAUAUGGACCAGGCCCACCCAUUGAGCAGCCCAAUGGUGGUGAGAAGCCUUGGAUUGGAUAGUGAUCCAUUCGGUCCAAAGAAGGACGAGGAAGAAGUUCUCGGUCCUGAAGUGCCAUACCUCAGUACCAUAGGAGCGUUAAUGUACUUGGCUAGCCACACUAGACCAGACAUAUGUUUUGCCGUGAACCUCCUUUGUCUAAAUUUAGUUCAUGAUCAACCCAAAGGCACUAGAAAGGUUUGAAGGAAGGUUUGGUUAAAUUUUAAAUUCUAUUCUUCCUAUGUUUGUUUAUUUGGGUUUUAUUCUAUACUGAUCUAACCAAAGAAGGUCUAGUUUGCUUUGGUUUAGUUUGUUUUGCUGAUGCAGGUAAAAUCAGAUUAUGGCAUGGUCAAUAAAUAGGAACUACGUGUGGCUUGAUCCCUUCCAAGGGUACGUAGGCAGCCUUCUUCAAGGCGCAACUACUACAACAUCAAAGACCAUCAUAUUAGGAGACAACACAGCCUGUAUCGCUCAGCUCAAGGACGGCUACAUCAAGGGAGAUCGGACGAAGCACAUUCUACCAAAGUUCUUCUUCACGCAUGACUUGCAAAGGGAUGGAGAAGUUCGAGUGGUACAAGUUCAAUCCUGUGACAAUUCAGCCGAUCUAUUCACCAAGGCAUUACCAACAUCGACAUUGAGGAAGCUCACGCAUCAAAUUGGAAUGCGGAGACUUAAGGACUUACAGGGAUGACCAAAUCAGGGGGUGUAAUACGUGUUGUACUCUUUUUCCUUCACCAUGGUUUUGUCCCAAUGGGUUUUCCUGGUAAGGUUUUAAUGAGGCAGCAUCCCCAAGCGUAUUACUGAGAUCCUUUGGCAUCUACACGGUUAUGUCAUCCAAGGGGGAGUGUUAUAAAUCACAUAUUGGAUGGACUCCAUAACCGUGGGCCUAAUCCAUAUCCUAGAAGGCCCAUGUCCAUGUUCUUGAAGAUUCUCCUUAUGACGGCCUAUAUUGUACUUAGUGGACUUUUGGGCUUUAGGGUUUACUAGCCCAAUGGGGAUUUGUCUCCCCUCAUCAUGUAUAUAUAUGUAUCGAAACCUCAUUCAUUAAUAGAUAGAACAACAAGUUUUAUAACAAAAAAAAGAAUAAUGGAAAGAAAUAAAUCUUUGUAGGGACGACGGACCCAUCUUCAUGGACAAGGUUUGUGGAGCUAUUUUGUAUUCGAUAUAAUAAAAUUCACUAUAUAUUUUGGAUUUUUGUAAAUAUCUUCAACUUUUAUUCAGAGAUAUUUCUGUGAUUAAAGAAAAUAAAAACCAGCAUUUUCCUGCGUCGACAUACAUUGACUGCACCAAUGGGAAAAUUACAAAAUAUCUAUAGUAGAUUAUAGAUAUAAAUCCAACUUUAUAUUAAAAAAAAAGAAGUUAUCAUUGAAUAAGUUAAUGCCAAGUGGAAAAGACUCACCAGUUUACCAGAAUGGCCCCCACUUCAAAGUAAAUAAUGUAUAUUAAUAUCCAUAGCCGACAAACCAAGUAUUCACAGGUUCAGAUUUCGGUUUAAGUCCUACCGGUUAUAACACACAACUAAAUCCAUCAAAGGAGCACAAAAUCUCUACUAAAAAAGAGUACAAACAUGAACAAAAACCAAACAAUGAAUGAUAAUGGUUAAAACAAUUUAUAUAAAUUUGGCCAAAGAUUUAUCAGUUAGUUUAGUUAAGAGGACAAAAUAUCAAAAUCACAAUUUGGAUCUUUUGACAGAAACUCACGAGAUUUGUUUCUUCUAACUACUUUGAACUGUAAUAUAAUAAGAGCAAAAAAAAUUGCAUCAAAGAAUAAAUCUUGCAGAAGAAGAAGAUGUGUAGAAGCUCUCUCUCUAUCUCAUGUUUCUUCCACCGGCUGAAACUUUCCGGUGACGCCUUUUUCCACGUUGUCCCGGAGUCUUCUUCCCCGUUGUGGCUCUACCACCAACUAAUCUUCCACGUGGCAAAGCCGGUGGCUCGAUAAAAAUCCUAGAAGAAGCUCGAGGAGGUUUCAUGUUCAUCAAAAUGUCUCUAUGAUAAACCUGUCAUCAAGAAACAAAAAGUCUCAAUCUUUCACUCAACAAAUCAAUCCAACCUUUAACCGAAACAAAAUUGUACCUGUUUCACAAAGUUGCGUCUUUCACAGUCCAAGAACAUAUUGAUGCUCCAAUCAACUUUCUCUCUUAUCUUGUCUCUUGCAAUUGCAAAGCUUAGCUGAUCUCUGGAAGUAAACCGGUCUACUUCGUUGAACCAAACACACGUGAAAAGGUUUGUGAUCGGUAUGUGUUCUCUUAUGAUGGUACAACCUUCAGGAACAUCUGCCAAACGAUUCAAAAAGUUUCAGUUGUGCUCAUAAGACAGACGAAAAUUGCGGAAUUUUAUCAUCGUUAAAACCAUUACCACUAGUUAUUGGAAGCUUAGCCUCGGUAUAAGGUGUUAAACCUUCCUUCUUGUAGAACUCUACCUGGUAAUCAAUUGAGGCAUUGUCGUACUUUCUUGCAGCCUUAUUCGCCUCAGCCUCUACAAACACAUCAAAACGUCGGUAAUGUCUCGAGAUUGCGAAACUAGAAUUCGUUCUCCACAAGAACCUGAACAUUGAGAAGACAAAUAAAGCUAACUGCUUGGAACAAUUACUGUUGAAAGAGAGAGACAGAGGAGUCAAUUUAUCUACCUCUCAAGGAUUUGAUAUGGAUCUACAACAAGCUGGAGCUUUGCAUCAACCCAUAUAGAGUACCGGACAUUUGGAAAUAAUCUAUGCAAUAGAAGCUUCGGAACCUGUAAAAAUGCAUAAACGUUUUACCCAAUUCGUAUUUGUUACAUCAGGAAGCAUCCAAAUCUUGGCUAAUUAUUCUCAAAUCUUUUAACCUUUCCAUUACGCCGUGCAUCGGAAUAAGGGACAUUAUGUACAACAAUGAUCCUCCACAAUCCUACUCUCUUGUUAUCGUCUGUAUAACUCGACGUGUUCUUAAGGUAUAAAUGUGUUUCUUCAUCAACAAACAUGUAGAAUGGGAUGUUCUUCCUCGCCAUUUCACUGAUGUUCACUGGUUCUUGAAUUAUGUCAUACUUUCCUGAGAAAAGAUUGAAACUUUAUGAGCGAAGUAAGUAUAUAUAAACAAUAGAUGUCACACAGAAAAAUUCCCUCCUAAGAAUUUGAAUUCUCUCCUAAGCAAUACCAAAUAUCGCUGACGCGACAAUCACAUCAUGGGACUGGUCCAACUCAUGAAGGAUAUCCUCAUCAAUGUCAAAUCCAGUUUGGUGACCCGGUUUUGUUCCUUUAAUAAAUCUGCGAAAACAAUAACAGGAAUCAGAAAAUUAAAAGUCGAUUUCUCAAGAAGAAACCACGGAGUUAAGCACAGAAGCAUACCCGCAAUGCACUGUCAUGGACUCUUUUAUGUCAAAGGAGUUAGCCCUAUGCUCAAGAGAAGGAUAACCUCCGAAAUCAGAGCCUCCUUGACUUUCUUCAGGUUUUACAGGACUCUCUUCAUGGAUAUAUGUCAGAUUCUUGAGCACGGGAGAUUCAAAUCGAUACUUUGGCAUAUGCGCUAAUGCCUCUUCUGGAGGUAGAUAGCAUACCGGACACGCUGAAAAAAAACAAAAUUUACAAACGGGGAAGGUAAAUCCGAGUUCUUGCAGGAUCAGAGCAAAAACAAUUGAAUCGAAGAAAGAGCAUACGGCGUGGACCAGGCCUUCUCAUUUCAGGUGGUGGAGGAGGAGGAAAUGAAAAACUAUCACAUGGAUGGUGAUGCGAUGGAGAAGGAUGGUUGACGUCUACAUCACUUCCUCCAAUGCCAUUCCACUUAAAAGAAUCUCUAAUAUGAUCAUUAUCAGAGUUCUGUGUAUAGAAAGAAGUCAAUUCUCUACUUAUCGGUGUUUGGUUGCUUCCAAAAUCCAUCGUCUCAAUACUCUGAUGAAUGUUUGGACUAUUGCUCUCUGUUGUAUUCACAAAUGCAGGCAUCAUUACCAACAUAUUCCAAUUGAAAUCAUUAAGACUUAAAAAAAAAACUUGAGAAUACCUUUGUUGAUAGUGUAAGAACCCAAGACAAAGACAACAAAUGCAAGGCUAAGAAGGAGCAGCAUAGCAACUCGUCGACGACCUAAGUACCAGCAACAUAAGAAGGAGAGAGACCUUUCCUUCUCUUUAGAAUUAGAAGUGAGCAUUGUGAAGAAACAAGAAGAAGAUAAUGCAGACUCAAAAUCUCAAGGUUUGAGUAAGUGCAAUGAGCCAUCAUAACUCUCAAGUCCAAAGGACAUUCCAGUCAUUGUCUCUUAAACCCUCUAGAUCGAACUCUCAUAUCGACACUUUCUCAGAUCCAAACCUAAGAAACAACCAGAUUUCAAAAUUCCACAUACAUUGCAGGACAAGAAACAGAAUCCAUUGACAAAAAGUAAUUACCAGAUCAAGAAUCGAUUUUUGAUUAGAAUCCGAUUAAAGACCUGCAUUGGCAUCAAAAAGGAUCAAACUUUAAAUCAAAUCUCGCUUCAAUCAUUGGCGAUUCGUGAAUUGAACAGUGCCCACAAAUCCAAAUCUAACCCUGAUACGAAAAAGGGGAAAUUUUUUGCAUAAGAUUCGGAGAAAAAGGUAUUACCUUUUGAAUGAAUACACACUUAUGUUCCAAAUUCGUCUCUUGAUUUACAAAAAAAAAAUCAAUAAAGGUUUUGUGAUUGCGACGCCAAAUUUUACACUGAUCGAUCUGCAGUAAAACAUUUAGUGCAUGUUUUUGGAUUUGUCAACGAUUCGGUGUAUUUCGAUCUCUACGUUAUUUUUGAGGGUUUGAUAAAUUAAAAGUUUAUAUUUUUAUUACAGUGGAGAUGUGUUGUGUUUUGUGUUGUCUUUACUCAUCGCUGAAUUUGAUCGUUCCGUAAGAAUCUGUAAACUAGGUUUAUAAACAUUUAUCAAAUUUUUAUUAUGAUUAGCUCAUGUUUAAAAAUAGUGAUCAAAUAAUAAUUCUGAUUUAUGUUUUAACUUUUCUCAUAAAUUAACCUACUUUAUAUUUAGGAUUUUAUUUAAUUGUAUAUUUGAUUUAAUAAACAAAUUUUGAAAAGGGUUUUGAAAAGAGUGUUUUAUAUUUAAUUUUCGUUAAAUUUUUAAAGAUCUCAAUAAAUUCAUAAAUUUUGAUUUAUUCCAGGAUUCUCAAACUAAACAAAACAAAUAAUCAAACGGUUUAUCUUAAUUUUUGUGUUCACAAUAGGGUGUUGAUCUAGUGGUAGUGCAGUGGGUUGGUUCUCUUGUGUCUCGGAUUCAACCACCUUUUGGGAUGACUAGCUCCAAAUACCAAAAGAAUUAUAGGUCAAUUGUCAAAGAUCUGGAACUCACGUGGUUUAUCAAAAAAUAUCAACAAAACAUUAGUGUAUGUUUAUAACCUUUUGCUACUAAGUAUGUUGAUUUAAUCAUAUAUCAUUCAUCGUUUUUACUAAUUAUCAUUGUACAUCGUAUUAAAGGUAUUAUCUUUUGUAUCAACAAACUCAUUCAAUAUGUUGAUGUACUACUACUUAGACGAUUGAUGGAAAUGUACUCUUAUUUACAAUUAAGUGAGAUGGAAAUGUACUCUCGUUAUUCUGGCCGAUCUUGGUUUUGAAUUGAGUACCUAAAGUUCUUAUUCGAUCGAAAUAUAAAUACACAAGCCAACCCUAUAUUGAAUGCAGACCCGUCUCAAUCAUUAGCUAGAUCCGGUGCGGUGGUAAAAACAAAACCUUAAAUAAAAAUAACUUUUACUAAUCUUUAUGAUAUUGGAGUUACAUGGAAAAGGAUAAGCAAAAAAAAAAACAACUAUAUGAAGGCCUUUUAACAAAAAAAAAAAAAAAAAAAAAACCUAUAUGUUUAGCGUUUAAGUUAUAGUCUAAUAGUCUUAUUAAUUCAGAUUUUAUUAAAUUUAUUUGGGCAAAAAAAAAAGACAAACUUUGAAUUUAGGCUGGACAAAAUGUAAAUACACCUCUUGCACUGGACCAGCGACGAGCCAGAUUGAAUUCAUAAUUCUACCAAUUCUUUAACCAAUAAAACACUUUUCACCCACACGACUUGUUGAUGACUAAUCUUGUUUUGCAUUGGAAAAUAUAAUUUACAUCUUUGUUCGAUUCAGAAAACGUUUCUAAUGGGUCUAAUAGACUUCGAUAUGUAUCUCAUAGAAGAUUUAGUCUUAUCUCAUGUACAAGGGAAAACCCUUAGAUCCUAUAUGUAUAAAUACUCACAACAGAUGAAUAAACACAACCAACCUUUUACCUAUUAUUUCAUGGUAUCAGAGCUAUUAAAUUCUGUGACCUAAUUUUUUUAAAUAAGCCGCCGCCGUCGUUGUUCUUCACAACCACCGCCGCCGCAAUCAUCUCUUUCGCUUCUAUCUCUUCUACACAUCAUCCUCUAUGUCAGAAAUCGCCACCGUACCAAAACCAAACCCAAAUCCAUAUCAACUUCAUGCUUCUGAUAAUCCCGGUGCUUUGAUUUCUUCUGUUGUCUUAAAGGAAGACAAUUACUCUGAAUGGGCUACAGAGCUCAUGAAUUCUCUCCAAGCAAAACACAAACUCGGCUUUCUUGAUGGUUCAACACCAAAGCCAACGACAGAACCUGAUUUGAUAUCAUGGAAAGCUGCAAAUUCUAUGAUCAUCGGUUGGAUUAGGACGUCUAUUGAUCCAACCAUACGUUCAACUGUUGUCUUUGUGUCUGAUGCAAAAGAGCUUUGGGAUAAUCUCAAACAACGCUUCUCAACCGGAAACGGUGUCCGCAAACAAUUGCUCAAAGAUGAAAUUUCGGCGUGUAAGCAAGAUGGCCAAUCUGUUCUUGCUUACUAUGGGAGACUAACCAAGCUUUGGGAAGAACUACAAAACUACAAGACUGGUCAGACGUGUACGUGUGCAGCUGCUCCUGACAUUGCUAAAGAACGUGAAGAUGACAAGGUUCAUCAAUUCUUACUCAAUUUGGAUGAACGCUUCCGGCCUAUUCGCUCUACAAUUACCGAUCAAGAUCCUCUACCAGCUCUAAAUCAAGUGUAUUCUCGUGUGAUUCGUGAAGAACAGAACCUCAACGCAUCACGCAUCAAGGAUGCCAUCAAAACAGAGGCUGUCGGGUUUUCAGUUCAAACCACACCACUUCCGCAACCAUCUCAAGUAGCGGCAGUCUCUGCUCCUCGAUUUCGCGAUCGCUCUUCUUUGAAUUGUACUCACUGCCAUCGUCAAGGCCAUGAAGUAACAGAGUGUUUUUUGGUCCAUGGUUAUCCGGACUGGUGGCUAGAACAGAAUGGCUCUAACGGCUCUGCGACACGAGGAUCAUCUGGUCGUGGUAACACUGGUCGUGGCAACAACAAUCGCGGCGGACGUUCUUCAUCCUCUAGCUAUCGUGGAAGAGGCCGUGCUAACGCUGCUAGUACUAGCUCUCCUUCUACAAACAAUGCUCAGAUCAAUCAAUUGAUCUCACUACUUCAAGCUCAAAAUCAGACCACCACUACAGAAAAGUUGUCGGGUAAAACUCAAUUUACUGACGUUAUCAUUGACACAGGUGCUUCACAUCAUAUGACCGGCGAUGUCACGUUACUCACGGAUGUCAAAAACAUCAUACCUUCGCCUGUCACAAAGCCUGACGGGACUGCCUCUCGUGCCACUAAACGUGGAACUCUUGCGCUAAAUAAAGCAUAUUCACUUCCCGAUGUGCUAUUUGUGCCGGAUUUUAAUUGCACAUUAAUCUAUGUUGCCAAGUUACUAAAGCAUACUGGAUGUAUUGCAAUCUUUACUGAUGCCUUAUGUUUCUUGCAGGACCAUUUUACGAGAACUUUGAUUGGUGCGGGUGAAGAGCGUGAGGGAGUGUAUUAUUUUACGGGUGUUCUUGCUGCUCGUACUAACAAAGUUGUCAACGAAUCAUCAUCGGCAUCAUUGUGGCAUCAUCGAUUAGGACAUCCAUCUACCGGUGUUUUGAGUUCUUUACCAGAGAUUACUCUUUCUAGUAGUAGCUUAGAUUCCAUUAAAAGUUGUGACAUUUGUUAUCGUGCUAAACAAACACGUGAAGUUUUUUCUCCAAGUCUUAAUAAAACUACAGUUUGCUUUGAACUCGUUUGUGAUGUUUGGGGACCGUACCGCACACCGGCUUCAUGCGGAUCUGUUUACUUUCUGACUAUAGUUGACGACUUCUCGCGAUCUGUCUGGACUUUUCUCAUGGCUGAAAAAUCAGAAGUCUCUCGAUUAAUUUGAAACUUCUGUGCAAUGAGUGAACGUCAAUUUCACAAACCUGUCAAGACGAUCCACAGCGAUAAUGGUACGGAAUUUCUGUGUCUCACAUCAUUUUUUCAAGAAAAAGGAAUUAUUCAUCAAACUUCAUGUGUGGAUACACCACAACAAAAUGGUCGAGUUGAGCGCAAGCACCGUCACAUUCUAAACGUCGCCCGUGCGUGUCUUUUUCAGAGUCAUCUUCCUCGAAAAUUUUGGGGAGAAAGUAUCCUUACUGCUACUCAUAUCAUUAAUCGCACACCCACCAAAAUUCUUCAUGGAAAGUCUCCCUAUGAAGUACUGUUUGGAUCUCGCCCCUCUUAUUCAGCUUUGCGAAUUUUUGGAUGCUUGUGCUACGCUCACUAUCGAGCUCGUGACAAGGAUAAAUUUGGUGAACGCAGUCGACGAUGUGUAUUUGUAGGUUACCCCUAUGGUAAGAAAGGUUGGCGUCUUUAUGAUUUAGAUAACAAUAAAUUUUUUGUGAGUCGGGAUGUUGUGUUUCAAGAAACAGUCUUCCCAUUUGCUACUAUAGACACUGGUUCACUCACCGUCUCUCCGUCUACGAUGCCUUCCUCUACGAUCUUUCAAGAUGAUGACUGGAUUCAAUCAUUGUCGGUUGCUCCUUCACCUCCGUCGGAUCUGUUUUCAUCGGCAUCACCUCCGGUUCCGAUACCUACUAUGGCUGAGUUACCUUUGGCACCAACUCCAGCCCCGAUAACGACUCUGACUCCGAUUUCACCAUCGACUUCUACUCCAGCUUCACCUUCGUCACCUAGUUCACAUACACCUUCACACUCAUCUAGCUCGUCGAGCUCGUCAUCUUCCUCACCUGAGGCUUCACCGGGUUUACCGGAAUUGCUUGGUAAAGGACACCGUGUGAAACAACCAUCCGUUCUUCUCAAAGACUAUGUUGCUCAUCACACCACAACUCCUACUACUACUACUACUACUACUACUACUACUACUACUACUACUACUACUACUACUCCUACUACUAAUACACUCCCUACUGCUUCUUCUACACCUCUACCUGAUCCUAGUCUCGCUAAAACGGUCUGCGGUAAGAUACUUGAUUCUAUUCCCAUAUCUAUUUCUGACGAAAAAUUUUCGGAAUUGCAUCAAGUUUUUAUGGCAGCUAUUACCUCCACCACAUAACCAACAAGCUAUCACCAAGCUUCUCUAAUCAAAGAAUGGUGUGAUGCUAUGGGUUUAUAAAUCACCGCUCUUGAAGAAAAUCAUACUUGGGAUAUCACUACCUUACCUCUAGGGAAGAAAGCUAUUGGCAGCAAGUGGGUCUAUAAACUCAAAUACAACUCUGAUGGUACUCUUGAACGUUACAAGGCUCGCUUAGUCGCCCUCGGAAAUCGCCAAGUAGAAGGAUCUGAUUUUACAGAAACUUUUGCGCCAGUCGCUAAGAUGACAACGGUCCGCUUUCUUCUUGGUGUUGCUGCUGCUAAACAAUGGGAAGUUCAUCAGAUGGAUGUUCAUAAUGCAUUUCUUCAUGGUGAUUUAGACGAAGAAGUUUAUAUGAAAUUGCCUCCCGGGUUUCAUACUAAUGGUACUAAUCAAGUGUGUCGUCUUCGGAAAUCAUUAUAUGGACUUCGCCAGGCUCCACGUUGCUGGUUUGAGAAACUUGCUACAGCCUUACGCACAUUUGGUUUCAAGCAAAGUUAUCAUGAUUAUUCACUCUUCUCAUUUGUACAAGAUGGCGUCAUUCUCCACGUUCUUGUUUAUGUUGAUGAUUUUAUCGUCGCAGGCAAUGAUUUGUCUCAAAUAGAACGUUUCAAGACGUAUAUGCAUAAGUGUUUUCAUAUGAAAGAUCUUGGUCCGCUGAAGUAUUUCUUGGGUAUUGAGGUCUCUCGUGGUCCUGAUGGCAUCUUUCUUUCACAACGCAAGUAUGCUCUCGACAUUAUCACCGAAGCUAAUCUUCUUGGUGCCAAGCCGUUUGCUACUCCGGUGGAACCUAAUCACAAACUUGCCUCAGCCACGGGUCCUGUUCUCAAACGACCAAAAGAGUAUCGUCGCCUUGUUGGUCGUCUUAUCUAUCUUAGUAUCACUCGCCCUGAACUAAGCUACAUUGUCCAUAUUCUCUCGCAGUUCAUGAACACUCCUCUUCUCCCACAUUGGGACGCUGCCAUCCGUGUUGUUAGAUAUCUUAAAGGGUGUCCUGCACAAGGGAUUCUUCUUCGGUCGGACAGUGAGAUUUCUUUAAUUGCUUAUUGUGAUUCCGAUUGGUCUGCAUGCCCUCUUACUAGACGAUCUCUCAGCGCAUAUGCGGUCUUCUUAGGCUCCUCUCCAAUCUCAUGGAAGACUAAGAAGCAACAUACUGUUUCUAACUCGUCGGCUGAAGCUGAAUAUCGCGCGAUGGCAUAUACACUUCGAGAAAUCAAGUGGCUCCGCGAGCUUCUUCAUACCUUCGGCUUUCGUCAUACACGGCCUAUACAACUCUUUUGUGACAGUCAAGCGGCUAUCCACAUUGCUUCUAAUCCCGUCUUUCACGAACGCACAAAGCAUAUUGAAUCCGAUUGUCAUCAAGUUCGAGAUGCAGUUCAAGAUAAGCUCAUCACUAUGGAACAUAUUUCUACCAAAGAACAAGUCGCAGAUGUUCUUACUAAAGCUCUACCGCGACCCGCUUUCGAUAAGUUACUGUCCAAGUUCGGCGUUGGUAACUCUCCCCGCCAACUUGAGGGGGGGUAAUGGGCCUAAUAGACUUCGAUAUGUAUCUCAUAGAAGAUUUAGUCUUAUCUCAUGUACAAGGGAAAACCCUUAGAUCCUAUAUGUAUAAAUACUCACAACAGAUGAAUAAACACAACCAACCUUUUACCUAUUAUUUCAGUUUCUAUAUCUAAAAACUUUUUGUGUGUACGAUUACUUUGUUUUAGUUGUGUUUGUAAAUUUGUUUUGAAAAUUACCUCAAAAGAUAUUUUGGUGAUUCAAAUGUUAGACUAAAAUAGUUAUAUUUUGAUGGUAAAUAAACGUAAUAAACUCAAUACUCAAACAAUUUUCUAGUGCGUUUGUUUCUAUGUCUGCUCCAUAUUUAUAUCAUGUAUUUCAUACUAUUACGUUUGUUUAAUUUGUUAUGUGAGUUUUGUCUAUUCCGCACCAUUGUACCCGCACCAUUGUACCCGCACCAUUGUACCCAUACAAAUAGUUCUGGACAUUUGGUUUAUUCGGGUUAAUCAGUUCGGUUUUUUCGGUAUUCCGCCGAAUUGAACUGAAUAAUUUGGUUCAGUUCGAUAAUCAAAUCUAUUCCGAAAUUAAACCGAAAUUUUAUUUCCUCAGUUGAAAAUACAAUAAACAAAACAAAUAAUUUUAGUAAGAAAUACAAAAAUGUUAAAUUAAAAAAUUAAUAGUUUUAGUACAAUGGUAUCGUUCGUGUGGUUGGUGUAUGAAUUGAUAAUAUGUGUGGUACACAUAUUAUAGCCGUUCUCUGAAAAAAUACAUGUGAUCGUUUAGAAGAUUAUAUAUAUAUAAGUUCUCUAUGAGAAUGGGCCCAAAUUUGUUUUAUUGUCUAAAAUGGAGAUGACAAGUCCAUUAAAUUCGGUCGUAACUUGUAAGCAUAAUGUGGAUAAUCACUCUUCUCCAAUUAGUUGGUAAACGAACUGAUGCUGACUAUCAGUUGGUUUCUUAUAUCUUUGAAACUCAUUUCACUAAUAUCAAACUAAUCAUUUUCCAUAUCAAAAAAAAAAACUAAUCAUUUUUCAUAUAUGUAACUAUAGUAUUAUUUUAAAUAAAAUAUUCAUAUAAUCUUAGUAGUAUUUGUUAUCAUUCAAAAAAAUGUUAGUUCUAAUUGUUAAUGCCAGUAAUGUGAACAUUUAAUUAAUACUCAUGAUUGUAUGUAAUAAAAUUGUUUUUAAAAUGUAGGAUACGGUGUAAACUAUAAUUGGUUGACCAUUCAUGCAAUUAUUGUUUUUAUUUUAAUAAUAGCAAAGUUAGAAAGCUUUUCAAUAAAACGAAAAACUAAAUUAGAAAACUGUAUCUUAAAGUCAGGUAGAUAGCAAAAUAGAAAUGACAUGGUGACUAAAAUUGUAUAAUUACUUCAUUUAAACUAUAACGUCUCUAUUUAAAAAUCUAUCUUAAUUUCAUUAGUGCAGGGAUUAUGGGAAUUAAAAAUAAAUUACAUAAGGAAGAUCAGAAGCGAAAACGAAAAGGCUUUUGACGUUUACUCCAAAAGAAAAUUUCAAUACUCUCGUUGCAUGAACACGAAGCUUACGCGCUUUAAAUUCUAUUAAACUAUACUCUAUAGAUUCACUAUUUUUGUUUACUUCAUAAAGAACAAGAUUUUAGUUUUGUAUAGAGAUAGAAAAAGAAAAAUAAUACUAGUUUUUACUUUUUACUGUAAUAUGUAUUAACUUGUCUGUUAUAUUAUAAUGAAAAAUUCAUUAAGAUAUACAAAAUUAUUUAUCAUAUGAAGAUAUAUGUUUAAUUUUUGAUGAAUUUAUUUUCUAUAAUUAGUUCAAAGGAGUUGGGAAAAAAAUAUGAGAAUAAGGUAAGGAAUUGGUUAGUCUUUUUUAUUAUGAUUAUUUAAGAUUAAAUAAAAAAGUAUAUUAAAUGGUAAGGUUUUUUUUUGUUCAACUAUUAAAUAAGUUAUUAUUAACUGCAAAAUACAACUAUACUCAUAAAUACAUAAGUGGAAAAAAUUUCACACUACCGAACGUAUUUAUUAUUUUAUUAAAAAUUCCUCAUAAUGUUACUUUUUGGAGUUUCCAAUAUUUUUACAAAACUUUUUUAAUUCAUUCAACAUUGUGCUUCAACAACACAUGCGUCUCUCAGAAAUCUCUCCGCCCUAGAUCCAUCUCUCUCUCUCUCUCUCAAGCAAACACUGUUAAACCCUUUUGAUUUCUCCUCAUAAUUAUCCUCUAAAGCUCCAUUUUUUCCCUUUGUUUAUUGAUUAUUCCUGCAACUGCAAAUUUCUCAAUUUUACAUUGUGCUUCUGGUGUUUUUAGUCGUCUCUCUCUCUCUCUUCAAUCUCUUGAAAGGUACAAAAGUUGAGAAUCCUGGGUUUUUUUUUGUACUACACUCUAGUUAUUAAUGCCUGAACCAUCUUCUUGAUCUGGGUACAUUUUGCAGAGAGUAAAAAUCAUUUCUUUUUUUCUGGGUUACACUGUUCUUCGAGUUCUAGGGUUCCUUAAUUUCGUUUCAUCUUUUCGGAAAGUCUCUGACUUUAUAUGUUUAAAUGGUCUAGUUCUGUCAUGUGGUCCAUUCAAUUAGCUAGUGGAACAAGAUGGAUGAAUUGUGUAAAGGAGAUUUUUGGUUUUAAGUAUUAAAAUUUUGGGGGUAAAUUGAGAGAGAUGGGUUGUGUUUGUGGUAAGCCUUCUGCUAUCGAAGAUAGCAAAGAUAGUCCAAGAGAGCGUUUCUCAAGCAAAUCCUCUUCUGAGUUUAGAGUUUCAAGACCGGUUACUUCUUCUAGAAGGGAGGAGCCUCUUAGGAUAAAGGAACGGUCUGAUGUUGUUAGUGUAAGACCAGUGUUGAGUAAUAAGCAAGCCAAUGUUUCGAUGAAUUUGCGUGGGGAGAAUUUGAGUAGAAGAGAGAAGAAGAUUGAGAAUGUUGCUGCAACUUCACCACUUGCAAUGAGUAUUACCAUAGCUAAAGCAACUGAAGGAGAGUAUGUAGCUGCAGGUUGGCCUCCGUGGUUGGCUUCUGUAGCUGGAGAAGCUAUCAGGGGAUGGGUUCCACGGCGUGCGGAUUCUUUCGAGAAGUUGGACAAAGUAAUCUUCUUUUCUUUAUAUACAUUCAUUUUGAAAAUGCUGUUAAAUAUCAUUUUUUGAUUGCAUGACUUAUAGUGGCAUGUUUCCAUAUUUAGAAACAUAUCCUCUGCUCCAAAGAUUUGGGUUGCAGUAAAUGAUACUUUAUGUUAUGGAAAGUGAAUUUUUUUUCAGUUGAUUGGUUUUUAAAACUAUCACAUGACCUGAAAAGGUUUUGGACUUAUAGCUGUGAGGAAAGAUCCCUGAAGCAGCUGUUCUACUUGUUUUAUGCAGAUUGGUCAGGGUACUUAUAGUAAUGUAUAUAGGGCUCGUGACCUGGAUCAGAAGAAAAUUGUGGCUUUGAAGAAAGUGAGGUUUGAUAACUUGGAGCCAGAAAGUGUGCGUUUUAUGGCUAGAGAAAUCCAGAUAUUACGUCGGCUUGAUCAUCCUAAUAUCAUAAAGCUAGAAGGCUUAGUUACAUCAAGAAUGUCUUGCAGCUUAUAUCUUGUUUUCGAGUACAUGGAACAUGAUUUAGCUGGACUAGCCUCGCAUCCCGCGAUAAAAUUUUCUGAAUCACAGGUGAUUUGUUUUGUUUCUGUAAUUCUAUUCAACACCUUCAUGACCUAGUCACCGCUUUUAAUACAAAUCUCUGAGGCUGGGCUUUCUUUUUGCUUUGUUUUUAUACAGGUUAAAUGCUACUUGCAGCAACUAUUACAUGGACUAGACCAUUGUCACAGUCGUGGUGUACUCCAUCGGGAUAUAAAAGGCUCAAACCUUCUAAUAGAUAAUAGUGGAGUUUUAAAGAUUGCUGACUUUGGAUUAGCUAGUUUCUUUGAUCCUCGUCAAACUCAGCCUUUGACCAGCCGUGUGGUAACUCUUUGGUACCGUCCACCUGAGCUUUUGCUCGGAGCAACUCGCUAUGGAGCAGCAGUUGAUUUGUGGAGUGCAGGUUGCAUUCUUGCUGAACUAUAUGCAGGCAAGCCUAUUAUGCCUGGUAGAACCGAGGUAGAUUUACAGUUUUCAUUUGAAUCUCUUUUAGUGUUUGAUCUGAUUUAUGUUAGACUAGUUUGGUUUCUUAAGGUGACUCUGGUAAUGCUUAUGGUGUUACAGGUGGAACAGUUGCACAAGAUUUUCAAGCUAUGUGGCUCGCCUACCGAGGACUAUUGGGUAAAAUCAAGAUUGCCUCAUGCAACAAUUUUCAAGCCUACACAGCCAUAUAAACGCUUAGUGGGUGAAACAUUCAAGGAGUUUCCUCAGCCAGCUUUAGCCCUUCUUGAAACUCUCCUUUCAGUCAAUCCUGAUGAUCGUGGAACUGCCACCGCAGCUCUCAAGAGUGAGGUACUGGCAUUACUCAGGCAGUAAAUGCUGUGUGUUCUUAUGCUUCUGUAUAUAACUCCUGGUAAUCGCUUUUGUAAUAUCAAAUUAUCAUUCUUUUACUUUCAGUUCUUUUCCACUAGACCUCUUCCAUGUGAUCCUUCAAGCUUGCCUAAAUAUCCUCCCAGCAAAGAGCUCGAUGCAAGAAUGCGGGAUGAGGAAAGUAGAAGGUAUGCUAUCCAGAUUUUUCUAGUCUGAUGUGAUUUUUAUUCUGUAGUGCUCCUACGAUAGCUUAUAUCAUUUACGAAAAAAGAAAUAUAUCUAUAUAUAUGCUUUAAUCUUGAUCCUGUGUUUGUAGACAAGUUGGAGGAACCAGGGACCAAAGACACCAAGAAAGAAGAGGAACUAAGGAAUCUCGAGCCAUCCCAGCCCCUGACGCAAAUGCCGAGCUGGUUGCAUCAAUGCAGGUUAACAAAUCUUAUAAAUCUAUUUCUUUCCAUGAUAAAGCUUCUUGCUUUUAUUCAAUGUUUUUUACCCUCUCUCUCAUUAAUGUCAUUGCAGAAAAGGCAGAGCCAGUCUACUAAUAGAAGUCGAAGCGAGAAGUUUAAUCCACAUCCUGAAGAAGUUGCGUCUGGUUUCCCAAUCGAUCCACCAAGGCCAUCAUCACAAGCAUUUGAACCAAACAGAGAAUCUCAGGGAAAUAUUAUUCCUCACAAGAGAGCUUCACAUUCCGGUCCUCUAUCACGUAGAUCUGCUUCCGCAAAGGGUAGAAGGAAUUACCAAGAUUCUCAAAAGGUUUCAUCCAUAGCUGAUUACUCAGUAAUGCCUGGUUUUGCUGCAACAAGAACAGGCGCACCGCAACCAGAGACUUGCAGAGGAAUGACUCGGCUUCCAGGUUCCUUCAAGGAAACCUCUGAAGAAGCAAACCAGGAAGAAAAUGGGAGAAGCAACAAGAAAGACCCAAUUCUUGUAAGUCCCCCCUUGCUAUUUUUUUUAACCAGCAAUGUAGUAAUUUUGAGUUGUUAUGGUUUGGUUUGGUUUGCAGCUGGGUUAUGGAUCAAAAGGGCACAAGAUUCAUUAUUCAGGACCGUUGGUGGUUCCAUCAGGAAACAUGGAUCAGGUGUUAAAAGACCAUGACCGACAUAUCCAAGAAGCUGUGAGAAGAGCACGGAUCGAUAAGGCUCGAGUUAAGAAACUUCAAUCGGAAGAAGCAUCGAGCCAACAAGUCGCAACCAGUCAUCCCCCAUCGGUUUCUAGCCGUUGAUCCAUCAACGAGGCAAAAGUAAAUGAUCAAACCAAACCUCAUUUGCCUGAAACUUCUUAACACGGCGUAUUUUGAGUGAAAAUAAUUGUACUUUAUUGAUUCGAAGAUUAUAUAUCAUCAUAGAAUCAAAUCUUGUCACGUUUUAGCUUCCCUGUAAUGUGAUAUUAUUUUAUUAUAAAGAAGAGAUGUAGAAACAGGUUAUAUAUUGGUGCAUGUGAAGAAGAAUCGACCUACAUUAUCAUGAAAGAUAACACCUUUCUUGUGAACAAAUAAAUGAUCUUGUCGAGUCAAUCUUUUCGAAGAGUCAAAUUAUGUUGGCUCUCUUUCACUAUAUAAAUCUUGUUAUCGACUUCCUCUUUCCAUAUCCAAGAAGAAAAAAAAAAACAGAAUGCAGAUCAAAACACUCUGUUUCACGCCUCUGUUUUUUGCUCUGUUUUGCUCGCACGCCAUUACUUCAUCUGCUUACAGUUUCAACUUCGAUUACUUCGGUAAUGGAACUGAUCUAAUGACAUUCCAUGGUGACGCCGAGUAUGCUCCAGAGCCCGAUGGUAUGAGCAAGUCAGGAGCUCUUGGAUUGAGCCGUGACAAUGUCCCUUUCUCUCAUGGUCGAGCUAUUUUCAUCAAUCCAAUCCCUUUCAAACCUAAUGCUUCUUCUUCCUCUGUCUACUCUUUCAAAACUUCUUUCACUUUCGUCAUUAGUCCUCGCCGGAAUAAUCCUAAUCCCGGUCAUGGCCUCGCCUUUAUUGUCGUCCCUAACGAUAAAAACGACUCUGCUUCUGGUUUAGGCUACCUCAGUCUUGUGAACCGGUUUAACAACGGUAAUCCCAAGAACCAUCUCUUUGCGGUCGAAUUCGAUGUCUUUAAAGACAAGUCUCUUGGCGACAUUAACGAUAACCAUGUUGGAAUCAACAUUAAUUCGGUUAAUUCAAUGGUUUCUAAGAAAGCCGGUUAUUGGAUUCACUCAAGAACCGGAGGAAAAAGCCGGUGGUUGUUCAAGGAAUUGAAGCUAAGUGAAAAUGGAUACAGGGCUUGGAUAGAGUACGAGAACGGGAAAGUGACAGUCACGAUCGGACGUUCACAGGAAAAACCGAAGAGGCCAUUGAUCGAAGCGAGAGUCGAUCUUUCUAAGGUUUUUCUCGAGAAAAUGUAUGCCGGUUUUGCCGGUUCAAUGGGACGUGGCGUCGAGCGUCACGAGAUCUUGGACUGGAGUUUUGAGAACAGUGCCAAAAACUAAUAAACCAAUUCUGUUCGGUUUAGGUUGAACAGCUUCGUUUUCUCUCGUGAAUCUCGUGAUCCUGCUAGUGAUAUUGUUGAAGCUAAUAAAUGCUUAAGUUAUAGCCUAACGUGCCAUGUAUCUACUUUCAGAUUUCUAGAAAGAUUUACAAUAAAGAAUCCCUUACCCUAGUUAUUUAUUAGUUGUCGCAGCAAUCUUCUAUUAUACGGUAAAUGUUUUGUCAAGUUCAAGUAAUAUCUACGAAUUAUAUACUCGUCAUUUGAAACAUUUUUGUUGGUCUAAAAACUAAGGGCUCGUUUGUUUACGCAUCGCUGCGAUUAACUUGAGCGACUGGAAUUUCUCUCUAUUUCUUUUAGUUUUCUUCUCCACAAUCGCUGGUGUGGAGGCAGCGACUGAAAAAUUCAAAGAACAGUUUAGUCGCAGGUGUCGCCGGAAAAUCCAGCGCUCUUCAUCCCUUCCUAAUUUGCUGUCGCUGAAACCUUUGAAUGGAGAGGGACCCACCUUUAUAACCUAUUUAUCUCCUUUUUCCUUUACAUUUGGUGUCGCUGGAAUCAAACGCUGCGACACCUAAAAGAACAUGGCCUAAUUCACAAAAUGAAAAUGGACCACUAAUCACAAAAAUCUACCACUAAGGAAAUUUGAACAUAUACGUAUGUUUAGGCCUGGACAUUCGGAUUCGGAUCGGAUAUAUUCGGAUUCGGAUAAUUAGAGUAUGAGAGUUUAUUAUCCGUUCGGAUUUUAUAAAUCAUCGGUUCGGUUUCGGUUCGGAUAGGUGUCGGAUUCACAUCGGUUUUUGGGAAAAAAAAAAAACUAAAAGUUGUUCAAUUUAAAUAACAAUUGGUUUAAUCUUACUCAAAUUUGGUUAAAUUUUGCAAAAAUAUAUAUAAUUUUAACAAAUAUAACUAAAAAAAUUACAGAAAUGUAGGUUAUUUAGGAUAUUUUGUUAUUUGCUAUAAAAUUACAACUAAAUAUAACUAAUAUUUUUGGAUAUAUAAUUUUAUUUUCGGUUUUCGGAUAUUCUUUCGGUUUUCAGUUCGGAUUGGGUUCGGUUCGUAUAAUUCGGAUAGGAGAAUUCAUUAUCCUUUUGGGUUUUGUGACUAUUCGGUUCGGGUUCGGAUCCGGAUUUUUUGGAUCGGUUUUUGAAUUCCGGUUUUGUGUUCAGCCCUACGUAUGUCAUCCAACCAUAUCAUGAUACUUCUUUAUCAUCAAGUCAGCCAAGCCCUCUUUCACCUGAUUUGGCUCUCAUCUCGAAAUUAUCCAACCUUUUUACAAACAAAGCGAUCAUGGGAAACAUCAAGCUUGGAAUGAGGAUGAUGUGGCGAACUGGCUAUUGGUGGAAUUAAGUUUCCGUUACUUGAUAUUCAAGAUAUCAUCAAAUUAAGGAAAGAAGAUUUGAAGAUAUCCUAAAAUAAGGGAAUCAGAUUAACAACAACAUGUGUUGCUACCUAUACAUAGUCGAUCUAAAGCUUUAGGGUUAGGUUGACAAUUUUUCUGUGAAUCACAAGAUCUAAGCGAAAAAGCCUAUUAGGGAUUUUUGGUGAGUGAACGAAUAGGGAGACAUAGUUGUUAGGUUGUUCCCGUGUCAGUGAGUUUGGGUAGUUGGUAAUUGGUCAGUCACGAGUCGUGUUGACUGCGUGAAAAAAUUUCAGUUUAUUUGUUUAAAAUAGAGAAAAUCUAUAUAUAAUAGCAAUCUAAUAAAUACCAUUUGCACAUCUGAACGGUUGCGUCUUUUUAUCGCAAUUUUUCGUUUAAAUCGGUUAUUUUUUUACGGUUAUGUCUUUAUAUUGAAUUUUCUCUUUGAAUUUUAGUUGAAUUAUUUACAGUUAUAUUUGUUCAAUUACAGUCGUAUCUUUUCAGUUUACAGUUAUAUUUUUAUAGUUGCAUUUAUUCAUUUAAAGUUACGUCUUUCCAUUAUAUAAUUUCAUUGCAUUUUUUGUAUAGUUAGUAAUACUACGAAGUUUUUUUACAUCAACCAUUAGACUACAUAUCAAAUUGGUUUUAUUAACCAAAAUAACAACCUCAAUAAAUGCAUUUUGCACUUCUGAACGGUUGUGUCUCUUUAUCGUAACUUUUCGUUAAAAUAUUAACGGUUAUUUUUUCGGGUGUGUUUUUUAUCGCAACUCUUCAUUAAAAUAUUGACUGUUAUUUUUCGGUUGUGUCUUUUUAUGCAACUUUCCGUUAAAAUAUUGGUUGUUACUUUAUUCGUUUGUGUCUUUUUAUCUCAGCUUUCCCUUAAAAUAUUGACGGUUAUUUUUUCUCGGUUGUGUCUUUUUAUCACAACUUUCCGUUAAAAUGUUGACGGUUAUUUUUUCUCGGUUGUGUCUUUUUAUCGCAAUUCUUCGUUAAAAUAUUGACGGUUAUUUUUCGGUUGUGUCUUUUUCUCGCAACUUUUCGUUAAAAUAUUAACGGUUACUUUUUUCGUUGACGGUUAUUUUUUUGGUUGUGUUUUUUUCUCACAAAUUUCCGUUAAAAUAUUGACGGUUAUUUUUUUCUCGGUUGUGUCUUUUUAUCGCAAUUUUUUGCUAAAAUAUUGACGGUUAUUUUUUCUCGGUUGUAUCUUUUUAUCGCAACUCUUCGUUAAAAUAUUGACGGUUACUUUUUUCGUUGACAGUUAUUUUUUCGGUUGUGUCUUUUUAUCGUAACUUUCCGUUAAAAUAUUGAUGGUCAUUUUUUUGUUUGUGUCUUUCUAUCGCAACUUUCCGUUAAAAUUUUGACAGUUAUUUUUUCUCGGUUGUGUCUUUUUAUCGCAAGUCUUCGUUAAAAUAUUGACGGUUCUUUUUUUCGUUGACGAUUAUUUUUUUGGUUGUGUCUUUUUAUUUUUCGGUUGUGUCUUUUUAUCGUAACUUUCCGUUAAAAUAUUGAAACUAUUAUUCUCUUUUGUGUCUUUUUAUCGCAACUUUUCGUUAAAAUAUUAACGGUUAUUUUUUCUCGGUUGUAUCUUUUUGUCCUAACUCUUUGUUAAAAUAUUUACGGUUACAAUUUUUCAUUGAUGGUUAUUUUUUCGGUUGUGUCCUUUUAUCGUAACUUUCAGUUAAAAUAUUGACGGUUUCUUUUUUUGUUUUUGUCUUUUUACCGUAUCUUUCCGUUAAAAUAUCGACGGUUUCUUUUUCUCGGUUGUGUCUUUCUAUCGCAACUUUCCGUUAAAAUAUUUUGACAGUUAUUUUUCUCGGUUGUGUCUUUUUAUCGCAACUCUUCGUUAAAAUAUUGACGGUUAUUUUUUUCCGUUUAUGUCUUUUUAUCGCAAAUUUUCGUUUAAAUAUUGACUGUUAUUUUUUUUUCGGUUGUGUCUUUUUAUCGCAACUUUUCGUUAAAAUAUUUACGAUUACAUUUUUCGUUGACAGUUAUUUUUUCUGAUGUGUCUUUUUAUCAUAACUUUUCGUAAAAAUGUUGACAUUUAGUUUUUUGUUGUUUCUUUUUAUCGCAACUUUUCGUUAAAAUAUUGACGGUUAUUUUUUCUCGGUUGUGUAUUUUAUCGCAACUUUCCGUUAAAAUAUCGACGGUUGUUUUUUCUCGGUUAUGUCUUUUUAUCGCAACACUUCGUUAAAAUAUUGACGGUUACUUUUUGUGUUGACGGUUAUUUUUCUGUUUGUGUUUUUAUAUCUUUUUGGUUUUGACCUGCUAGAAUUUUUUCUCUCUAUAUUAUAACUCUUCGUUAGUUAUUUUGUCACUUAUAAAUAAUUUUAUAUUCACCAAAAAUGUUUCAAAAGUGUUUUUUAGUCAUAAUUUUUUAUUUUACAUUUUUAUUCAUAAAUUUUUUUUAAUAUCUUUAGAAAAUAUUUACGAUAUAACUUUAAGACGUAGUUAAUUUUAUAUAAUAAUUCAAUUAUUUGAGUAUAUUAUAAUAAUAAUUUAAUACAUAAACGUAAUAAAAUAUAUUUGUUGAAAAUGAGUUCUCCCGCGAUAUCGCGGGGUUCAUAACCUAGUAUAUAUAGAGAACUACAUAAUUUAUCAUAAACCACACAUUUUAAUAGUAUAUCAACAAAAAGGAACAAUAAUAGCUAUCUCUAACUCUACCUUGUAUUACAAAAAAUGAAAAUUUUAAGGUUUUUCUAAGCAUUUUUAAUUAGUAAUUAAUGAUGAAAUUUUUUUUACUAAGACAUUUAUUUUGGUUGGAAUUUUUUAGAAUUAAAUGUUGAUGUUUGUUGUUAAAAAUUUAAUUCAUUAAAUAAAAUAAAAUAAAAAACUAAAAUGUUUUAAAAGUAAACUAAUGCUUUUCUAGUAUCAAACUUUGUUAAUUUUUAAAUUAAUUUUAUGUGCAUUAAGAAAAAUCUAAAAAUUUAAUAUAUAUGAAAAUCUAAAUUGUUAAUUUGGUAAUAAUAAGGGAAGUUAAAAAUAUCAAAAUUUGGUAACUAUGUAUUAGAAGAAAUUUAGAUGUGUGUGAUAAGUAAUUUAAAGAGAAUGAAGGUUUGAAAAAUUGUGUUUAAUGAAUUUGAUAGUAGAAUUAAAUAAUUAAAAAUUAAAAAAGCUGAGAAGAAAAUGUGGAAUUGCCACAUAAACACUAAAAAUUAUUUUAAUAUAGGAAGACUCACAAAAAUGCCCCUUUUUCAAUACCCCUUUUCAAAAAUGCCCCAUUUGGAUGUCAAUUUUUAAAAAUACCUCUUUUUAUGUAUAAAAUGACUAAAUUACCCUUCUAUUAAUAAAAGAUAUCAUAAAUAUAUAAAGAAAUAUAACAAAAUUAGAUCCACAAAAUACAAAAUAUUUUCCCCCUAUACACUCAUAAAGUUUUUGUUUUCAGCAUUGUGGCCACAGAAAAAGUAGAAUCAUUUUGUACAAUUUCGAGGACAGAUUUUGUCAUCUAAUGCCAUAAUUCAAAAUUAUUUGUCUCUUUUCUCUCAAUAUCUCAAUUAUUUUAAGUUUUCUCGAUCUUUUAAACUCUCACCAUCUUUUUUAAAGUUCUUCACUUUCACUUCCCAAAUUCCCAAAAUAUGAAGAUCCAAAUACUCUGUUUCACCACUCUGUUCUUAGCUAUCUUCACCCCUCAAGUCACCACUGCUUACAAAUUCAAAUUCGAUUACUUUGGUAAUGGUACUGAUCUAAUAUCAUUCCAUGGUGACGCUGAGUAUGGUCCUGACACUGAUGGCAUGAGCCGGUCCGGAGCCAUCGCAUUGACUCGAGACAACAUCCCUUUCUCUCAUGGUCGAGCUAUUUUAACCACUCCAAUCACUUUCAAGCCUAAUGCUUCAGCUCUUUACCCUUUUAAAACCUCUUUCACUUUCUCCAUUACUCCUAAAACAAACCCUAAUCAAGGUCAUGGCCUUGCCUUCAUCGUCGUCCCAAGUAACCGAAACGACGCCGGUUCCGGUUUAGGCUAUCUCAGUCUUCUGAACCGAACCAACAACGGUAAUCCUAAUAACCACCUUUUUGCCGUUGAAUUUGAUGUCUUUCAAGACAAAUCUCUUGGCGACGUGAACGAUAACCAUGUCGGAAUCGAUAUUAAUUCGGUUGAUUCGGUGGUUUCUGUGAAAUCCGGUUAUUGGGUUAUGACAAGAAACGGUUGGUUGUUUAAGGAAUUGAAGUUGAGUAGUGGAGAUAGAUACAAGGCUUGGAUUGAGUACAACAAUAAUUAUAAAGUCAUCUCUGUUACGAUUGGUUUGGCGCAUUUGAAGAAACCGAACCGGCCAUUGAUUGAAGCAAAAUUCGAUCUUUCCAAGGUUAUUCACGAGCAAAUGUAUACCGGUUUUGCCGGUUCGAUGGGUCGUGGUGUCGAGCGUCACGAGAUUUGGGACUGGACUUUCCAGAACUAAAAAACCGGUUCGGUUUGUUUCUGGUUUACUCUCUGUCGUGACUUCAGCUUGUGAUAAUUGAAGUGAAAUAAAUGUACCUUACCGACAUUGUGAUGAAGUAUUAUUGUUGUCAGAUUAGUAGAAAUCAAGGACGUUUAAUUCCUGAUUUAGUACUCCUUCCGUUUCGUUUUAGUUGUCGUUUAAGGUUUUCUCACACAAAUUAAGAAAAACAUUGAAUUUUCUGUUUUACCUUUUAUUAAUAUAUUUUAUAAAAAAAUUCAUUGGCCGAAACAUUAAAACAGUAGGGAUAAAACUGGAAUUUUCACGAAACAUUUGCAUCGAAAACCUAAAACGACAACUAUUAUGAAACAAAAUUUUAACUCUAAAACGACAAGUAAAACGAAACGGAGGGAGUACUGUAUAUCCUAAUCUUCUGUUUCAAUACUUUUAAACACACUUCUCGUUGGCCAAAAAAUAUAAUGAUUUAAGUGAACCGUGGACAAUAAUAGAUAGUGUUGGGUGAGAUUCGCAAGAUUUUUUUUGUAGGUCUGGACGUUCUGAUACCCGUUAGGGUUUGGUUCGGUUUCAUUCGGUUACGGUUCUAGAGUUGAUGAUCCAUUCAGAUAUUUUAGAAUUUUGUUUCGGUUUCGGUUUUUUCGGUUUUAAAAUUUUAGUAUACAUUCGAAUAUUUUGUUUCAGAUAUUUUCGGUUCGGACAUAGAACAUCACAUACUUUCAACUGCGACGAUAAGUUUGCUAGAAUAGAAUUUGAUGUUUUUUUGGGUGGAGGAUCGUGUUAGGCAAUAGUGAUCCUCCCAUGAGCCAAAUGAAACAUUUAUAUUUUUGAUUAUUCUCAAAAUACUUAUAUUAUUCUUUUUACCAAACAUCUGCGGAUCCAAUCACACGAUCUUACCUAGAACCUCAAUAGUUUUUAGGCGCCUCAAAAAAGCAGUAACUAAUAGGUACCCGAAUUUGAAAUUUUCUGCAACAGUAAACUUUCAAUUUUCUAAGACUUUAAAAGUUAUUGGCAUUUUCUUGCAACUGUCCAAAAAUACCAAAACAUUUUAUUUUAUUUCUGCGUUUGGGCUCCCUAAAUGUCAGGGCCUACUCUAGCUAAAGCCUAAAUGUAAGUUUAUUGGGCUUUAAUGAUAAAUAUAUAUAAGUAUUUUGUUCUUUCGUUUUUUCCAUCGAUCUUUCAAGGAUUUUUAGUAAUAAAAUCCCUCAAGUAAAGAUAAAUAGUAAGAAAAUCCCUCAAUUAUAUAUUUAGUGAAAAAAUCCAUCAACUUUGAAUAUGUUCAUGCAAAUUCCCCUCUGUCCAUAGUGUCGUAAAAAUUGGACGGACUACAGUUCAAAUUAAAACGUAACAUUUUCCAGAAUCUCUCCUAAUCGACUUCUACACCACACAAGCUUCAGAGAAUCUUACUAUGAUAAAUUAUGGUUCAUCAAUUUAGAUUUUUUCACUUAGAGAACUUUAGAGCUUAGGUUUGAGGAUUUAUAAUCAGAUAGAAGAAGAUUUUGUUGUUUUUGUUUACAAUUCAUGUUGUUUAAGUGUAUAUAUGUCGUUUUUCAGUUUCAAUUUAACUGUAAUCCGUCCAAUUUUUAUGAUAACGGAGACGAAGGGGAAUUUUCAUGAACAUAUUUAAAGUUGAGGGGUUUUUGCACUAAAUAUAUAGUUGAGGGGUUUUUUUUACGAUUCAUCUUUAGGUGAGGGGUUUUAUUACUAAAAACCCAUCUUUGAAAGGAAAAACAUACUUAGCUACACGAAGUAUGCUAUAAUACAUGGACACACAUCCGAAGUUGAAAAAUGUAUCUCUAACUACACAAAUUAUAUGUAUCACAUGCCCACAUAUACGAACUAUAUAUUCAUGUCGCCAACAUCACAAACAUUUUUUUCCGAUACAUUUUUCGCCGGAAUUCGGUAUUAACCAGUUUGACCGGCGUUGACCAACAUAAAUAUUCAAAAAAAAAAAAAAAUUAGCUUUUUAAUAUUUAGAAAAUUAUGUUAUUGAAUCAUUUAUAAUAUUAUAUAAUUAAAAAAGUAUAUACAAUAUUCAAUAUAAAAAUAUUUUAUAUAUAUUCAAUGCAUUGAUUUUUAUAAUUAGUUAGUUUCGAUAAUUUCAAAACUAAACUAAAAAUAAAAUAAAAACCAAUUAGGUAAAAUAAUUGUAAAUAUGAAAUUUUCUAUACUCUCUAGUCUAAAGUUUUUUGUAUAAUAUGUUGUUAAUUUUUGUAUAUAAAAUUAUUACGAAAAAUUCUUUUAAUAAUACAAAAAAAAAUAACAACAUAUUAAAAAAAAAACUUUAGACUAGAGAGUAUUUAAAAUUUUCUAUUUAUAAUUAUUUUGCCUAAUUGGUUUUUGUUUUAUUUUUAGUUUAGUUUGAAAUUAUUGAAACUAACUAAUUAUAAAAAUCAAUGCAUUGAAUAUAUAUACACAAUAUUUUUAUAUUGAAUAUUGUAUAUAUUUUUGUAAUUAUACAAUAUUAUAAAUGAUUCAAUAACAUAAUUUUCUAAAUAUUAAAAAACUAAUUUUUUUUUUUUUAAUAUUUAUGUUGGUCAACGCCGGUCUAACUGGUUAAUGCCGGAUUCCAGCGAAAAGUGUACCGGAAAAAAAUGUUUGUGAUGUUGGCGACAUGACUACAUAUAGUUCAUAUAUAUAAGCAUGCGAUACAUAUAGUUUGUGUAGUUAAAGAUACCUUUUUAACCUUCGGAUGUGUGACCAUGUAUCGUAGCAUACUUCGUGUAGCUAGGUAUUUUUUCCCAUCUUUUAAUUCGGAAAUUAAUGGGUUAUGAUUAAAAACGUGAGUCUAUUCAUGUGUCCAGUUGGCGCUAUCAAAUUUGACCCAUAUACAUGUCUGAAAAGUCAAAGUUGAUGGCUCAUUGGCUUUUGUCACCCCUAUAUAUAACAACAGUAUAACACCGCCGCUUCCACUGCGGCACGGCCAUACACCAAAAACAAAACAUACACAAUAAAAUACACGUACACAAACUCAUAAUGCAGAUCCAAAAACUCUGUUUUUUUGCUCUGUUCAUAUCUUUGUUCAGCGCCAAAAUGAUAAAUUGAUGAGAGUAAAGAACACAAAAGUGUUUAGGAAGAAUUAUAAUAAACUCUCAUAAGAAUAAAGUUACAAAAUACAUUCUCUUAUAUAGAGAUGAGAUUAAUCUAAGUUUCCUAAUUUAUGAUAAAUAUAAAUGUAAAUAAUACUUUAAAGAUAAAUGUAAAUAUUCCUAAACUAAUUUAUGAUAAUCUUCUAGAUCCUUCUCGAUCUUCAUGAUUUCCAUAAUCUUGGGCGAUCAUCUCGAUCGUCGAUCUCGGUCGAUCUCCGGUUCUCCCAAUACCCCCCGGCAAGCUCAUACGUGGUUACACGUUUGAGAUUGGACAAGUCUUCAGAAUAACGGCUUUUAUACCCGGCCGUCGGGUCAUCAUCGACGUUUAUACCCGAUCGAAGGGUUCAAAGCGGCUACAAUACCCAGCUGUUAGGUCAUCGACGUUUAUACCCGAUCGUAGGGUUCAAAGCGGCUACAAAACCCAGCCGUUAGGUCAUCGACGUUUAUACCCGAUCGUAGGGCUCAAAGCGGCUACAAAACCCAGCCGUUAGGUCAUCGACGUUUAUACCCGAUCGUAGGGUUCAAGUAAUAAAAAUAUCACCCGCGAUUGCGAGGUUCGGAUGUUGCUCGCGAUGGCGAGACUAAAAAAAAACAACUCACGAGGGCGAGUAGUUUAAUCAAAAGGAGAAGUUAAACUCGCGAGGGCGAGAAAACAUCAUUGUUCCCGAAACUGAUUUUUUUUUUUCUUUGCGGAAGCUAACGUAACGGAUCCAAAAUCCACAGAAAGGAUCUUGGCUCUGAUACUAUGAUAAAUUGAUGAGAGUAAAGAACACAAAAAGUGUUUAGGAAGAAUUAUAAUAAACUCUCAUAAGAAUAAAUUUACAAAAUACAUUCUCUUAUAUAGAGAUGAGAUUAAUCUAAGUUUCCUAAUUUAUGAUAAAUAUAAAUGUAAAUAAUACUUUAAAGAUAAAUGUAAAUAUUCCUAAACUAAUUUAUGAUAAUCUUCUAGAUCCUUCUCGAUCUUCAUGAUUUCCAUAAUCUUGGGCGAUCAUCUCGAUCGUCGAUCUCGGUCGAUCUCCGGUUCUCCCAAUACAAAACCAUUUCCGCCGUCAAAUUCAACUUCAACCAUUUCGACGGUACAGAUCUAAUCUUCCUCGGGUACGCGGAGCUGGGACCAGCAACCGAUGGCAUGAGCCGGUCCGGAGCUCUCUCCAUGACCCGUGACAAAAAUCCUUUCUCACAUGGUCGAGGUCUCUACACAGAUCUAAUCCCAUUCAAAUCUUCCAACAACAUUUCUUCUUCUGUUUACUCUUUUAAAACAUCUUUCACUUUCUCUAUCACUCCUCGCCGGUCAAACCCUAACCCUGGUCAUGGUCUCGCCUUCAUCGUGGUCCCAACCAUACACUACGACCAAGACUCAACCCGUGGCUUCCUUGGUCUAGUUAACCGCACAACCAAUGGCAAUCCUAAUAACCAUCUUUUUGCGGUUGAAUUCGAUGUUUUCCAAGACAAACGUUUUGGUGAUAUUAAUGAUAAUCAUGUUGGUAUCAAUAUUAACUCUGUUACCUCAAAAGUUUCUGAGAAAGCUGGUUAUUGGGUUCAGACAAGAACUGGAGGAAACAAUCAAUGGUUGUUUAAGGAAGUGAAGCUUAGUAGCGGAGAUAACUACAAAGCUUGGAUCGAGUACAAGAACAGUAAAGUCAUUGUUUGGCUCGCACCUGCCCAUUUAAAGAAACCGAAGAGGCCAUUGAUCGAAACACAAGUUGAUCUCUCUGAGGUGGUUCUUGAAACAAUGUAUACUGGUUUUGCUGGUUCGAUGGGUCGUGGCAUCGAGCGUCACGACAUUUGGAGCUGGAGUUUCGAGAACACCGCCAAAAACAACUAGUUCGGUUUAAUUUAUUUUAUUUUGGUUUGAUUUAUGUUUUGGUUUUGUUCUCUUUGUCACCGGUUUAACAAUUUUCCUAUUUUCUCUUGAAUUUAUUCAAAAGUGGUUUAAAAGAGAGUACAAAAUGUCAAAAUCAAAUUAAAAUUACUUUUAUCGAUUGAAACUAAAAUUUUCUUCCCGGACCAUCACCUUAAGAAAUCUUCGUGAUCAUCACUGAUAUUGUAUUAAUGAAGACUCGUUAACCAAAGCACAACCACGUGAUGUUGUGUUCAUGAUACUCAUCAGAUUGAAUCGUUUAUUUAUGUCAUCACGAAAGCAAACGAACUCUAAUUUAUACCAUGAUAAAAUUGGUGAGAAUAAAAAGUUAAAAACACAAUAAUUUUUAUGAAAAAUUAUAUUUAGAUUCUAAAAAAUAUAAUAAUUGAUAAAAAAAAAAAUAUGUUUAUAUUCCCUCCGUUCCUUUUUAUUUGAUGUUUUAGGAGAAUGCACACAGAUUAAGAAAUCAUUUAAUUUUUGUUUAUUUCUAAACUUAAACAUCAUUUAUUAUCUAAUCAACCAAUAGAAAAACAAUCUGCAUAAUAUAAUUCGUCAAAACCAAUAAAAACGAAUUAAUAUUGUAUUGAAAACCGAAAAUAUAUAUUUAAGAACAAAAACAAAAGCUUAAAACAUUAUUUAUAAAAGAACGGAGAGAGUAUAAAGAUAAAAUUAACCUAAAUUUCUUAAACUAAAAUAAACAAAAAUGUAAAUAAUAUAUUAAAAAAUAUCUCUAAGUUCCUAAACUAAGAUAUUUGACAAGUCCACUAUAUAUGAGCUAUCACCGUUGCUAGAUCGUAUCACUUUUUACACAAAUGUUCAUUAUCUUUCAUAUGGUUUCAAUAAAAACCAGAAAUAUUAUUUCAUUGAUAUGGUUUCAUAAUCUCUAAAUCAUAGAAAAAUAAAAAACACGUGGCGUGUCCGGACGCAUGUCUCAAUCCAUUCCAUGGAAAUGGAAACUCCCCUCUGGUCAUUAAAUGCUCCCACCAAUACAUUCUCUUUCCCUUCCCCAAAACCAAUAAUACAAACAAUUUUGUUUUUCUUAUUCAAAGAUUUUCAAAGUACAAUCAUUUCUUUAGGUACUCUUUCUUCUAAAUCUUCAUUAUAUUUAUCAACAAAUUUAUAUUUAUUUUUUGGUCAUUAUAAAUUCCUAAUGUAGCCUUACAAAAAUGUAUAAUAUGAUUUGGACCACAACAUAAUUUAAACAUUCCUCUUUGAAGAAAAUUGGUCAUUCUUUUUUAAAAUUACAUUUCACUUUGACCCCAUGGGUUACUUAUAUUUACAUAUUUGGCCCAAAACUAAAAUACGAAAAAAGGUUUUAGCUUUACGUUCUUUUGAUUUCCUAGGUCGUGGUUUCACCACGUUGCUUGCGUGAAAAGAGAAGCGAAAGAUAAUCAAAAAGCGAAAAAUAAUCAACAAAACCCUCACUGUGAAGUAAAAAUCGUAGGCCCAAAAUAGAUUUUCUUCGCCAAGAAUUUAAUUUUUAUGAAUCUGAUUAUUGCUUUUCUACGAACUCUCUGUUUGCGAGAUGUGUGGUUGUCAAAAAAGGAUCGUUUCUUCGGUGCCUCUUAGUCUACUUCUUCUUAUCUUCUUCUUUGCUUUUCUUUUUAUUGCUUCUCUAUAUAGAGAGUUUAGUGGUCAAGAACCUUACCUGCCUCGUGUUUGUCUCUUUAUGUAAUCAAAGGUUGCAUUUUUAUUCGAAUAUAUUUUCUGAUUUUGGUGUUUUCUGUCAAAGGGUCUUUUAAAAAUCUUAACUUUCGUUCUAAAUUUCUUUACUUUUUUUUUCGAUUAGGGUUUUUGGGAUGGGAUCAUGGAAUGAAGUAUUGGAGAAUCCAGAGGAGUUUAUUUGGUAAUUUCUGGUAAUCAAAUGAAGGGUUCUUCAGAAUCUAAUUCCAGAGGAUUAAACAACACAUCUGGUGUUUCAGAGUUUUGUACUGAUGGUUCUAAGUCUUUGUCUCACAUUGAUUAUGUCAGAAGCUUACUUGGUUCACACAAAGAAGAUAACUUGGUUGGACUUGAUGAUGACUCUAUUGUUAGAGCUUUGGAAUGUGAGGAUGUUAGCUUGCGUCAGUGGUUAGACAAUCCAGACCGAUCCGUUGAUGCCUUUGAGUGUUUUCACGUUUUCAGACAGAUUGUUGAGAUUGUGAAUGCAGCUCACUCUCAAGGCAUUGUUGUUCAUAAUGUUAGGCCUUCUUGUUUCGUUAUGUCUUCGUUUAACCAUGUUUCGUUUAUCGAAUCUGCUUCUUGUUCUGAUUCCGGGUCUGAUGAGGAUGCAACAACAAAGUCUCGAGAGAUUGGUAGCUCGAGAAAAGAUGAGUUUCUAUUAGAGGAAGUAACGAAGCAACCUUUCCCUAUGAAACAGAUAUUAGCAAUGGAGAUGACUUGGUAUACAAGUCCUGAAGAAGAUAAUGGUUCUCCGAGUAAUUGUGCUUCUGAUGUUUAUCGUCUUGGUGUUCUUCUCUUUGAGGUUUGUGCAUAAGAAGAUUGAUUUAUGUUCUUAAUUGCUAUGUUUUCUUGAGAAAACUGAUUUGAUAAAUGUUAGUUUUUGUGCAGCUAUUUUGCCCUGUCUCCUCAAGAGAAGAGAAGUCAAGAACUAUGUCUAGUUUAAGACAUCGUGUUCUUCCACCUCAGAUAUUGCUCAAUUGGCCUAAAGAAGCUUCCUUUUGCUUGUGGUUACUGCAUCCUGAGCCUAGCUAUCGACCAUCGAUGAGGUGAUUGAUUCUCUCUUUGAUGUUUUAGUUUCAUUGGGAAAAGUUUUGUGCUUUCAAGAGUAUUGACUCAUUUGUCUUUACUGGUGCAGUGAGUUGCUACAAAGUGAGUUUAUUAACGAACCUAGAGAGAAUUUGGAAGAACGUGAAGCUGCGAUGGAGCUACGAGAUAGAAUCGAGGAACAAGAGUUAUUGCUAGAGUUCUUGUUUCUGAUUCAACAGAGAAAACAAGAAGCUGCAGACAAAUUGCGGGAUACGAUAUCGCUUGUUUCUUCUGAUAUUGAUCAAGUCGUAAAGCGACAGUUGGUUUUACAGCAAAAAGGGAGUGAUGUCCGUUCGUUUUUGGCCUCAAGAAAACGGAUUAGACAAGGAGCCGAGACCGCUGCGGCAGAGGAAGAAAAUGAUGAGGAGGAAUCUAAGCUUGAUGAUACUCUAGAGAGUACACUACUUGAAAGCUCUCGGUUAAUGAGAAAUUUGAAGAAACUGGAAUCAGUCUACUUUGCAACGCGAUACAGACAGAUCAAGGCUGCUGCUGCUGCUGAAAAACCGUUGGCUAGAUAUUAUUCGGCAUUGAGUAGUAACGGUAGAAGUUCAGAAAAAAGUUCAAUGAGCAGCCCGGCUCAACCACCAAAAGAUCCUAUCAAUGAUUCUAGACAGGGCGGUUGGAUCGAUCCAUUCCUUGAGGGUUUGUGCAAGUAUUUAUCUUUUAGUAAGCUAAGAGUGAAAGCGGAUUUGAAACAAGGAGAUUUGUUGAACUCGUCUAAUCUUGUUUGCGCAAUUGGGUUUGACCGUGAUGGGGAGUUUUUCGCCACGGCUGGCGUCAACAAAAAGAUCAAGAUAUUUGAAUGUGAGUCGAUAAUAAAAGAUGGCCGGGACAUUCAUUACCCGGUUGUGGAACUUGCUAGCCGGUCUAAGCUUAGUGGUAUAUGUUGGAACAGUUAUAUUAAGAGCCAAGUCGCAUCAAGUAACUUUGAAGGCGUGGUUCAGGUAAGUUCACGAUUGAGAACAAGAAAUAGUAGGAGAAAACUCUCAACCUUAUAACUAAGAUUAAUAAUUUCAUAGGUUUGGGAUGCUGCAAGAAGCCAGUUGGUUACAGAGAUGAAGGAGCAUGAGAAGCGUGUAUGGUCCAUAGAUUAUUCAUCAGCAGAUCCAACAUUAUUAGCCAGCGGUAGUGACGAUGGUUCGGUUAAGCUCUGGAGUAUCAAUCAGGCAACAUUCUAAACUAAACCAAAACGUAUUUAGUUAUUUGAGGGAUGUAUUUUAACGGUUGAGUUUGUUUUACUCUCUUUUCAGGGGGUUAGUAUUGGAACCAUCAAGACAAAGGCAAACAUAUGUUGUGUCCAGUUUCCGUCAGAGUCGGGUCGGUCUUUAGCAUUUGGUUCAGCAGAUCACAAAGUUUACUACUAUGAUCUAAGGAACCCCAAGCUUCCUCUUUGCACAAUGAUUGGCCACAACAAGACCGUGAGUUAUGUCAGAUUUAUGGAUUCAUCAACACUUGUGUCGUCUUCUACGGAUAACACGCUGAAGCUAUGGGAUUUAUCAAUGUCUAUUUCCGGUGUUAACGAAACGCCUCUUCACUCAUUCAUGGGACACACUAAUGUUAAGGUACCUUUGUACUUCGUUUCUUUUUCUUCUUCAUUCCAAGCCUGCUUUCUGAGGUUAUUAAUACAUUUCUGUUCUUGCAAUGUGUGUAGAACUUUGUUGGAUUAUCGGUCUCUGACGGGUAUAUAGCUACAGGCUCGGAGACUAAUGAGGUAUGUCUACUCUCACUUCAAAAAUAUACAUAAAAAAGGAAGAAACUUUGAUCCCAGCUUGACUUUCUUGUACUUCACUGGACAGGUUUUUGUAUACCACAAGGCAUUUCCAAUGCCGGUUUUGUCUUACAAGUUCAAAACUAUAGACCCUGUGUCAGAUCUCGAAGUAGACGAUGCCUCGCAGUUCAUAUCCUCGGUCUGCUGGCGGGGACAGUCCUCGACCUUAGUCGCUGCAAACUCCACUGGCAACAUCAAGAUUCUGGAGAUGGUAUGAACCAAUAUGGCUCAGAAGCAAAAUGGUAAUUUUCAAGGGUUUGGAUUGGUAUAGGAAACAAUUUUUGGGAGAGAGAGAGUAGGAAAAGUGAAAACAUUGUUGCUACUAAAGAAUUGUGUAUAUAGAAGAAUAUAUAAUCUUUGUAUUUGUAUAGUACUUAUUGUAAACCCUAAUGAGACCAGUGGGUAACUUAACAUACACGUAAUAUAGUUAAUCACUUCAAAAGAAUAAUACAAUCAAUCUAUGGUGUAUAUAUAGCCUGCAACUGCAAGAUUCUCUCCAAGUUUGUUUUCUCCAUCCACAAGUAAUUGAUUCUCUAUACACAUUGAUUCUUUCCUGAUUUAGCCUCUGUAACUAACAUAUCUACAAGCCCCUUGAGCCUCACAGCCCCUGAGCUAGGCCUGAUCCUAGCCACGUCUUCAACAACCGAGCACUCUGGUUUCCCACCGCACCAACCGCCGGGAGUAAAACCGUCUUCGUUCAUCCGACGAAGCAGUUGCUUAUCGAUCUUAUCCAAAACUGUGUCAUUUCUUCUGAAUUUCCGACCAAAUGCAGAUCUGCUCGCAAUCAUAUUUCCCAUGUCUCUUAGGGACAACAUGCGAGGAUGCUGCCUCGGUGGCUUAUCCCAUGCGAUGUAGUGAAGAUCAUGGUUCACCGCGGUUUUAGAGAACUCGGGCACGUUACAUAUGACUGUAUGGAAGUAACCUUCAGGAGAAGAAACGAAAUUGGUGUAGUACAUGAGUAAAGUUCUUGGUAAAUUGUCCCAACCCCAUAUGAUAUACUCCACGAAUGAGUGCGACAGAGCCAUCCAAGCUGAUCCUGCAGAAAGAAAACCAACAAAUAUUGCUAACAAGAACAGAGUAAAUAUGUUUUAAAGCAGGAUUAGAAGAACAGAACUGACCAGUAAAUAACUUGAAAGCAGCUGGUAAACUUCGAUUAGGUCUGACCCAUAAAACGUUUGAUUUGUUUACCAUAUAGAGUCCGGGAUCAAUGAUUAAUGGCAUUGCCCGCUUCUUGCUUCACCGUGAGACACCAAGAAACUUUAGAUUCAGCUAAGGAGAAACUAAAAGAAUUCAGUAACUGAGACAAGAAGAAGCUCACUUUUUCCAGCCUAAGCGACUUGUGUGGUCGAUAAAGUUGAGGUUCCGGUCCAAAGUCGAAAACGUAUGAAUCAGAUCUUCAAACAUAGAACAUUGUUUGUCAGUCCAAACAAGAGGAAGAUCAAGAACACAAGGAAAAAAUCGAAGCAUUUACCGUCUUGAGUCACGAGGGGAUAAUCGGAAGCACUAAGAUUGAUAAACCAAUCCCAAUCCGGGGUUCUUUUAAGUAGAAUCGCGCAUGCGUGAAGGGUAUUCGCCACCAUUGUUGGUCCGGUAUAAGUGACAAGAUUAGCUUUGGCUAUCAUAUAGACAUUCCCUAUAUUUGAAUACAUAGGAUCGUUUUUAAUGCGAGAAGCCAACUCUGAUCUCUCAUCAACGGGUGAUUCAAGAUCCAAGUGAACAAUGUAUUGGUUUCUUGGAUGGUACAAUGCUCUAAGAGUUCUCCAAAGGCUUUCAAGAUCUCCUUUAGAUCCCGAAACAAGGUAAGCGAAACGUGGGAGCUUGUCGACUUCAAGAGGUUGUUGCGCUACGACUUUCGAAUCAUUUUUGGCGUAACGGGAUAAAGUUCCAUUAACCGGUGGUCGAAGUGAAGAGAUUAAACCAAUGUUGAAGGAAGUUGCAAUGAGUACAACGCAGACAAGAGAUGUGAUCACUAAUGAGAAUACACAUUUCUUCUCCAUAAACACAUACCUCAUUGAAGAGAAUUUGUGGUCAUGAGACAAAAGCAUGACACCAAAAUCUGAAUCAAAACCUCUUUAGCAAUAAUCUUCUUCUGCAAAUACAUCAAUUUAGCUGAUCAUAUAUCCUCAGCUCAAGCUCGAAUUAAGCCACUAGCAUCAUCACACACUAAGUCCUAUUACACAAAUCAAGAUUUCAGAUAAACUUUUUAAGUGCAUAAAUUUUCAGAAACAUAGAAUGUUUUUUAUCCUCUAAAACCACUCUGACCAGAAUUUAUUAGUUAAUUAGACAAUCAGACAACUAAACAGCUAGAUUAACCUCAGCUCAAAUAACUCCUCACCAAAACCACACAAAAAAAGUUACAAGAAAACGUCUCACAGGAUAAGCAAAAUCAAAUCUAAGAAUUGAUCAAGGGAUAGAGAUUGGAACCUGAGUUUUUUUGCAAAAGAGGAAGAAGAAAGAAUUUUGCUUUGGUUUGAUACAUAAAAACACUCUUGUGUGGACUAAAAUUGUCAAGAGGAAGGAAUUAUGAAAAUUUUCCAAAAAUAAAAACAAAACCUUUCUUCUUCAAAAAGAAGAUGGAAGUUUCGUAGAGGUUAUAUCCAAUUCUUGUGAAGCUACUACACGAAAUCGGAAAUAUAUAAAAAAAAUCAUAUAUUUUGCUCUCUCAUCUUUAAAUUCCUUUAUGAAAGUGAUAUCAGAAAAAAAGAAUUCAUAUAUCUUGCAAGGCGAAAAUGAUGUUAUCAAUUAAUUAAAAAUAUCUUCACCAAAAAACAAAAAAGGGUUUUGUUUACAUGAAUGUAAAUUUCUAGCUUGACAUAUUUAUGAAAAGUGAAUAAAUACAAAAAAGGUUGAGAUUUUGGAUAACAUAAUCUGCUUGUACUUUGUAGAGAUACUGGCUCUUUAAAAUGUUUUUUUGACAGCAAAAAAGAAAAAAAAAGUUAAAAAAAGUAUAAAUAUAACAUAUUCUGUAGUCAUUGGGUUAUGCAAUUGUAACAUACGCAUAAGGAAAUCUAAUAACAACACUUGAACUAACAACACUACCAUUCUUUUUUUUUUAUUAUUACUAUUACUUUGCCAUAAAACUUUUCUAUUUCUUCAGCUAGUAUCAAAUUCUCUCUAUCUCUUUUUUUUUCUUUUCUUUUCAUACGUUGCCAUAAUUAAGAAAACUUCUCUUUUUCUCUAGCUUAUUUCAAAUUUAUUGAAGUUUAAUGAAUAUAAUGGUUAACUAUGUAAUAAAUAAUAAUAAAUUAGAUAUAUUGGGUUGAAUUUGUAAUAAUUGUACAGUAAUAGAACAAGUCAUAGAGUAAGUAAGGUCCGUAUGGGCCAGUAGGCCACGUUUAUACCUGAUGAAACUAAUUCAAUAAAAGUAUUAAAUAUAAUUGGAAUUUUUGUUUAUAGAAGAAAAUUCUUCCAACCAAAUUUUGGUCAUCUGUUGUUAUAUUAGAAUACGAGAGUGUGAAACAGGUUACAAAGUUCGAAACAUCCCUACACCUGCAAGUGAGAAACAAACUCACAGACAAUGCAACUAACGCUAACUCCUUUGAACAAGUCAAAGAGCCUAUACAAAAGAAUGGAUACACCACAAAAGAUCCAAACAGGGAUAUAAAACAGAAUUACUCAAACAGAGGCUUAAACUCUCUCAUCCUCAAAGACCUGAUGCAGCCACAUUGGAUGACCUGAGGCAACAUAAGAAUGAAACCUCAAAUCAUUGGUAACACUUUGAGCAAUGAGGGCAGCGCCUCUAUUUGCAGUAGUAACUUCCUUAACAAAUUUCCAGUCCAUAAUCCCUUUUAACAACUCUAAAGCCUCCGAAGAAUGAAAACUGAAGGAUGGCCAGGCAAUAGGUCUAUUCACCGCACCUAUGAGCUCAUCAGCUUGGAGAGCAAAGAUAACUCUUCCCAAUUGGUGACUCCUCAUGCUUUCUAUGGUCCACAGCAAAAUCUCAAACUGAGCAUCUAAUUUGCUACACACAUUAACAAAAGACUUACGGCUAUGCAACAGAGCCACACCCUUCUCAUCUCUCACAACCCAUGCUCCACCAGCAGCUCUAUUCCUUCUAGACCAAGAAACACCAAUGUUACAUUUGAUCCAAUUAGCUUCUGGAGGUCUCCAUGUAAUACCAGCCACAUCACCACUAUGAUUUUCAGUCAUUGGAUCCCUUACACUCUCCGUUUCUUCCCCAUCUGAAACCUCCUUUUGAGCCUCAAACCAUUCAUCAACAUCAGCCUUUAUCUUUUCCAUGGUUUCCUUCACAGAGAAAUUCUUCCCUUCAUAGAGAAUCAGAUUCCUAUUAGUCCAUAUCCUAAUGGCAAUUAGUUUUGAACUUUUGAUUAAUUCAGAUUUAACAUUAGAAUUGACUGUUGUUGACCUUAAAGGACCUUACCAGACCAAAGACUAGGGUCAAUAAGUGUAAAUAACUAAUAAUAAUAUAAAAAGAAGAAAUUAAUAAAUAAUUUUCCAUGUCAAAGCAAAAAAAGAAACGUUUUUUUUUUUUUUUUUGGGAUUUCAAGAAGAAACAAGAAACAUAAAUUGAAAUGUGAACGCAAAAACAAGAAAUCUUUAAUCUUUUCCUCAGUUUCUUCUUAUGGGAUCAACAAGAACUAGUCUACCUUCUUUCUUGAUAUUCGAAAGAUCUGGUUUUUACUUCUUCAAACUUCUAAAGUUUCUUCCUUUUUUUUCCGUUAAAAAUUGGAUCUUUUCUUCAGCUAAAACCCUGAAGAUUCUUGGGAAGAAUUUGUCGUCUCUAUCUCUUCUUGUUUCUUUCUCGGUAAUGUUCUGUGACUCUACAUUUUCUGUAAUCAAGAACUGAAUCUGUUGAGUUUGAUAUAAAGGUCUGAUCUUUUGGCUAUUUCUUAGAGCAGGACCAAAUGAGUGCGUCGAUUUUACUCGGGAAGUUAAACGGCGAUGAAUCAUCUACGGUGACCACCGAGGAAGACGAAGAAGCUGUGUUUUCCGGUGAAGAGUGGUCUGGAGAGAAUCUUUAUUGUUUUUACUUCGUGAAGCAAUUCGCUUACGACGACCCUGAGAUUAAGGCCAAGAUUGAUGAGGCUGAUAAUGAGAUUUAUCAUUGUAACACUAACCGGAUUCACAUUGCUAACAGAUUGAAAUCCAAAAGGGUAAGUAAGCUUUUUCGGUUUUGUUGAUUUUUUACAUUAUGAAAAGGUUCUGAUUAGAAAGUGUGUGUUUUUGUGUAGGCUGAGAGAUUGUCUCUGGUUGCUUCAAUGGAGAAUUUGAUUUCAUCACUUUAUGAAUACAAUGCUGUAGGGAAGGAUCAAGAAGUGGUUACAAAGAGAAUUUACAGCUUGAGUGAAAGAUUAAGUGAGAUUAAGAUGGAGAUUGAGUUGUUGGAUGUUCAAAUGGCUUGUGUACUUGAUCAAAGAGACAAAGCCGUCGAAAGGAUUAAGUUCUUGAGGAUACAACGAGACAAAGGGGUGCGAUUUUUACCGCCUCUCCUUUUGUGUCAAGUUUGUUUCUUUCUUCAUCAAUUGGUUCUUAAAGAUUUGUUUCUUUAUCGGGUGUGUUUUGCUUUGUAGAAUGCUGCAUUUUACCGGAGUCGUGUUGUCAUGAAGAAAGCUAUAGAAUUGGCUGCUUCUGGAAAUGUUAGAGAUCUUGAAGAGCUUGCUGAUUUUGAGGUUUGUUUUGUCAGUCUAUUGGGUGUGUAUGUGUGUGUAUCUCUAAGAUUUGAGUAUUUGUUCUUAGUUUUUCUUUGCGUCUUGUGUUUUUUGAUAGGUUGAAAAAUUUAUGUCUCGUUGGAACAAUGACAAGGCUUUUAGGGAAGAUUACAAGAAAAGAAUCUUGCCUUCACUUAAUGAGCGAAAGCUGAGGCGCGAUGUGCAGAUUAGGGACCUAGAAGGCAAUGUAGAUACUGAGAAUGGAAAUGAAACAGUCGAGAAAAAGGCAAUAGAAUUCAAGAGGUUUAGUACUGAGGAGGAGAGUGAUGAUGUUAUGGAUUUUGAUAUACCGGUGUAUGAAAAGCUUGGAAAGGAGGAAGAUGAGAUUGAUGAAGAAACUUUGAAGGAGAAGAAACGGGAAGAGCAGUUAGAGAAAGCUCGACUAGCGAUGGAAAGGAAGAGGAAACUACAUGAGAAAGCUGCUGCUAAAGCUGUCAUAAGAGUUAAGAAGGAAGCUGAGAAGAAACUUAAAGAGCUUGAGAAGAGAGCGAAGAAGAAGAAGAAGGCUGCAUUUAACUCUUCUUCUAUGAAUAUAGACAGAACAACUGAGACAGUCACCGAGGCAUCAGAACCAGAAAAGGAGAAGCUAUUAAAUGGGAGAUCAGUGUUUCCAAAACAGAGAAGUUUUUGUUAUAGACAUCACGGAAAAGGAAAUGACGCUGUCCUCAAAGCCAUCAUAAAGCGUAGAAAGGCUUAUAGGUUAUGGGUUUGGACUGUUUCCUCCUCUGCAAUUGUUCUCUCACUCACUCUCCUCGUUGUCUUCUUAUACGUUCGAUGAGAGGAAGAUGAAACAGUAAAAGGUUUCUUUGACUUUUGGAGAGUUAAGUGAUGAGCAAGCAGCUUCAAGGUAUAAAGUUAGUUUAGAAGCAAAUGACAUUGGCAAAUAAUGUCAUAGUCGAGAUGGAGUAGACUGAACAGUCGUAUUUGGUGUCGUAUAUUUCAGAGUAGCAGAGACAUUCACCUCCAUGGUGAGAUAUGUUUGACAUUACAGAGCUGAUUCGGUCGAACAUCAUGACCUGGAGAAGCUCUUGCACAAGGAUAAGGUUAAGAUGUUUGACCAGAUCAACUUUGGGACCUCGAACAUGUCUACAUGGACGCAAACACAGUCACUUAGUAGUUUUUAUAUGUUUGAUCUCUGAGUUGAGUCGUAGGAACCAAAAAGCAUCCUCUUAGUCUUGUGUAGUAGCUUCAGAAUGUGUGUACAUGGAAGAGAGACCUCAUGAAUUUUUUUACUAUUUUUACGUAAACAAAAUAAAACUACAAUUUUAUUACAGAAAAUCUUGGACAACAAUAAUUAACUUGUUCUUGUUGUAUACAUCUUAUUCGAUUAAAUUAACCUAAGUUUCCCAGAGGUUUGCUAAUUGCUACUUGCAAACCUUCUAGACCAGACUGAGGUGUUCGAGUUGUAUUAGAUGAUGACCUUGUUUGAAAAAUCGCUAGGCACUAGUCGGGCGCUCGGCAUGGGCCUAGCGAUUAAUCGGAAAAUCGGAUUAAAAUCGGGGAUUAAUCGGGGAUUAGUUUUAGGGUUAUUUUAAUAUUUUUAAAAUAUAUUAAUCCAAUAUUGUAAAAAUUUAUGAUUUUUAUUACAAAUUUAUGAUUUUUAUUAAAAUUUGAACACAAGUUAUUGUAAAACAUCACAAACUCCCCAUUCAAAUGAUUGAAUAACAAAAAUAAAAGGUUGCAAUCUAAAAAAUACUCGGAGUAUAUAAGAUUAGGUGGAAAAUAAUCGGAUUAGGCGGGAAGUAAUCGGAUUAGGCGGAGAAUAAUCGGGUUACUGAUUUUUUAGGGGAUUAGUCAUUAAUCGAGGCGGAUAGGGUGGGCCUAGCGAUUAAGCGGGGAGUAAUCGGGGCUAUGCGGGGAUUUUUAGAACAGGGGAUGAUGACAAAGAAACCUUCUAAUGGGGUUAGAGGCUUUCUCCUUAUGCUAAGGUUUCAGUCAGAGACGAGAACAGGCAGCUAUGGCUGUCACAAGCUUGGCUCCUCCAUGGAUCAUCUUGCGACAAACUUUCCGGUCAGUCGCAGCAUCUUCUUAUCUUCACUCAAAUCACAAAACCCUAAUCUCAAAUCUCUCUAUUCCCGCUUCGUUUCCUCUCCGACAUUCAGGUUCAUUUCCAUAACUUAUCUUGGUUUUGCUUACUACUUUAUGUUCUUCUGAAGUUUUGAUUUUGGAUUCACCAUCAUACUUAUUCAAUUGAUUCUUCUUGAUGAAAUUUUGCAACUUUUCUUUGGGAAUUUAGAGGUUAGGGCAUGAACUUGUCUUAGUGUGUGAUGAUUCAAUCAAAAGUUGUUUGUUGUGAUGAAAUCUCUAAUAAAAAUUGCAGCUUUGAGAAGAUGUUACAUUGCAGAAGCUAUAAAAGGAGAUGUAGAUUUUCUACUCAAAGGAGUUGGAGACCAAGCUGUUGCCAAAGAAGUCAAGCAAAUUCUUGAAAUGGUAUUCUCUACCUUAAUUCUCCAUUGAGAGUCUUCCAUCUUCAUAUUCUCAAAGGGAUUGUUUGUUUAUUAGGCGAGACGGGCAGCAUCAAAAAGAGAAGUUCUUCAUACAGAUUUUCUCACACCACCUAUUGUUAAGGAAUCAGUUUUAGUAUUGGGGAAAUUUGCUGAUGUUAAGAUAGUUGCUCAAGGAGGUUACCCUGAGGUCGGUUUUUCAUUUUUAAAAGAAAAGCUUCCUCGGAAAAUGUUAACUUAAGCUGACAAUUUUUGUGUGGGAUCGUCUUUUUCUUAGGCUGAGCGGUGUAGGAUCUCGAUUGGACAUCCUGAUGUUCUAACUAAUGAUCCAGAUAUAGUUGCUGCUUUGAGGUACAAGACAUGAAUGGUAAUAUUCUUUUCUUGAGUUUUGUUCUUGUAUGAGUCUUGAGUAAGUUUAUGUUGGUAUUUCUAGUAUCACUGGGAAUUUCGGGUUUCAACCUUGUUCUCAUGGUGACUUCCUUGGUGCGAUUCUUGGCACGGGAAUUUCCAGGGAAAAACUUGGGGAUAUCUUAAUUCAGGUAUCAACUAAUUGAUUCUGUAUAACAACAUUUGUCGCUCCAUUCACAAAAUCUUUCCUUUAACAUCGUUUCUUUGGCUAUUUAACUUCGGUGGUACUGAAGGAAGAAAAGGGUGCCCAAGUCCUGAUAGUUCCUGAACUAGUUGACUUUGUUGUUUCCGCUCUUGACAAGGUUUAAACUUUUGUGGCUUAUUUGUAUAACCCAUUAGCCAAUAUCUUGCUCUGCAUUACUCUGACCCUAUGAUGUAAAUAAAUCUUUUUCAUAGGUUGGAAAUGUUGGUGUAACUUGUACUAAGAUACCUUUGCUUGCUCUUGAAUAUGAACCGCCUAGGUAUGAGCACUAAUUCUUAGAAACAUACUUUUGCAGUGACAAGGUUUUCUUUUUUGCAUUGGCUUGAUUGUUUUGUUUGUUAGGACUAAUUCCUUUAAAACUGUGGAAGCCUCGUUGAGAAUUGAUGCAGUAGCUAGUGCUGGUUUCAAGAUUUCGCGGUCAAAGCUAGUUGAUCUGAUUAGGUAACAAAAAGCGUUCUUUAUCUUUUUGAUCUUUCAUUGCAUUCUCAUAUUCGCUAAAGAAAAUUCUUCUUUGUAUGCAGUAACAAGGACGUUCGGGUUAACUGGGCAACCGUUACCAAGAACGGAACCACAGUGAAGACCGGUGAUGUUGUCUCCGUUAGCGGAAAAGGGAGACUUAAGGUAAGGUUGCUGGAAAGUGAGUUUAGUUAGUGAUUAGUUUCAAAAACGUUAACCUUUUGUGUUCAUUGUGUUCAAUCACAGAUUGGAGAGAUCAAUGAAACGAAGAAAGGGAAAUUUGCAGUUGAAAUCAUCAGAUAUCUUUAGAAAGAAAGCUGUAACAAAUUAUCAAUUAUUCUUUUUCUUCUUUUAUAAUUUUACCUUUAUUUUUAUCUGUUCUCGUUUCUUCGUGUGUUGACAUUUGUAUAAUCAUAGCAAAAUCAGAUUAAUGAGUUAAUCUUGAUUUUUUGUGAUCAAAAAUUAGUCUCUAUUAUAAUGUAAAAGAACCGACGAAAAAAUCGUCUAUACAUUACAAAGUAUAACAUUUUAUUUACUUAUGUAUUUUUUUUAUUAAAUAAUCAUGUUUGUGUUUACAUAUGUAUACUCUCACUCACACUCAUUACAUGCGUAUGCAUGAAGAUUUUGUAUACGUGAAAUCCUUACGUAUGCUAAUAACUGUUUCUUCAAGAAAAAACCAAAAAUAUAACAACUCAAAAUUAAGAUAUAACACUUACUUUUUCAUGUUUUUCUAUAUAAAAAUCAAGCAUACCCACAAUACCCAUACUCACAUUUAACCCCGGAACCACAUUUCCUAGUGCAUUUCCCACAAUGGUUCGGGUUAAAGUUAACGUAAGUGCAAACGCCACCGCAACAACGUUGCCCAAAACCACAUUUGUGACCGCAUCGACCACAAUUGUUCUUAUCUCCUAGAACAUUCCGACAAUGCUUCUUGCAGCAAUGCAAGAGGCUCGUCCCUUUAUUCGCUUUUACGCCAUUGCAAAUGUUGUAGCUCGCGACGUGACAUCUCAUUCCUUUCUUGAUCUUCUUGUAGUGGGAAACUAGUAGCCUAGUUUUGGAUGAAACUGUCACAUUUGAAAGUAUCGAGGGAGUUUCGUCGAGAAUGUAGUACUCCGGGUCAUCUUCUUGGUCGACAACGUCAUCGGCCAAAACCGAGUUAGAAUCAAAUGUUGCUAUUAUUAGGAAAUAGAGGAUUAAUGAGAGAAGUGAAGUGGCUUUAAUGAAAGUAUUAGAGAACUUAACGACCAUUUUGCUUUAAGUAAAAAUUAACCAAAGAGAGUUUGGCUUUGGAGCAGAGAAGAAGCAAAGGAAAGGAAGAGGAGUGGGACUUAAGGGAAGAUAUGUGUUCUUGCGAAUGAAGAGGUAUUUUAAGGCAGCAAAAACAUUAUUGAAAUUCGAAUUUAAAUUUAUUUUAAAGAAAAUUGACUUUUUUAGGCAAUUGCUUAAAUGAGUUGAUUUUUCCUCAAAUCUAGGCUACCACAAGUGAUUGUUGUUUAGGUUACGUCAUACAAUUUUGGAUCUGCUUGGCGAAUAAGGUUUUCAAUGGUAUGGUAAAACAGGUCUUUUGUUAUGGUUAUAUAGAAAAUAUAAAUUGACAAAGAGAGUUAUAUGAAGGAUUUUAGUUACUGGUGUAUUAAAAAUUUAAAUAUUAAGUAUAAUAAAAAAAAAAAAGAUCGACUGUAAAAAUAUUUCUAAAAUAUCUUUUAGCUAUAACAUAAAAAUAGAAAAGUAAACAACUUAAACUAAGUGAAUGGCCUAAAAACCUAGAAAAUAGCAUGUCGCUCUAAACAUAUAGGUACUAUGAACAAUACGGUACAUUUGCUUUUCUCAUCUAUUAGUUUUCAUAUAAUUUGAAUUUUUGGGUCGAACUCUCUAAAUUAAGUUUUGGAGAUCUAUGGAGUUGGAGUCUAUAGUAGUAAUGGAAAAAUUCGAACAUUAAUUUCGAUUCACAAACAAACGAAUAGAUACUUGACUAUUGUACUAUUAUUGCUUCCAUAUUUGCUUGUUACUUGCUAGCUCUACUAUGUAUUUUUACUUUCUGUCACUUUUCUAUUCAUCUUUUUUAAUCACUUUGUUGAUUGAUACUUUUUUCAGAAACCUAAGUGUUACCGUCAAGACAAAAAAAGUACCAAUCCAAUUCCUUUAACUUGUGUUUCUAGCUAUUACAUACGAUUUAUGUAUAUCAACUAUUAAUAACGUUAUGUGCAUAUUUCUAUAAAUAUCAUAUAAUUGAAUCAAUAUUAUUGAUGAUCAAAAGGUUACUUUUGUUCUGUUGUGUAUUAUAAUACCGUUAUUAUAUUACAUAUAAAUUUGAAACUUGUUUGAUCUCGAGUAUGAAUUAGAUUCGUGCACGAAAACAAUAAAAAGAGAGAGUCAAACUAAUUAAUUUAGGCUAAAAACCAUAAUGGAACAAACAACACACAUGACUGAAACAAAACAGCACAAGUGCUCUUUGAAAUCAUCAAAGUGCAUGUACAUGAGUUGUCUCUUAAAACAAAACUUUUCUUCAAACGUUGCACGUGUGGUGACGGUGGAACUAGAUCCUUCUUUGCUGCCAAUAAAGCCGGGAAGAUUCACACACCGGUUACGCUUACUACGCAACGGAACCUGGCGACUGUAAUGUGCUCUCUCUACGUGUCAAUAUCGAAUGCUCGUGACAGUCGUCUCGUCACCGUCUAAGUUGAUUACUUUACUAGGACCUUGAGGUCCAUAACGUUGAGCCGUUGACCAUUAACCCUAUUUUACUCGUUGACCUAAACAAAAACAGAAAAGUUGGAGGAAUUAAUGAUAUAAUCUUAUACAUAUACAACUAAUAUUGAAAUAUGUGAGAAAAUGAUCAUGUAUUGUUCAUUAAUUAUAUAUUCUGAUCAUUGAUUCUAAAUUUUAUGCCGCACAUGACAUGCAAAGGCUAUAUAAGCUAUGAAGCCUAUGUGUGUUGACAAAAAUAGAAAAUACGCAUUAUCAUUAAAAAACAUCCAAUAAUAGAAAACUUAUGGGAAAAAAUUAAUGAAAAAAUAUUUUACACUAAUCGUAUUGGUUUUAGUUAUCGAAGACUCGUUUGAUUAGUCGAAGGCGAAGACAGAGAUCGAAUGUCAUAGAUGUGCGACUCCACGUUUGAUUACUAUAGGUAUUUUAAUUGUACACUAAAACCUCUAUAAAUUAAUACUCUAUAAAUUAAUAACCUCUCUAAAUUAAUAAAUUCUUCCGGUCCCGAGUUAGGACCAGUGUAAAAUAUGACAUAAAUCGAUAAAUUAAUAAGAUAAUAAUUUUUUUGAAAUUUUUUUGUAAACAUAUGGUCCCAUCUAUAUUAUAAAUUAAUAAUUAUAUAAACUUAUCAAUAUAUAUAUAUGUAUAUUUAACUUAAUAUAUAUAUAUAUAUAUAUGAUAUAAAUUUAUAUAUGUCAUAUAUAAAUUACUAUAAUAUAUAUUUAAAAUAUUAUAUGUAAGAAAAUUAAUGAAAUAUGAAUUUCUUAUUCGAAAAAAGUUUGUGUUGUUGUUUAAACUUAAUAAUUGUUUUUCUACUUGCAAUUGGUUUUAAAAAGAUAUUGCUUAUAAAGAAAAAUAUAUAUUUUUAGAUGAAUUUUUUUAAGAAUUACAAUAUUAGGAAAAUCUCUCUAUAAAUUAAUUACCUCUCUAAAUUAAUAAAAAAUUUUGGUCCCAAUAUUAUUAAUUUAUAGAGGUUUUACUGUAGUAAGAAAAGUUGUUUCCAUGAAAUUAGUUUGGAACUAAUUCACUACAAGAAAAAAGGCGUCUUGGUUGUAAACCCUAUCAUAUAAGUUUUAUUAAAGUUUCAUUUUUUGGAUUUAGAGUUUCUAUGUUUUUUAAGUUUAGGGUUUAAAGUUCAAGUUUUAGAAUUUAGCGUUUAUAUAUUUACAAGAUUAGAGUUUAAUAUAUAUGUUUUAGGGUUUGUAAUUAAUGAUAAUAAUUUUGUGGUUUAUUUUUAUUUUUAUUUUUAUUUUGAUAAACCCUAUCGGCUAUCCGGCCGGCCCUGGUAUGAACGCACCGAGGUGCUACAUUGUGGUUUAAUGUAUAAACUAUUUUAUAUUCUUUUCUAUAUUACGAAAUUUCCCUUUAAUGUAUUAUAGUGUAGAACUCAUCAUGUUGCGGUCUCAUCUUCAAAUGGAACCUGAAAUAUGCCAGAACGAGAUGUUUUUCAACUCGAAAUUAUAAUUUAGGAUACAUCUUUGUUUUUCUUUGAAAAAUCUAAAUUGUUUUUUUUUUUACUGGCAGCUUUGAAAAACUUACUUGAUAUGGUUAAUUACUUUAAAUAGUGUUCAAGUUAUGUGUUAAGUCGUAUAAAAUACUAUGCACUAAACAAAAGAUUCAAGUCAUGUACUAUUCUCCAUACGCAUAAAUAAUCAUAGACAUUGAUGGACAUAGUCCUGAACGUUCAGGUAUUCAGUUCUCGUUUGUUUGGAUCUCAACUUUAGGAUCCAUUUAGAAACCAAAGAAAUUUUGGUUCAGUUUUGGUUCUUUAAGAUCUCAACUUUAGGUUCCAUAUAGUAACUGAAGGAAUUUUGAUUUGGUUCCAGUUCGGGUAGCUGAAUCAAGAACCGAUUUGGAAUUUUUUUUUGUUUCGAUUCUAAAAUACAUAAUCAAUAAAACAUUUAGGUAUUUUUGGGUAUUUAAGAAAAUAGGGUAUAUUCGGAUUUUUUUAUUGUAUUCGCGAAUAUUUCAGACAUUUCUGGAUAUUUUAGUUUGGUUAUUCGAAUUUUUUUGAAUAUUCGGAUAUAUUUUGGUUUCGGUCUAAAUAACUCAUAUGUUUUAUAUGUAAUUUUAUUUCAGGUAUUUCGGGCUCCAGUUCUUGAGUUCCUGAUCUAUUCGGAUGUUGACUCAGUUCUUGAGUAUUUUACUACGAUGGAUCCUUAUUUAGAUAUAAUAAUUUAGGAUAAACAUACAAUAACAAAAAUAUUCAUAAGGAUGUUGAAGCAAUUUACUACACUAAACAUUCCACGAAUAAAGAACCAAGAGUAAAUAUGUUAUCAUCCAAAGAAUGACCAAAAAGACGACUGGAACAACCAACCAAAAAUGCAAGAACUGUAAGCUAAAAACACACAUAAAACAUUGAUUUUCAACAAAACUAACAUCAAAUUUCAAUUGUCCAAUAUUAAAUGAACAAACAAUAAUAGUUCUUUCUUGAAAGGUUACAAAUGAUAUAAACCAACAUCAAUUUUGAAAAGAUAUAGCAAUCAAAUGUCUUGUUUCAUAGAACAUAGCUUAAGAGACUCUUAUAGUUCUAUAAUAGUAACUUAAUGCGUUACUUUACCUAUUUACAUACAAAAACUGUAUUUUGUAUAUAUAUGUACUAGAGUAGAGAAGAGUCAAGAAGUUCCAAAUCUGACAAGUAUUAUAGCAAACUAAAAAGUUCCUAGAAUCGAGACAAAAUAUUAAAGAUCAAAGAACCAUGCCAUAUUUGACUUGCCUACAAUGUCUGAUAAUUUCUUGUUUUUAACAUCAACCAUAGAAGGCUUCUUUGUUCAAAAAAAAAAAAAAAAAAAAAAAAAAACAUCAACCAUAGAAGAGUGUUACUAAAACAGAAAACUUGGUAAGGAAAUCAAGAAAGAUCCAUUGCAUAUUCUAAACAAAUGCACCAGUGACUCGAUUGAGUUCCAAAUUUAAUCAAAAAUGUAUGACAAGAGAUCACAGGAUAGACACUAGUGCGAUAACAGCGAUAUUUUCGAUCAUUGUAUUUUGGAAAAUCUAGCUAACGAGUACAGUUGCUAGAAUCUAACACUGUAAUCAUCAAUUUAUGAUGCAUAAUUCGAGAAUGGCGUUUUAACAUGUUAGAACUGAUCACCAAGAGUUUAAAGAACAACGCAAUACAAAUACAUUCGAGAUUGAAGUAAACUACUACCGUAAUUUGCAAUACUGGAGUCUACAUGAGACUCGAAGAUACAUCAUACAUACAAGCACAAAAACAGAGAUAAUCAGUAUAUCAAACGCACAAUGUAAUGCUCCAAUACCAAAAUAAAAUCAACGUUUAUAUCAGCAUAUGCCAAAAUCUAAUUUCAAAUGUUUAGAAUAAUCAUACUAAUCAUAGACAUGAUGGACUUAAUUGGGAAUAAUUUAAGAUAAACAAACAAGAAUAAGUAGUCCCAAGAAACUAAAUCAAUUCACCACAAUAAUUAUUCUAAGAAUCAAGAAGCAAAAGUCACGAUAGUAUCAUCCAAGGAAUACUCAAAAGACUAUCACAACCAACCAAAAUGCAAGAACUAUGAUCACCAUACAUAUUUUAUAAUGAAACACAAAGCUGAAAAAAUUACAGAAAACAUUGCUUAUCAACACAACUAACAUUGAACUUCAGAUUAUCCGGUUUAAACAAACAAACAAUCAUAAAUAUCCCUUUCUUGAAUCUUGAGAGGUGACAGAUAGAAUAAAAAAGGGAAUAGACAAGAGGUGCAAGAUAUAUAUACACUAAUAUACACUUAGAAAAGUUAUAGCUGAAUUUACCUGCAAUUGCCAUAAUACUGUGAGAUAUACCUUAUAGUUGUGUCGUUUCUCAUAAACUGAACAAAAACUCUUAUACAGUAUUCUAUGAUAGUAACUCAAUAAGCUAUUUUGCUGAGUAACAAACAGAACACUGGAAUUUGUACAUAAAUAUGUCUACUAUAGUAGAGAGUCAAGAACUUCGACGUCUAAAAUCUGUAUAGCAAAAACUACGGUUUCUGAAUAGCUGAAACAAAAUAGUGGAAAAAGAAUACAUGUAGUCCACAUAAAAGAGCAGAAAAGACAAGAGCAUCUAUUCCACAUGCCUACAGUGGGGAUGAUAAAAGUGUACUAAUUUAUAUCAAUCACAGAAAAGUGUUAUUAAAACAAAAAACAUGGGAGGAAAAUCAAGAAAUAUAUAUUCCACAUUCUAUUGAUUCAAUAGAUUAUCAAGUUCCAUCAACUCUGUUAAACUAAAAGCAGACACUGGUACCAUAACAGAGAUAAUUUCACUCAUUGUAUAGUAAACAAACAAGACAAACAUGUAUAAUUUAUAGAAUCUAACACAGAAAUCAUCAUUUGAUGAUGCAGAAUUUCAAAAUGUCAAUCACCAUGGGAUUAGAGCAUAACCUAAAACAAAAACAAAAACAUUCAAGAAAACUACAUCAUUUGCAGUAGUCUCACCAACAUUCAAAAUAAAUAUCUACAAGAGACUACAAGAUCCAUGUAUUUCAUAAAAUCAGAAACCUAGAAACACUAAAACAGUGAUAACAAACAUUUUACACACAAUUAAAAAUUUCCAAUAUCCAUAAGUAGAAUCUACCUUUAUAUUUGUGUAUGAUGUAGAAUGGCGUUUCAUAUGUUAUCACCAUGGUUUAGAGAAUAACGCGAAAACAAAUACAUUUGAGAUUCAAAUAAACUACUACUAAAAGAAUUUAUAUGAGUCACCUAGAUACCCUUUUUUUUUUUUUUUUUUUUUUUUUUUUUUUGGGCAAAAGUCACCUAGAUACCCUAACAUAGUAACAUACAUAUUAGCACCAAACAGAAAUAAUAAAUAUUUUAAACACAGAAUGUACCCAAAGCAAAUUCUACCUUUUAUCAAUGAAUAAUAUUAGCAAUUAGAAUCUGACGGAUUCUAGAUCAAAGACACUAAUGCUAUCAAGACAAGUGUUUAAGAAACAUUUCUAACUAUAGAUGAUACUUAGAUUUGCAUUUCUAAUUUCUUUACUUAAGUUAUAUAUAAAACACUUAACUUAAUUUGUAAAUUUUCACAUGUAAUAAUAUCAAUUUAUCAUAGAAAAGUCUAGAAAAGCAUAUACCUAGUCAUAGAAUUUUGCUACACUUGAAAAUGAGAACUCAUUGGCGUCAAUGAGAUUAUUACCACCUUUUGAAGCAUAUACCUGAACACAUAAAAAUUAGUCUUUAAUUCACAUAUGUGUUUCUUACUUGUGAUUUUCAUAUUUGAAUCAACUAAUUACAAACAAGUUUGAAAAGUACAUACCUGUCAAAGAAGUCUGCUACACUUGAAAUCUCCUCAAAGUCUUCAAAGGCGCGUACCUGAGGAAAACAUAAUUGGUUAGUCUUCAUAUAAUGUAAAUGCCCUAUACUUACCUUGUUCUUCAAAUUCUUUUGGUCGUAUUUUCAUGACUUAAGUUCAGUCUUUGUACUAAUUUUAGGUUCAGUUUUUGUCUUAGACUUAUUAAACCGUUUCAUACUCUUGUCAUAGUACUUUGUCAAAUACUUGAGUCUUAAGUCUCCUUUUAAGUUGUUGGUCGUUAUAAGCAUCCAAUCCAAAGUCUUUGACUUGUUGUCUUGUGAUAUUUCUAAGCCGAAAGUAGCAACAAGUGGUUGGUCGUUAUAAGCAUCCAACCCAAAGUCUUUGACUUAUUGUCUUGUGAUUUUUCUAAGCCGAGAGUUGCAGACUUGUCUUUGUCUUAGACUUAUUAAGCCGAUGCAUACUCUUGUCAUAGUACUUUGUCAAAUACCUGUGUCUUAAGCCUCUUUUUAAGCCGUUGGUCUACAACAAGUGGUUGGUCGUUAUAAGCAUCCAACCCAAAGUCUUUGACUUGUUGCCUUGUGUGUUUUUUAAGCCGAGAGUUGCAAAAUUCAGUCUUUGAUUUAGACUUAUUAAGCCGAUGCAUACUCUUGUCAUAGUACUUUGUCAAAUACUUGUGUCUUAAGCCUCCUUUUAAGCCGUUGGUCUACAACAAGUGGUUGGUCGUAAUAAGCAUCCAACCCAAAGUCUUUGACUUGUUGCCUUGUGUUUAUUCUAAGCCGAGAGUGGCAACAAGGUGUUGGUCGUUUGUACCAUCCAACAAUUAUCCUUGAUUCAGUCUUUUGUCUGAGACUUUUUAAGCCGUUGGUCAUUCCCAUCAUACAAACUGAAACCGGUCAAUAAUCUUUUCCCAUCUCCCAACAUGCAUGCACUACCCAUCCAAUAGAUCCGAUUCAGUUUAUAAUUCUUAUCGGGACAAUGUCCCCAAAAAGAAUCUGACAGAACACUAUCAUAUUAAUGUCUGCCCAUGAUUUUUUUUUGGGUUUUGAAAGAAAAACAAAAACAUCAAGAACCAAAAAUCUUUUGAAAAUCUUAUUAAAGAGAGGAGUUUUGUUCUUGGAUAGAGAAAACAAAAUCUUGAUUCCAAAAUUAAGAAUCUGCAAAACAAUUAAAAGGCUUUGAAAAUCUUAUUAAAAGAAGAAUUUUGUUCUUGGAUCUCAUCGACAAGAACUGAUCAUACAUGUUUGUUCUCAUUCGAUUUUAAUCUCAGAAACUGAAAAACAAAAACGAACACCAAAACCAAAAAUUAAAAUCGGGAAAGAUAGAGACAGACAUACCUUGAAGGAUUUCUUCAAGCGGAGACAAGCUUUCAGAAAAAACCCUAAACAAUCAAUUAUAUACGAACAAUUAGAAAACUUGGAAACCCUAAAGAAACAAAAAGAAUCUAACCAAAAUCACCAGCGGAAGAAGAAACCCUGACGAUGGUAGCAAUUUCACGCCGAAUCAAGCAUCCUUCAAAACCCUAGAGCAAUCCAACAUAAGAUCGAUUACAAACUUAUAAAUCGGAGACAAUCUUCCAUUAAAAUCCUAAAUAAGAAAUUACGGACGAACUACUAGAAAACUUUGAAACCCUAAAAUACAAAAUCACAAAAGAUUAGGAAGGAAUCGAACCAAUUACCAUGACGAAGAAGAAAUCUAGACGACGGUAGCAGUUUUAUCUUCCAAGUACCAUCAAAACCCUAGAUCGAUUACAAACUUAUAAAAUCAGAGAAACAAAUUCGCGAUCUGUAGAUAUCAAGAAAAAAUAUCGCCGAUUGAUCGAGAGAACUGGAGAAAUAUUUCCUCUGAUAUUUAUUGUUGCGUCUUCACAGCAAACGCAUUUUGCUAACGGUUAUAUUUGCAAACGCGUUGAUCCGUGAGAUACUCUAAUCGGACGGUCCUGCAUCUUCCACGUUUCGUGGUUAAUAUUAGGCCUGAUAGAGUUAAAGUUAGGCCCAAUACGGCCCAUUAAUUCAAAUUUCAAAUUUUAAACUUUCUUCUACUACGCUCCGACUUCCCCAUCGCUGCGAGAUUUUACCGUUGUCUUGUUUCUCUACCUUCUUCAAUGGCGAAUUCAAACACAUACCUAACCACACCGACGAAAACCCCAUCUUCGAGGAGAAACCAACAGAGUCAAUCGAAGAUGCAAUCUCACUCCAAGGAUCCGAUAAACGCAGAGUCUAGGUCACGAUUCGAGGCAUACAAUCGUCUCCAAGCAGCAGCCGUUGCUUUCGGAGAGAAACUUCCGAUACCAGAGAUUGUAGCCAUUGGUGGCCAAUCAGACGGAAAAAGCUCUCUUCUCGAAGCGCUUUUAGGGUUCCGAUUUAAUGUCCGUGAAGUUGAAAUGGGUACUCGACGCCCUUUGAUUCUCCAGAUGGUUCAUGAUUUAUCAGCGUUAGAACCACGGUGUCGAUUUCAGGUAAAAAACCUAGACGAUUUUGUAUUCGAUUACGAAUUAUUUCUUCAUAGUUGAAUUUGGAGAUUGUAGAAUGUAGUAGAGAAUCCUCGAGGCUAGGCUAAUUCUGGGUUUGAGUUACUUUGAGCGAACUCUUGUUAAUUUGGUGAUUUUGAUUACUGAUUUGGUAAGUUUGAUUGGUAGGAUGAAGAUUCUGAAGAAUAUGGAGGUCCAAUUGUUUCGGCUACAGCAGUAGCAGAUGUAAUUAGGUCUAGAACAGAGUCGCUUUUGAAGAAGACGAAAACCGCAGUUUCGUCUAAGCCGAUUGUGAUGAGAGCUGAGUAUGCCCAUUGUCCAAAUCUGACUAUCAUUGAUACUCCUGGAUUUGUUCUUAAGGUAGAUUUUUUCUCGUUUUUUUGUGUCUAUCUGUAUCAAAGUUUGUUAAUUGGAUAGUUUCUGAUGCUUGUGUGAGCAGGCCAAGCAAGGAGAGCCUGAAACCACACCUGAUGAAAUUUUAUCGAUGGUCAAGUCACUGGCUAGUCCUCCACAUCGCAUUCUCUUGUUCCUUCAGCAGAGUAGUGUGGAAUGGUGUUCAUCCUUGUGGUUGGAUGCAGUUCGUGAGAUUGAUUCAAGCUUUCGAAGGACUAUUGUUGUUGUCUCCAAGUUUGAUAAUCGCCUCAAGGUAUUUAAACACAAUCAGCUAUGGUUAUUAGUUGAUGAUUCCCCUAUGUCUGAACUAAAAGUGUAUGAUUAUCCAACCUUUGCAGGAAUUUAGUGAUCGCGGUGAAGUGGAUCGUUAUCUGAGUGCUAGCGGAUACCUUGGGGAGAACACUCGUCCUUAUUUCGUGGCAUUGCCAAAAGACAGGAGCACUGUCUCAAAUGAUGAAUUUCGCCGACAAAUAUCUCAGGUGGACACUGAAGUUAUAAGGCAUUUACGGGAGGGAGUUAAGGGAGGAUUUGAUGAAGAAAAAUUCCGGUCCUAUAUUGGUUUUGGGUCAUUAAGAGAUUUCCUAGAGUCUGAGCUUCAGAAGAGAUACAAGGAAGCUGCACCAGCAACACUAGCUUUGCUUGAACAGCGCUGCUCUGAGGUAACCGACGAUAUGCUGAGAAUGGAGAUGAAAAUUCAAGCUACUUCUGAUGUUGCUCAUCUCAGAAAAGCGGCAAUGCUAUACACUGCUUCUAUUAGCAAUCAUGUGGUGAGUAGUUUAUAACAUACAGUUAUUGUUGCAUUGUUCUUAAGACUUACACUGGAUCAUACUUUGAUAUUACAAUUACCUUCUAAGUCUUUGAAAAUUAAGUUGAGUAAAGACAUUGUUCUUCUCUUGUUUCUUAAGGGGGCUUUGAUUGAUGGAGCUGCAAAUCCAGCACCUGAGCAAUGGGGGAAAACAACUGAAGAAGAACGUGGUGAGAGUGGCAUUGGAAGUUGGCCAGGCGUAAGUGUGGAUAUUAAGCCGCCCAAUGCUGUUCUUAAACUCUAUGGAGGAGCUGCUUUUGAAAGAGUGAUUCAUGAGUUCCGUUGUGCAGCCUACUCAAUUGAGUGCCCUCCAGUGUCAAGAGAGAAGGUACACUGCAGCUUCUCCUUCUCUCAGUAAACAACAUUUUCUACUUUUCCAUAAAAAUGCAAAGUUGAACACAUAGUCUGCAUGAGCAGGUAGCAAACAUUCUGCUAGCUCAUGCUGGGCGUGGAGGUGGUAGAGGAGUAACAGAAGCUUCAGCAGAAAUUGCUCGAACCGCUGCACGGUCAUGGCUCGCUCCUCUUCUUGACACAGCCUGCGACAGGCUUGCCUUUGUAUUAGGAAGUCUCUUUGAAAUUGCUCUAGAAAGAAACCUGAACCAAAACUCAGAAUGUAAGAACCUUUCAAUGCUCCUUGGAUCUUUUAUAUUCUCCUAGAGCCCUGCAUCUUAUGAACAAAUGGUCUUUGCAGAUGAGAAGAAAACCGAAAAUAUGGAUGGAUAUGUGGGCUUUCAUGCCGCUGUACGGAACUGUUACAGCCGUUUUGUGAAGAAUCUUGCGAAACAGUGUAAGCAAUUAGUAAGACACCAUCUUGAUUCAGUGACCAGCCCAUAUUCCAUGGCGUGCUAUGAGAAUGACUACCACCAAGGAGGAGCUUUUGGCUCAUAUAACAAAUUCAACCAAGCCUCAGGUAAUUCGUUUUGCUUCGAGCUCUCUGAUACCAGUCGUGAUGAGCCAAUGAAAGAUCAAGAAAACAUUCCUCCGGAGAAUAAUAAUGGCCAAGAGACAACACCCGGAAAAGGAGGGGAAAGCCACAUAACAGUUCCUGAGACGCCUUCACCGGACCAACCUUGUGAGAUAGUGUAUGGUUUGGUAAAGAAAGAAAUUGGAAAUGGUCCUGAUGGUGUUGGAGCUAGAAAAAGAAUGGCGAGAAUGGUGGGAAACAGGAACAUAGAGCCAUUUAGAGUUCAAAAUGGUGGGCUUAUGUUUGGUAACGGGGAUAACGGAAUGAAAUCAAGCUCUGCUUACUCUGAGAUAUGUUCAUCAGCCGCACAACAUUUUGCUAGAAUACGCGAAGUUCUUGUCGAAAGAAGCGUAACAUCGACUCUAAACUCAGGGUUUCUAACACCUUGGUGAGUCUACUGAUAAAAAUUCAUUGUUUCCUUGUAGAAGGAGGAAACAUUUUUAUUUGAUAUUCUGUUUGUUUAUGCAGCCGAGACAGACUAGUGGUUGCACUUGGAUUGGAUCUAUUUGCAGUAAAUGACGAUAAGUUCAUGGACAUGUUCGUUGCUCCUGGAGCCAUUGAUGUACUGCAAAACGAACGUCAACAGCUUCAGAAACGCCAGAAGAUUCUUCAAUCUUGCUUGACUGAAUUCAAAACCGUGGCUCGUUCUCUAUGAUGAAAUGAAUGAUCAUUGUCUCUAUGAUGUGUUCUCUUCUCUGUAACGUGGUGAAUUCUUCUUGUGGCUAUAAUGUUGUUUUAUGCUCAAUUUCAACGUAUGGUAAUUUUCUUGAAACAUAAUAUUGUUCUUGUAUAAGCUCACUUCUGCAUCAUUGAUUAGAACAGUUUGGCACAAUCGAGUACACAAACCAAUUGAACCAGAAACAAUUAACCAUAACCGAGAAUCGAUUGACUAAUCCGGACACUUGGUUAUUACUCUGAGUCUGAAUAUAGGGGCCAAUUGAUGGGUUUAUGGGGUUAGGGAAAAUAUGUAAAACAUGAGAAUUGAAGGAGAGUUCUGUUAGAAAAAUAUGGGUUUAUUACUUUAUUUAUCUGUAAUAUGUAAUCGUAUAGGAGAUAUAUGUAAAAAACAAAGAAAAAAAAACUCCAAUAUAAAGAAAAUGGUGAAAAAGUAAAAAAAACAAAAACAAAAUUGGUGAAACUUGAUGGCGUAAAUCCAGAUGUUCCUCCAUGUCCCUCAUCAUCAUUCAUUGAGCUCAUUAUUGAGAGAAGAGUUGUUUAUUUUUUCCUUAAAAUGUUAGAAAUAAAUUGGAUACAAGAUGUUUUAGACGUCUGUCUAAUUAAUUUGUUUAACCAUCGAUUAAUGCAUUUAUCAUUUUUUAGUAAAAAUACAAAUAAAAGAAAAACAACAUCAUAUAUUUUUUAUAUAAAAAGAAAAUCAAAUCUCUUAUCAAAAUUAAUGUUUAAUUUUGAAUUAGCACAUAUAUAGGGGGGUAUGGAUAAGAUUUUUCUCAAUAAGAUGGUGUUUUGGAAUAUAUUCGGUUCAAAUUUAAUUUUGUUUUUAUCAUGGCAUAAAUAAUUAUGACGCAAGAAAUAAGAAAACAAAUGGAUAUAGUUUUGUUGGUGUGUGUAAAAGAACUAGCUGGAUCGCAUAGUUAGAUGAAAGAAGAUUUGAAGAAGAUUUGUUCCGUUGAAAUUCCUAUAAACGAAGAGACAAAUCUCAUUCCUCGUGUGAUCAAAAGUAAUAAUAUAGCUUUUGGCACUCACAGGAAUCGAUUCGAAAACUGUUGGUACUAAUAUACAAAACUUAAUUUUCACAAGCAUACACAAAGAUGCUCUAGUAUUGUUGAAGAUUAGACUAUCAGCAGUGGCAAAUGUGUUUGUGUGGGUGUAAGUAUUUUUUUAGUAUUAUAAUUUAAAGCAAAAGAGAAAAGAGAAAAAGAAAGAAAGAGAAAGAUAGAGAGAAAAAUUGUUACACCCGAGUGUAAACUUACACCCGGGUGUGAAGAGAGAGACAAUUUUUUUGUUUUUUUAAUACUUACACCCCAAGACUCACACCCACCUGCUUGCUCCACUGCCCAUGCCCUUACUACUCUAUAGCUAAUGGACCAAUAUUCAGAUAUUUGCUUCAUUUGUUUUUGUUUUCUAUAUUGGAGGUUAAUUAACAAGUAUGAUGAUCAGGGAUAUCAUAAUUAGCAUAAACAAUUGAUGCAUUUGACUCGAUUAUAGAAUAAAUAUCAUUUAAAAUUUUUAUAUAUAUGCACCUAAACUAGAACUCUUAAUCUUUUGCUCUAGAUAUGUAAUAAAAUAUUUACCCAUAAUUUUAAAUAGUUUAAAAGAGUAUUAGCUAGCCAUGCCCAUACGUAAACCCUAAAAGAUCAGAUUAUGUCUUAAACAAAUUCUAUAGAUAUGGCUAAGCAAUUAAGCAAUUAAGCAUGGCUUUUCCAAAAAUUUGUAAAAUAGUGCUCCUUUAGUUUGAAUAUAAUGCAGCUUAAUAAGGGUUUCUUCGGCUCCCAUGAAAACGUAUGAUGUGCCUUUUUUUUUUUUCGUCUGAAAGAUUAUAUAUCACGGGUGAAAUACGUUGUCGGAAUACAAAGGCCGGCGGGAAUUUAACCCCCAGAAACUAAGCCGGCGGGACUCUAACCCCCAGAAACUGAGCCCCAAACACGGGGAGACAAACAAAAGAGAAAAACUAAAACUGAAAAUAUCUAAACAUGAUUAAAAUGAUUUAACACAGAGAUACAAAUUCCUUAUUAUCCGAGCCAAUCGAAAUCGCAAAACUAGCUGGAAGUCGACGAAGGAGCUGACCACCACCCAGAAAGUCUCCUAUCUACAAGCCUCACUUGUUAAUUAAGAGUAUUCGGAAGAAAAACCUUGGGAUACCUUGGAUGGCGGGACGGUGGAACCUUGGCCAAACUUGCAAAGACCGUCGGAAUCGCCGGGCCGGGAAUGUCAACUAAUGGACGUGAACCGGUAUAAGGACCCAAACCUAGGCGGAUCUCGCCCUAGAUCCGUUUGUUGAAGCUGUGUGAGAAAACCUGAGAAUUAGGUCGCCCAAACCGAAUCACCACCACACCGACAGUGGGUGGCUUAGAGCCAUCGCGGUUAGGGCCAGGGAGAACUCUGGCAAAUAAGAAAUAAGAACCUGCAAUAAAAACCAAGCAACCAAACCCUAGAUCUGAAAAGAGAGAAAUCUGAGAAGGAAACGAAAAACGAAACCAAUCCCCAGAUCUCUCCACACACAAACCCAGAACUAGUUAACUAAACAAAAGCUGAAAAGCCAACCGACGCCGUGGCCAUGGUGGCCCACACGCGCCGGUCGGAGACACAAAACCAGCGGCGAGUUUGUUGAAGAGAGAAGGGUGUUGUUGUACUCUUAAUAUCCAAAAUUUAUGUGAUUUUGACCCGACGUAUGAUGUGCUUUAGUCCAAAACUUUUCAAACAAAAACCAAAAAAGAUAAAAUUAUAGAAUGACUUUUUCUAGAACC
rnacentral:lncRNA from 1 species